rnacentral:lncRNA from 1 species
CCUUUUUAGAUUUUCCAUAUCAUCUUUGAUUUCUGGAAAGCCCUUUAAAUUUGAACACCCCGCCAAGAUGAGAGUUUCAAGAGAGCUCAAAUUGCAAAUGCUCUCCGAAAGACUUCUUAGGCUUUCGCAAUUAGACAAAUCUAGGUGUUGAAGAGCCUUUAGAUGUCCAAUUGAGGAUGGAAGCUCUUCUAUACCUGUAAAACUCAAAUCAAGCCUUUUUAGAUUUUCCAUAUCAUCUUUGAUUUCUGGAAAGCCCUUUAAAUUUGAACACCCCACCAAGAUGAGAGUUUCAAGAGAGCUCAAAUUGCAAAUGCUCUCCGAAAGACUUCUUAGGCUUUCGCAAUUAGACAAAUCUAGGUGUUGAAGAGCCUUUAGACGUCCAAUUGAGGAUGGAAGCUCUUCUAUACCUGUAAAACUCAAAUCAAGCCUUUUUAGAUUUUCCAUAUCAUCUUUGAUUUCUGGAAAGCCCUUUAAAUUUGAACACCCCGCCAAGAUGAGAGUUUCAAGAGAGCUCAAAUUGCAAAUGCUCUCCGAAAGACUUCUUAGGCUUUCGCAAUAAGACAAAUCUAGGUGUUGAAGAGCCUUUAGACGUCCAAUUGAGGAUGGAAGCUCUUCUAUACCUGUAAAACUCAAAUCAAGCCUUUUUAGAUUUUCCAUAUCAUCUUUGAUUUCUGGAAAGCCCUUUAAAUUUGAACACUCCGCCAAGAUGAGAGUUUCAAGAGAGCUCAAAUUGCAAAUGCUCUCCGAAAGACUUCUUAGGCUUUUGCAAUAAGACAAAUCUAGGUGUUGAAGAGCCUUUAGACGUCCAAUUGAGGAUGGAAGCUCUUCUAUACCUGUAAAACUCAAAUCAAGCCUUUUUAGAUUUUCCAUAUCAUCUUUGAUUUCUGGUAAGCCCUUUAAAUUUGAACACCCCACCAAGAUGAGAGUUUCAAGAUAGCUCAAAUUGCAAAUGCUCUCUGAAAGACUUCUUAGGCUUUCAUAAGAAAACAAAUCUAGGUGUUGAAGAGCCUUUAGAUGUCCAAUUGAUGAUGGUACUUCUAUAAUAGUCGUUUCACUUAAAUUAAGCUCUCUUAGUUUGCUCAUAUUUCCCUUGAUUUCCGGAAAACUCUUUAGCUUUGAACAGUCCUUACAAGAGAGACUUCGAAGAUGUUCCAAUUUAUGAAAAUUCCUUGGAAGACUCUGAAGUCUUGUGCACCCUAUUAUAUUCAAGAAAAUAGUUAGAUAAUAACUCUAAUAAUAAUAAUGGUGAUGGGUGAAUUUUGAAGUAACUUUAUACAACCUUCGAGAAUUAGAAUCUCCAAAUUUGGUACACUCGAAAAGUCUGGGAUUUCAACGAGAUCCUUUGAAUAACUAAGGUUGAUGACUUUCAACUUGUCAAGAAUCUAAAACAAAAUAACAUGCCUUAAUAGAUAAUUUUUUAAAAACUUUAACAUGAAUAUAAAAAUUAUUAAUGAAAUAACAAUAAAAAUAUUACCUCAUUCUCUUUCCAAAGUUGCUUUAUGCUGCUAUCUAUCGAUUAAAUCAAGUUCUACAAGAUUCUUUGCAUGAAAAUUCCUUGGUAAGCAUUGUAAAGGGUAUCCCUCAAAAUGGAGAUAUCUUAACUCAAAGGAAGGAAUUUCAAAAUCCUUGGGAAGGUCCACCUUAAAAUAAUCCAAAUAAUCCUCAAUCAUAUAGACUUUGAGCAAUCUAAGACUUUUCAUCUUCGCGAAAAUAUUUGCAGAAAAUUGUAUUUGGUUUGAUGUAGAAACUUCUACAAAUAGUCCUUCAAUUGCUUUAGUCCCCUACAAAAAAUAAAAGCCAAUAAUAAGCCAAGAACAAGGUGUACAAAAAUUAACCAAAUUAUAUAGAUAUACAAUUUCUUAAACAAGUUACAUUUUGCUCUUACCGUAUUUCCUGUUAACACGCUCUCAACAUCUUUAGGAUCCCAAAGUCUACUCCUUUUUCCAGGCUCUUGAGGAUAUUUGCGAGACUCUUUAAGACCUUCUUGACGAACAACUUCCCGACCCAUUUGUUGUAAUAAAUCAUGCAUAUCUAAUAUGUUUUCUGAAAUAGUAAUGAGACAUCUAUCUUCCAGAACUUUUAUUCCAACCUCUGCACCACUUCCUAAUAUUCUUGAAACAAAAUGUUUGUCUUCUCCUCUAAAAAAGCAUGCAAUAUCCAAGAAUACCCCUUGUUAUCUACUAUCCAAUUUAUCAUAACUUACUUUAAGCACACUUUGGACUGUUGUGUCAGGCAUUUCUUGUAGUUUUUGCAAUUCACUUUCCCAUUCCUCUGUUGACUUCUUAAAGAGAAAGACACCCAAAACUUCAAGUGCUAUUGGAAGGCCACCAGCAUACUUUACUAUGCUAUCUGAAAGGCUUUCAAAUUUGGGUAUGGGAGUAUUUUGCUUAAAGGCCCACCAAUUAAAAAGUUCAACCGAUUUUUCAUGAUUCAAUUUUUGUACUUCAUAAACUACAUUUACUUCAUAUUGUUUUAACAAAUGUUUAUUUUUAGUUGUUAUGAUGAUUAUACUUUUUGCACCAUACCAACCAUAUUUUCCGGCCAAGUUUUCUAAUUGCUUGUAGUUGUCCACAUCAUCGAGAACAAUAAGGACUCUUUUCGAUCGAAGUCUUUCCUUUAUCACAGUGAUUCCUUGGUUAAUAUUGUUGAAUUUUGGCUUUUUACACUUUAAGAUAUCUUGAAGAAGUGUCUUUUGUAAUUUAAGUUGACCAUCUUCACAUUUCCCCCCAACAUUUCCAAGAAAGCUACUACCAUCAAAUUGAGACGAGAUAUCAUUAUAAAUAGCCUUGGAGAUGGUAGUUUUGCCAAUUCCACCAAUCCCAUAGAUACCAACCAUGAGAAUGUCAUCGAUUUCAACUUUGUCAUCGAUUUCAACUUUUAUAAGUGAUUUUAACUUCUUCAAAUGAAAGUCCAUUCCAACUAUGUUGUAGCCCAUAUCUAAAGGCGUACGAUUCAAUCUUCUAACGAUAUUUUCACAAAUCCUUUGAAUAAACUCUGCCUCAAAUCUAUUAAUCAUAAAGUAUAUGGUAUUAGAAUCUGUCACAAAUAUAAUCAAUAUGAAAGAAACUUGAACAAUAGAAUGUAAUAGAAAAAAAAUCAAACCAAUUUAUUAAAUUACUUAUUUAAGUACAUUCUAAUUAUUCCUAGCUAUAAAUUCAAGUAAGAAAAAAGUGAAAAAUGUGAACUUUAGUUGCUUACUUAGUUGAAAGGUUCAAAUUGAAGUCGACUAGUAUAGAACAUUAUUUGACUUCAUGAUAAGGGAUCCUAUAAUCAUAACACAAACAGAGAUAACUCUUGAUAUGUCAAGCUUCAAGAUAGCUUCCAAUUUGGCAUCCAAGUUCCCUAAUCUAGUAAUACUUUUCUUGAUUAAAGAGAAUUCUUAACAACUCUCCACUGUGCUCUCACAUAACUUUCUUUCCCCCUUUAUUUAGUAAAAAAGAUCUUUAAAUUCCUCAUUCACUUGUUUCUAUGUUUUAUCAACUUACCAUUAUUUUAAUGAUUUGUUUGUUGAUUAAAAACCUUGAAUUUAAUUGAAGAAGAUUUGAAAUACUUCUUAAAGAAAAUUAACAUAAGAGAAUAGAGACUCAUUUUUGUUAGUGCUUUCAUAUUCACAAUGCUUUCAUUAUGAGAAUAAAGUUGGUAAAUUAAGUAUAUAUAUAUAUAUAUAGUAAGAGUUUUUGGGGAUUGAGCAUAGGGCUAACUAACCAAACGAUCAAUGGAAUGGACCUUUUAUUUAAAAAAAAAUGUAUCAUUAGAUCAAAAAACAGGUUAUCCAAGAAGAAUAUCAUACCAAAAAUAUGAUCAUUAUAGUGUAGCAAAUUUGGAUGAACAAGUCUUUGAACAAUUUAUGCACAAAUACUAAGAAAAUUGAGACUCUAAAUAAUAAGGAAGGUGCAUGAGAAUCUUUGCGGUGAGUGAGCAUGGAAUUCAUUGGCAAUAUACAAUCACAAAUGUCUUUGCAAUAUAGAAUGGUUAAACAUUAUACUAGGCUUGUCUAUAAAUUCUAGAUCUCUGAAGAGACGUGACCAUUCAAGGUGUCAUAAGAUAAUUGACUACAAACAAGAUGUAGGGAUCCCAAAGAGAUGAGAAAAUCCUUCAUGCAAGCAGCCUAUAAACUACACUUUUGAACUAGCAUUAAAAAUGGUUCAAAGUUUAGACAUGUCAUUUACACUUUCACUCUUUAAAGUAAUAUCUUACUAAAAGUGUUCAUUAAAUUAAACUACAAUAUUAAGCACCUAAAAAGCUUUAGCUUUUGAAUAUAUUAGAGUGAAUAUGAUGAUGAUGAUGAUAGUGAUGGUAAUGAUGAUGAUAAUCAUAAUAACAAUAACAAAAUGAUGAUAUUAGUAAUAGCAAUUAUAAUUAAUAUUGAUAGUAUUUGUAUUAUAAACUGUAGUAGCAGUAAUCAUAAUCAUAAUAAUAAUAAUCACAUGAAAGUAGAAAAGAAAAAUAUGAAAAGGAUAAAAUAGAAAAGUGAAAUGGAAGAAAAGGAUUUUUGAAAAAAAAAGAGAAGAAAUAAAUGAAGCCAUUUGGACUUUUUUUUAUUGAUAAAAUAUUAGUAAAAUAUUUAGUAGUAAUUUUCCUGUAGAAAAAGAAAAUUAUGAAGAAAAAAAACAUAAAAUAAUAAAAUUAAAAUCAAAGAAAAAGAUAAAAUAUAAAUAAAAUAAAUAAAUAAAGCUAUUUGGACCCUUUUUUUUAUUGAUCAAAUAUUAGUCAAAUAUUUAUUAGUAAUUUUUCCUCCAACCCUAUGUCCUUACACUAUUAAAUUAUUUAUCUCAACUAUUUAUUAAUAAAAUAAAAGAAUGAUUUACUUGUAGGUCUCACCAUGAAAUCCAAGGUCAUGCUACCGCAUGUAGACGUGAAAAAAAUAUCAAAAAGGGUUGAAAAAUGUAAAACUGCAUGAAUUAAAUCAAAUAAAUGAACCUUAUAUUGAAUCAUAGGAAUGAACAAAAUUUUGAAGAUAAAAAUAAGCAAUACCACAUGAACGUACAAGUAAUAACUAAAAGGUAUGUUUGAAUAUUAGUCACAAACCAAUCAAAACUUGAUACAAUUGCUAUUAUUUCAUAUAUUAACGGUAAUUUAGAUCAAAUUAAAUUAAUAUUAGUUCAUGUUUAGGCUUUAUACAUUUUAUUUUAAUAUUAUUAUUAUUUUUUUAUUAAACUUAAAAUGAUGAAGUUUAUAUGAAAUCAUGGUGGGUAAAAUAUUAAAUGUUAUAUAUUCAUAAAAUCUCAUAGUUCAGAUUUUUUUCUUUUUUUAAGGCUAUGUUUGGUUCCCGGAAAAUUUGAGGGAAAAUGCGAGGGAAAGAAAAUAUAAAGGAAAAGUAGAAGGAAAGAAAAAAUGAAGGAAAAUAAAAAAAUAGAUUAAAAGUUGAUAAAUUAUUUUUUUUGUUACUUCAAACUCAUUUUAUUUAUUUUAACUCAUCAAUAUAAAGAUUAAAUAAUUUAAAAAUACAUAAUUUUUUAAUUAGUUUUAAUUAUAUUUGAUUUUCUUUGAUAUUUUUCAUAGGACAACCAAACAUGAGAAAAUCAUUUUCCUUAGCAUUUUUUUUCUUUCCUUUGUACUUUCCGGGAACCAAACAUAGCCUAAAUACUUUGAAUAAAAAAACUUCACCAUGUUGUAUAAAAUAAAUUGGUCAUAUAAACAAAUAGAAAGACAAAGCAGGAGGGUAAUAUAUCUAAUAUUAAGUAGACUCGAUUCAAUAACGGACCGGUAAAGCCUCAAUCCAAUCUUAAACUAGGCUAAUUUAGAAUGUCUCAACCAAUUCAUCUAUUUUGUUUAAAAUUUGAUAGUGAUAGAAUGAAGUAAGUUUCCAGAUAGGCUUAAAGAAAGAAAUAAAAUGAUUAAAGUAGGAUAAAAUUUAUCUAGUAGAGGUGAAAAGAAAUAUAGUUACUGAUUUUGCAGAUGAUAUCCAGAUAGGUUGGCUGCUGUCUUCAAGGCAUUCUUCCACGUUUCUAUUGUCUUCUUCUUCUCUUGAUCUGCAUCUUUUGCAUGCUCCAAAAAUGCAUCUUCAAAACUUCCUCCUUGAUUUCGUACAUCUGUUGGCUCCACAUGGUAGAAAACCGGCAAAACCACUGAUUUCUUUUCUGUCAUACAAUCGAUGAUCUUUACCAGUUCAUUCAAACACCACUUGGAAUCAGCAUAGUGUUCUGAGAAAAUAAUAAUAAAAAUCUUUGAUUCUUCGAUAGCUCUCGAGAGAUUUGAUGCGAUAUCUCCUCCUUUCUCAAGUUCUUCAUCAUCUCUGAAGGUGUGAAUUCCACGUGCAACCAAAUUAGCAUAAAGAUGACUUGUGAAAGUCCGGCGGGUAUCUUCACCUCUAAAACUCAAGAACACAUGAUAAUUAUUACCAUCACAAUUAGAAGUGGAAGACGACGCUUUCAAGGAGCUGCUAGAAGCCAUUUCUGGACUGGAUCUGGCAAAGUUACAAGGAGGCUAAGAACGAAAAGAAAGGGUCUUUGGUUGCAAAUGACUGUUCUUCUCCUCUGGCAAGCAAUUAUCCUUUCUUUUGGGUUGGAGGCAAAGAGGGAAGAAUGAAAGUUCAUGCAAGAAGAAAGAAUAAUACUGUUCGAGUCCACAAGCUAAAUUGUCCUAUUCCAAUUGUGGGGCUGCCAGUACUUAAAUUACUUUCAAUGGAAGCAUUUUCCCUAAAAAUAUUUAUGUGAGAAUCAUUAAUCAGGUGAUUUUUUAGAAGUAUUAUAAGUAAUUUUUUAAUUUUUUAAAAGUAUUUUUUAAGAUCUCCCUUGGUUUAUGCAUUGUUUUUAAUUAAGGUUUAGUAAUAUUUCUAAUUUUUUUGGCCGAAAAAAUUGAACAAUUUAAUCUUAAAAGAAAUACGUGGAUACAAGCAAGGAGGAAAAUGUCGGGAUAUAUCGCCGAUAUAUCGUGUAUUGCCGAUAUAUUGUGUAUCGGAAGGGGUCGACACGAUAUUUCGUGGAGAAAAAUCGGAUGGGAGAUAUUUCCGCAAAAAUCGCCAAAAUAUCGGCAAUAUAUCGAUUCGGGGAGAUAAAUCAGCGAUUUUGUGAAAAAAUUGCAUCUGAUGGCAAUAAAUCGCCGAUAUAUCAUAUAAACUAGUAUAUUUUGAAUAUGAAAUAUGUUUAUUUAAUACAAAUUAUUGAUAUUUAAUGAAAUGAAGUAUUUUAUGUGACUUUGUAAUGAGAACAAUUGCAAAAUUAACAUUUCUUAUAAAUCGACAUGAUAUAAUUACAUCUAAUAUCGCAAAUUAUAUCAUAUGUAUAUCAAAUUUUUCAAUAAAAUAAUUUUAAAAUGUUUAUUAUAUUUCUAAUUAUAUUAUUAUGAGGUUUUUCUUAUAUUUUUAUGAGUUUUUAAUAAUUUUAAGUUUAUCGAUAUUUUUUUUCAAAAUAUCCACCGAUAUAUCUGUAAAAUCGAAGUACGGAUAUAUUCCUGAUUAUCGAUAUUUUCAUCUUUGGGUACAAGUAUUAAUAUUAUUGGCUCCUGUGACCAUAAGUAAUUAGUUAAAAAAAUUGAAAAGAUAAAAGGAGUUCUUUCACGAAAAGCUAUGGACCCUUUCUUUUUCUUUUUUUUCUAUUAAAAAAUUGUUAUAAAUUCAAGUUGCUUUUGCUCUACCCAAGAAUGCAUGGUGGUCCUUUCAUGAAUGCUGGCACCCAUGUGGCUUCUGGGACGUUUUCAAUGAAUCAUUGUCCUUGUGCAUGAGUUGCACCCGUGGAGAGUGAGAUAUUUAAAAAAUUUAUAUUUGAAUAGAAAAUAGUCUCUGUGAAGAUCCUUUUUCUCCCGAUUUGAUUUGGACAAAAACAGGCUCCAAGCUUAUUUUCAAGACUAAUGUACCAUAAAGAGUGGGAAGGCCACUUGCAUUGUAAACAUAUAUCUACAAUGGAAAGAAAUUCACUAAGGUUCUUGAUGUUUUAAAUAUUUAAUUUUCAUGAUUUGUAGGAGGUGCAACUUGCUUAUGAUAUAAAUAAAUGCAAUAAUGAUUGAGGUAGGGAGUUAAGGACUUUUAUAUGGUAUCUUAGAAUAAUGUUUAAUUAUAAUUAUAAUUUGAUUAGAUGAUCUUGAUAGUUCAAAGCAAAGAAUUCAAUUUUUGAAUUGGUAAUUGUGAAGUAAAAAUUGAUAUUAAAGGUAAUCUUGAUAAGUAAUUACACUAUCAUAUUAUAUUACGAACACCAAUUAAUUUGUGUUUUGUCUUAUUCUGAUUUCAUAGGAUAUUGAAAUAUAAUUGAUUAUAUUUUGUGAAAUGUUGAAUUAAUUUCAUAAUAAGAUUAUAAGAGAGUUAGCAUUUUUUUAUGAAUCCCGAUAAUUCUCAUUUGUGAACUUAAUUCAUGGUGAUACAUUAGUUUUGAGGAAUUUGGAUUUAAUCUUCAUAAGUGUACAUAAAAGUGUUUUGAUAAAAGCCUAAGGUUGUACUAAAUCUUAUAAAUUGGUUUUUUACAUUUGACUGAUUAAUUAAUCAAAUUUGUAUUAAUUAAUUAAUUAAGAUUUAAGUAAGUUAAAUUAAGUAAUCCAAACUCAUUUUGAGUUUAAGUCACUUAAAGCUCAUACAAAACUUUAUCAAUACUCAUAUAUUUUUAUUAUAUUUCAAAUAAUUAAUAUCUAUAAACAUUGAGAGACAUAAAUACAAAGGCACAUACAUGUUUAUUUAUUUUACUAAUUUAUAGGUUUUUACGUCCUUCUAUAUAAUUAUAUUUAUUUAUUUAUUUAUUUUAGUGUAAAAAAAAAGGUAAAAAGAUAUUUAUUUUUAAAAUAAAAAUAGAAAGUUAUUUUAAACUGUCUCAUUUGAGAGUUUUUUAAAAUAAAAAUAAAAAUUAUUUUAAGAAUGUAUAAUGAUAUUAUUAUAAAUUUAUUUUUUUUCUAUUCUCAUUUCCAUUGUUACAUGACCUUAAAAAUUAAAAAUAAAUAAUAAUUUCAACCUAGCAUUUUUAGGUGCAUCGAAACACACAAAUUAAUAUUAUCAAAUUCGUAUAUGUUUAAUCCCUAUUGAGAGAUAAGUGGCUUCCACUGACCUUCCUAAGCAAUUUUAAUCAUGGUAGGUAGAUAGAAAGAAAACAUGUUGAAAUUUAGUAAUAAGAGCCAGGAAAAUAGGAAAAGAAUGUGAUUCUUUCUCUCAUGAAAGGGAGUAGUAAUAAGAGUCAGAAAAAUAAGAAAAGAAUGUGAUUUUUUCUCUCCUGAAAGGGUAGUAAUAAGAGUCAGAAAAAUAAGAAAAGAAUGUGAUUCUUUCUCUCUUGAAAGGGAGUAGUAAUAAGAGUCAGGAAAAUAAGAAAAGAAUAUGAUUCUUUCUCUCCUGAAAGGGAGUAGUAAUAAAAGUCAGAAAAAUAGGAAAAUAAUGUGAUUCUUUCUCUCCUGAUCUUUUUGACAUUCAACAAUAGUGGAUUAUAGAGAGGAUGAAGUUGAAAAGAAAAAGGGCCUUUGGACGGUAGGUGUGAAGGCAACAUGAAAUUUCCACAUAUUUCUGUAGAAGAAUUUUUAGGGAAUGCCCACGGGAUAGUCAACAAAACUUCCAUUGUACCUCUAGUCAUUAAUGCAAUUAUAAUAUCUAUUUUUCAAAUGAAAAAUUGUACAAAUAAAAUUAGAGAAGAAAAAAAAAAGAAAUAAAAUAAAAUAUAAAAUUAAAAUUAAUAAAUUAUUUUUAUUUUAUUUAUUUAAUUACAUAAAAAUAUAUAAUUUUAUUACUAAUUUUAAUUAUAUUUAACUUCAUUUAUUAUUUUUUAUAAUACAACCAAAUAUCCAUCAUUUCUUCUUCCCCUACAACCUUUUGAAAAACAAACAUAAUCACAGUAUUUCAUUAUGUGGCUUACAGCUUUGCAUGCAGGUGGGUGGAUUAAAAGCUAAUAUAGGUAGGUGUACUCUCCACUAAUUUUUUUCUCAAUUUUCUCUCUUAUCCCUCUUUCUUACAUUUGAUUUUCUUUAUCACUUUUUCAAUUUUCUUUUGUUUUCUUGGGGUCAUUGAAAAUAAGCCAUUUCUGAACUGGAUCUGGCAAAGUUACAAGGAGGCUAAGAACGAAAAGAAAGGGUCUUUGGAUGCAAAUUGUUGAUACCUCGCGCUCCUAGCGUUCCAUGUAGUUGCCAAAUGGAUUGAUACGCGAUCUCAACCCACAAAGGUUCUUGAUUCAGUCGUCAUACCUGCAAAAGACAUCCGGACAGGGUGUCCGGAUGCACCCUCCGAUGGUUUUGUUAGCCAUGGUUAGAGAGGGAGAUAUAAAUCAGUUGACCUUUUACUAGGUAUCAGGAGGUUACCUUCUUCUUCGUGUGAAGGUUCAUAUAUAGUGCUAGGAGUACUGUUCCUCUCAUUAAUGGCGAGGAGAUAUUUUAUGUUUGUCAUGAUGACAUUCGGAGGCAGCAUGGUCAUCGCCACCCUACUGGCGGCUGUCAGAAACCGUGGUAGGUGAUGCUGCUGUUAGAGAUCGUGGGAAGUGAUCAUGUAGAAUGAUCGUGGGAAGUGACUUGUUGUCACCUCAACCCGUCCUUUCACUCUGCAGGUGAUGGGACGUAGGGCAUGACAGGCUGUUGUGGUAACGUGUGAGACUUGCUUACUUCAAUUAAUGAUCCGGACCAUUGUAUCCGGAUGGAAUAUGGCGAUCAUCCGGAUGUAUUGUGUAAGCCGUCCGGAUGAUAUGUUUAUAAGUGUCGCUUGAUCUUCCUUGAGGUAGUCCGAAAAAGCGUGCCAUGUGUGCUUUAUGAGAAGGUCCGGAUAAAGAUGACCCGGAUGACAAUGCGUGUCACGUGUCACUGUAAGAUGCGUGCGACGUGUCUCGGAGGGAGGGGUCCCUACAAUGCCCCCCUUUUUAACUUGCCUAUUUUGCCCGAGCAAAAAUGGGCGGGUUACAAAAUAAUUGGUUUUUUGAAAUCGAAUCGACCUUUUGUCUGGUUGGGCCACGUGGCAAGUGGGGGUGCGGAGGCCAAAAAAGGCAUUUAUGACGAGCCGUCGACUCUGGGUAUUCCCAGGCAGCAUGUCGUUUCAAUGAUGGCGUUGUUUGGGCGUUUGGUUUUCCUAGGGGCUGUCCCCCUAUAAAUAGCAGACUGUGCCUUUUGUUGCUUUUUUCUACUGCGUUUUUUCUGAGAGUUUUUGCUUCUUCUUCCUUCUGUGCUUUCCUUUGUUUUUCUGAGUAAAAAACCCUAGAGUUUUUCUUGCCGGUGAUUUUGUAUCACAACAUCAACCUUUCUUCUCGGAAUUUGUAUUUGGUACGUGCACUUUGCUUUUGUUUUCCCUUUGUUGCGCUUGUUUGUUUAUUGACUUGAUUUCUGACUUGCUUUGGGCAAAUCGCUUGCGACUGUGUGUUGAAUGUUGGUGUUUGUUGAUUUUGCUGUGCUUAACUGUUGCGCUUUUUGUAUGCAGGUUUCGGUGCAAUCUUGUCCUAAAAAAUGUCUUCAAAGAAGAAAGCUGCUUCAUCUGCCCGAGUUGGCGACGCUCAUGAGAAGUCUACAGACAAACUGAGCGUAAAGGAGUUCCGAGAUCGAUUCUGCAUUCCAAAUGGCGUAAUUGUGGAACUUUUGAAUGGGGAGGAUGUUGUAUCUACUGAGAAAGCUGAACAAGAUACCGUCAUCUUCUCCAAGGAACAAUUCAACGCGGGGCUCCGGUUCCCCCUGCCGGCGUUGUUCAUGGAAUUCCUCCAUUUCACCAAGAUUCCACCCGUCUUCAUUCAUCCCAAUACCAUCCGGGUGCUGAUGGGAUGCAGCAUCAUCAAUAUGCUGUACAACCUCGACCUCAUGCUGCUGGAGGUGUUUUUCGUCUAUUCGCUGAAGAAGGCGAAAACUGACAUCUUCAGCAUGUCCGCGCACCUGCCUUCCCUUCAAUUAGUGACGGAACUGCCAGACUCGACGAAGGGAGGGGCGAAGGGACAUGAUGAGCGUGAGGCUCCAUCAACUCGCAGAGUCCACCAUUCUUGUUUACUUGAUUCGUGGCGUUGGCUGGGUCUUCGGGAAUAUUCUAGCACGAAGUCAGCCAUUACUUGGCCUUUCAUGGACAAUCUGGGUUGGAAUUCGAUUCCAAACUCGCUUAAUUCAAUGGCCCAUUGUAGCAUUCUCCCUGUUAAAUCUGGCUUGUGCAGAAUAUUGUGAAGGGGCUGGUCUGUUAGUACGAUCACUGGGUGAGCUUGGAAAUAAGGGUGGAGCUUCUGGGCAGCGCUUCUAAGGGCUAAGGCUGUUAGCUUCAUUUUUGAAUAUCUGGUUUCUACGUCUGCCAAUGCCCUACUGACGUAGUAGAUAGGUUUCUGCUCCUUGGGUGAGGGGCAGCGGAAUAGAACGGAGCUGAUUGCCCAUUCUGAUACCGCCAGAUACAUAUACAAUUUUUCUUUUGGAAUGGGGCUGCUUAAGAUGGGUGGUUGCGUAAGACAAUGCUUAAUCUUUUCGAAAGCGUUUUGGCAAUUGUCCAUCCAUCCGUGUGCUCCAGCUUUUCGUAUUGCCAAGAAGAAGGGUCGCAAUUCAUCAGUGAAGCGGGCUAUAAAACGCCCUAGUGCGACGAGCUUGCCUGUAAGUCGUUGUAGCUCCUUCUUGUUCCUGGGAGAGGGUGUUUCCAUGACUGCCUUGACUUGAUCCGGACUGACUUCUAUGCCCCUUUGGCUGACCAUAAAUCCUAGAAAUUUGCCAGCACUUACGCCAAAGGCGCAUUUAGAAGGAUUUAGCUUCAUGCCAUACUUUCGUAAGAGGUGAAAAACUUCUUGUAAGUGAAGGACAUGCUGCUCUCGGGUUUUGCUUUUAACCACGAUAUCAUCGAUAUAUACCUCUACCGUGUGGCCUAUCAGAGGUUUGAAGAUUUUAGUCAUCAAUCUUUGAUAAGUGCCACCAGCAUUUUUGAGUCCGAAUGGCAUGACUUUGUAGCAAUAUAGGUCGUGUGGCGUUAUGAAUGCUGUCUUUUCUUCGUCAUCCGGGGACAUAGGGAUUUGAUGAUAUCCGGAGAAGGCAUCCAAGAAAGAGAGCAUCCCUUGCCCGAAAGUGGAAUCCACAAUCUGAUCUAUUCGUGGCAAGGGAAAACGGUCUUUCGGACAUGCAUUGUUGAGAUUGGUAUAGUCUACACAAACUCGUCAUUUUCCUUCUUUUUUGGGUACCACCACUACGUUUGCCAGCCAAUCCGGAUAAGAAACUUCUCUAAUGAAUCUGGCUUCGAGCAAUUUGUCAAUCUCAUUCCGGAUGACUUUUUGUCUAUCUGGGUGAAAGCGCCUAAUUUUCUGCCGGACGAGUCUGGCAGUUGAAAAGACGUUGAGCCUGUGAGAUGCAAUAGAGGGAUGAAUUCCCUUCAUAUCAGAAUGUGCCCACACGAAGAUGUCAUGGUUUCGUCUGAGAAUAUUUUGCAUGCUAUGAGUUUCUUCUUGUGUCAUGAGGGAACUGAUGUUCGUGAGGUGAGUGCUUUCCUCCGAAGUUUGGAUUGUUUGUAAGGGAUCUGCUGCCGGGGGAUCUUUGUCCGCCGGACCCAAUAAUUGCUAUUGGUCAUGUGCAAUGCUGGGUUCAAGGGGAGAUGCAUCCUCCUGGUUAGCCCCUGCUUCACGUGCUAUCUGAUAGCAUUGGCGAGCGGCUAAUUGGCUACCAUAUAGGUCGAUUUGGCCAUCGUUGGUGAGAAAACUCACAAUUUGAUGAUAUGUAGAGGGGAUAGCUUUCAUGUAGUGGAGCCAUGUGCGCCCCAAAAUGACAUUGAAGGGUGAUAACUCCUGUACUACUGAAAAUUGUACGUUGAGAGUGACCGGGCCUACUUGGACCGGCAGCACAAUGUCUCCUAAGGAUGUAGUUGAAGACCCGUUGAAUCCGGAUAGGAUUCGUCCAGGGUUUUCGAGACCUGUGAGACUGUGUCCCAUGUGGCCAACGACUGAUGCUUGCACAAGAUCGGCCGAACUGCCUGGGUCAACCAAGAUACGCCGCACAUCGAAGUCCCCAAUUUCCAGGGACAAGAUGAGGGCGUCGCGAUGUGGUUGCAGUGUCCGGGUGGGAUCUAUCGGUGGGAAAAUGAUUGUCCCAUCUAUGGGGCGAGGGCCCCCUCCAGUUAGCCCAGGCCGGAUGGAAUUGAUGCGUUCGCGUAUUGAUGCGGCUCGCAACAAUUUUUGUCUCUUUCGCCUAGAGUCAUACUCCUCGUCAGAUGGACCUCCGUUAAUAUAGUUUAUAACGGCCUUGGGGGCAGCUGGGGCCCUAGGGUUCCCGGGGUUGUGAUGUUGAGAUGCGUCCCUUCCUCCAUUAUCUGAUCGGAGGUAUUGCUUUAAAUGCCCUGCUUUUAUGAGCCUCUCGACCAGAAAGUGGAAAGCUCGACAUGUCUCUGUUGUAUGGCCAUGAUCUUUGUGGAAGGCACAUCUCCUACCACGAUCCCUUGUGGAUGGGUCCGUUCCAAUGGGUCUAGGCCACUUGAAGUCGGACAAGCCCUGGAUCAUAGGGAGAAGUUUCUCAUAUGAUAUGGAAAGAGGUGUGAGAGGCGGCAUUUCCGGGCGACUUGGCUCUUCCUGCCUUCGGUCAGACGGCUUUGGCCGAUCCGGAGGUUUAGUAUUUCUCUCCGCAUUACUUCUAGAUGGCCGUCCGGCAACCAGAACUUGCUGGGUGGCUGCACGUACGUCAUCUUCGAGCAUCGAAUAUUUGUUGGUGCGCCUGAAUAAAUCAUCCAUUGUUGUAGGAGGAUUUUUAGCCAGUGAUUCGAAAAAUGGAGUGCUUGGACAGAUGUUCCGCUUGAAGAUCUGUAGGACAGCAUCCAUACUACAAGCCUCUACUUGAAGUAUGGCUUGGCCAAAUCGCUUCACGAAUUCCCUCAAGGAUUCGUUAUCUUGCAUUUUUAUGUUCUGCAAGGUGCUGAUAUUUUGCUUAUGUCGAGCGGAGCACAAGUAUUGUCCCACGAAAGCUUCGGACAGGUCCCUGAAAUUGCCAACAAAGUUGGGAGGUAGGCGAUGAAACCAUGAGAGGGUCUGUCCUUGUAGGCUGGCGGGAAAUACUUUGCAUAGUAGUGCAUCGUUGCCAAUAUCGAGCGUCAUGAGCUGUCGAUAAUGCAUGAUGUGAUCGAAGGGAUCGUUGGUUCCAUCGUAUGUGGAAAAUUUUGGUACAAGGAAUCCCCUUGGGGGCUUGUAAUUAAUGAUAUGAGAGCAGAAAGGCGUGGAGAGCAUGUCAUCUAGCCUUUUGUUGAUGAAGCCAAUGGGUGGCUCGUUUGGGAUGUUUCUCCUAGUUGGUUGUUCCGCUGGGUGCGAAUGAACGUUCCGCAUUACGGGGGUGACUACAGGGUCACGAUGCGGGUGAACGUUUUGCACCAUGGGGGUGGCCAUGGGGUCAGGGCGUGGUGCCCAGGUUGUGGCCAUUGGUGGCCUCGAUCUUCCAGGCUCUUGCGGGCCUAGUCUUGCUCGCAUCGAAUUUGACAACUGGGAUUUUUUAUCACGUUGUCUUUUAGCUGAAAAGUGAGUAGAAUCUGAGCUUUCUUCACGGGAAGCUCGAGACAUAGGCGUGCGUGGCUCAUGAGGUCUUACGUUGCAUGCUCCUGGGAUAGCUCCUGUUGUCCCAGGAUAUAUUGAUUCCGGUUCUUGUUGAGGCCUUGAGUUUGCUACUUGGCCCCUUGAAUGCUGACGUUAAGGAGGCCCCGAUGUUGAGGCCUGGAUGCGUAACACAGCGUUUUCUUCUCUCAAUCUUUCUGUCUCCUGGAGGAGAGCUUUUAGUUGUCUUUCGCUUGCCACUGUCUCCUUUCGAUGGCUAGGCGCCAUUCAAGAUUAUCUUCCACUCCUCUACUAGAUGAUCGGCUUUGGGAAGGUGUGACCAUCUUUUUUAGUGACUGAACCAAAGUAAAAAAGUUCCCACAGACGACGCCAAUGUUGAUACCUCGCGCUCCUAGCGUUCCACGUAGUUGCCAAAUGGAUGGAUACGCGAUCUCAACCCACAAAGGUUCUUGAUUCAGUCGUCAUACCUGCAAAAGACAUCCGGACAGGGUGUCCGGAUGCACCCUCCGAUGGUUUUGUUAGCCAUGGUUAGAGAGGGAGAUAUAAAUCAGUUGGCCUUUUACUAGGUAUCAGGAGGUUACCUUCUUCUUCGUGCGAAGGUUCAUAUAUAGUGCCAGGAGUGCUGUUCCUCUCAUUAAUGGCGAGGAGAUAUUUUAUGUUUGUCAUGAUGACAUUCGGAGGCAGCAUGGUCAUCGCCACCCUACUGGCGGCUGUCAAAAACCGUAGUAGGUGAUGCUGCUGUUAGAGAUCGUGGGAAGUGAUCAUGUAGAAUGAUCGUGGGAAGUGACUUGUUGUCACCUCAACCCGUCCUUUCACUCUGCAGGUGAUGGGACGUGGAGCAUGACAGGCUGUUGUGGUAACGUGUGAGACUUGCUUACUUCAGUUAAUGAUCCGGACCAUUGUAUCCGGAUGGAAUAUGGCGAUCAUCCGGAUGUAUUGUGUAAGCCGUCCGGAUGAUAUGUUUAUAAGUGUCACUUGAUCUUCCUUGAGGUAGUCCGGAAAAGCGUGCCAUGUGUGCUUUAUGAGAAGGUCCGGAUGAAGAUGACCCGGAUGACAAUGCAUGCCAUGUGUCACUGUAAGAUGCGUGUCACGUGUCUCGGAGGGAGGGGUCCCUACACAAAUGACUGUUCUUCUCCUCUAGCAAGCAAUUAUCCUUUCUUUUGGGUUGGAGGCAAAGAGGGAAGAAUGAAAGUUCAUGGAAGAAGAAAGAAUAAUGUUGUUCGAGUCCACAAGCUAAAUUGUCCUAUUCCAAUUGUGGGGCUGCUAGUACUGCCCAUUUUCUCAGAUUGCUUUUAGAUGGAGUCAUGGCGUGUUCACACUGGCCUCAAUAAUGAGACUUGCGACUUUGGAUUUCAUUUUUUUUUUCUUUUUUUUUCACUCUCUCUCAUUGUACUUUUAUUUCCUUUCCUUUGCUCAUUCUUUUACAUCUAUGCCAUGUCCAUGUUGCUUGCAUUCUUCCUUUUUGAUUUAUUCCUUUCAUUUUUAUUUGAUGCUUUUAUUUUCCAAUGAAGCUGUGAGACUCUUACAGUCCGUUUAGAAGUAUUUCGAAAAACCAUUUUAAGUUUUAAUAUGAAAAGCAUUUUUGAAGGAAAAUAAGGCAUUGUAUGGACCCCGCGUUUUAGCUCAUGCGCUUCCAUUUGAUGGCGAGUUCGAUUUUGAUUUUUAAAAAAUUGAUUUAUUAUUUAAAAAAUGAUUUGGAGUCGCCACUUAUUUUUUGUUUUAUUUUUUAAAGGGUAAACAAAAUAAGAAAGAAAAUCGUAAGUGUAACUCCUUAUUUUGGAAAAGGUGGUCUGUGAAAAACCGAAUCGGGCUCAGGGGUCAGGUUACUUAUCGAGAAGGUACGGUAAAAACCGUAGCACCUCUCUAAGUCCUUAAAGUCGGGUAUUUGCUAAUAAAAUGAAACGAUCAUGACAAUUAAUGAGUAAAUCAACGGAUAUCGAAUGAAAAUCACAACAAAAUACCCGAAUGAAUAUGAGAGGCAAUGAACGUACAUGAGUGAUAACUUGAUUUAUUUCGUGGGAAGCAAAUGUUAGUGAAUAAACACAUAAUAACUAUGUGCAUAUCAUAGGAUAGAAUAAAUCAAUCACAUAUAACAAUCAAAUCAAUCAAUCAAUCAUAAAAUCUUAUAUGUCGGGCGUCCAUCAAAACCCGUUUAUUUUUCGCGUGAAUUAAUUUCAUAGAUUCCAUUAUUCAGGAAUUACAAAAUUGAGUUCACGCUUAUUUGAAAAAUGUUUUAAAAACUAAGAAAAUGUAAAGAUUGCUUACCGAAUGGGAAGUGGCAGCAACUUUUAUUAAAAAAAUGUGAUUUUGGGAACCUAAAACUAUAAGGAUGAGAAUUUGAAAAAAACUAAAAUUAUUUGAAGGGUUUAGAAAUUGAAAACUAUUUAAAAGCUAGAAUUUGAAAAAGAUUUGAGAAAUAGGAGUGUGAGAGAUUAUUUAUAAAAACCAAACAAGAAUGAAACAGAGGGAGGGGGACACGUGGCUCAAAGGUGGCCCAUACUAAAGGUGGCCAUGCAUGGCCUGGUAGGAAUGGGGGCCAGGGAUGUUUGCUCAACUUGCAGAUUCCGAGAAUCAUGGCCGGCGCGUCGUCACCGGAGGUGAUGCUCUUCUGGAACCUCUUGAUCGAGCCUAUGAUCGCCGUCGAUGUUGACUCUGUUUUGCCUUGGUCUUCAAGCUUUAGCAAUCGGCUGUAGGUUGCCGUUCGUAACAUGGCCUCUGGGAGCUCAAAGAAGUAUCUUCUUCGUCGUACGCUGUUCUCGAAGCUUUGUGGUUGUGUUGCCAAGAGCAGCAACCAAUGUCAUAAUCGGAAUCGAGAUCAAGAUCUGCAUUCUGACGCGUUCUCUUCAGCGCCGAAACACCUCCGCGGCCUCUGACAGAGAACCUGCUCGAGGCCUCCCCAUCUUCGCUGCUGCCUGUGCCGCCGCUACCAGCAGCACCACCCCCCAGCUGCUGCUGAUUCUGAGCCUGCUAAAUCGCGGACCCACCGAAGUUCAUCUGGCCAUGGAUCCCCAUCUGCUGGCGCACCAUCAUCGGAUAGAGCGUUCUGUUUUGCAAUACCUGGUUCAGGAUUCAUGCCCGAAACCCAUAAUAGAUGUCACGUGUUGCGCAGUCAGCUUAAUAUCUCCUGCAUGAUCUCUGUUCAUGUGAGACGCCACAGGCUUAGAAAACUGAGCUAUUGGAUCAACUUUUGCAGCUGUAUAGACCUCUUUAGUAAACUCUUCUGAUCCCAAGAGAGCCGUUGCAAUCCCAGACACAUAACGCACUACUUUUGGUUCAAUACGCAUAAAUUAGAAGUCACCAAAAUCAACCCAGAAUGCAUCGGGAUGCCUUGUCAAGUAUGCUGUACGAAUAUUCCCUUUAUCCAUGCACAUCGUCUUCAUUGAUUGGGUAUGUGAACUCCUCCAGGAGUAGUCUAGAGAGAGGAAAUGGAGACAUAGGUGUAUGGUGGGUAUGAGAUAAUGAAGGUAGGGUGGUGAGGAAAAGAGUGAAUGAGCUGGGUAUUAGAGAGUAGGGUGGUGAUUAGUGAGGCAUUUGCAUGGGAAUAGGGAUAAAGGCUAUGAAGCAUAUACACGGGUAGUGAGAAAAUGGGUAUAAAGGAUAUGGCUAUGUGGAAUGGGUUGUAACAGAUGGGUGUAAUGAAUGGAGGUAAUAGGCAUCAUGGGUGGAAUGGGUAAUGGCUGUUGACACGGCUACGAAGUUCCAACAUCUCUUGAUGGUCAGGAUCUACAGAGAGGGCAGCUCUACAGUCUCGCAGUGCACCCAACACAUCUCCAAUGUGCUCAUGAAAGGCUGCCCUCAGGUGUAGAAGGUGAAGAUCUGCCUUGAAUGCUAUUGCCCUUGACAGUUUUGCUAUUGCUUCCUUGUCCCUGAUGAGCACCCAACAGAAAACCAAAUAUUGACCGAAACCUUCCGCCAAUGAAGCCCAUGUAACUGGUCCUGCACUCAAGGGUUUGCCAAUCCCUCCAACAGCAUGCACCUCACCUCUCAUAAUAUUGAUGACAAAAAGUGCAGGAUGCCUUUUGUCAGCAUAAGUUUCCAUCCCGUUCUUCGAAAUUUGAAUUCCAUGGUCCAACAGUAUUGGGAAGAAACUUCAUAGAUAAGUAUCAGGGACAGGGAAAGGUAUCCAAAAACAGAGCACAAAAAGAUAGAAAUAGAAUGAACCAAGAAAAACCAGGUUCCAUGUUUCAAAUCAGUGGCCUAUGAACAGGUGAGACAAACAGGGAAACAUAUAUGUGUUCACCAAGUAUCAGACUCAAGAAUGAAUCAAGCUGCUUACAGAGAGAAAAACAAAGAACCCAAGAAUACGACUAAAACAGAGCUAGGUUAUAAACAAUCAGAUUCAGCAAACAAACAAGUGAUCAUGAUGUCCAUACCAAAUACAAACGAUGUCUAGGAAUUAAAAAAAGGUAUAAAGAAGAACAAAAUGUGAAUGAGAUCAUAGUAAAAUGACAAAAACCAUACCUGGGAAAAACUCUACUCAAACCAUGCUCACACUUAGCCUCAAGUGGGAUCUGUCCUUACCAAAAAAAAUACACAAGCCAGCACAAUCUCACCUCUGCAGCUGGCUCCUCAAAACUCAACGAAUACCCUCAAGCCCCAGGAUCUCUCUAAGAGUAUCUCAGAAAACUCCCUCCUCUCUCUUGCUUGCCGCUCAAGCUAAAACCCAUACUCUCCAAAAAAAAAAUCUCCCCCUCUGAAGUUCUCCCCUUCACUCUCUCUGCCUACCUCCAGACUUGCCCCCCAAGCCAAAAGGAACCCCCUAAAAAUCUCUCCACCUCUGAAGGUCACCGCCCAAGCCCAAGCCAAAAGGAACCCUACAAAAUAUCUCCAGCCAACCUUUCCAAAACGCCACCUCUUCUGCCAGUAACAGAAGCACCACCCUCCACUAACGGCCUGCAGCUUUUCCGAAUAUUCCUUGGACAGGUGUCGAACUCUCAUUCGCUCCUCAAUUCCACUUCAUACAACCUUUAGGCUUAUCGUGUUACUUGUUAUCUCCCUUGAAGGCAUAUGUAAGAAAGUUGCAAUAGUUUAAUGAAGCUAAAAAAGAUGUGAUCUAGGUUUAUUAUUCACAUGGAGCACAAUCCGUUAUUCUUAGAGAGUAUUUUGCUAGUCACAUAGAGUGCAUAGAAACAAAAAACUUAAGGAAGCUAGUAAGUAGCUUUAGUCAAGCAUAGUACCUUUUUAGGUAUGUCGGGUUCAUGGACGUGGCAACUAAGUGCCGUUGGGGUAAGUAAGCCCAUAGGUACUUGUAAGUGACAUUUUCAAGAUAUGAAAAGGGUUAUCCUAGGUCGGAACAUUGUUGAUAGAUUGACAGGUUGGGUAAACCCAUGGGAUAGCUGGUUGAAGGUCCUUAAUGUCUAAAACAUGCCAUAAGCUGUUGAAAAAUAGCAUUACGAGAUUUUUCCACUAAGGGUGGGGCUGUAGUAUGAGCUAGUCCAGCUUUUGCAUCAAGUAGAACUGUCAUAGAAAGACUUUCCAUAAGAGCCUAUAGUUCGAGUCAAAGUCAUAACCUCUUUAUUUGUUGAAAAUAAUCGUUAAAGAGCAUGCUGGGUGAGCUUCCUUGCAUUGGAAAGAUAGCUCAACUUUUCUUUGAUCGAGAGUUAUAGGUGUAGCAUUUUAAGAAGACCUCGCAAAGCAGAUGGAGCCAUGUAUUGACUUUCUAGGUGAUUAGUAGGGCCAUAUGAGGGUAGAUUGCCGCAAAUUGAUAGAAAAAAACUCUGAAAAAUAGUCCUUCGCGGUUGCCUACUAGCAUCAUGAAUUGUUGAUAAUGGUAAAAAUGUUCGAUUGGAUUUUUCAUGCCAUCGUAUAGGUUGAACCUUGAGGUCACAUAAUGAGUAGGCGACUCUCUUUGAAGCAAAUGGGGAACAAUAGGUGAUGCACAUGCUUGGUUCCAAUGCUUUGAUGCCUCUAGGGCUAAGUCGUCUUGUAAUUUUAACCAAUGGACCUUCGUCGAUAAUUCUUUACACUUGUGUCCCAACUUUGUUUAACUCCAAGCUUGGUCAUUUGAAGAAUUUUCAAUUUGAGGUAAGCUAAUAAUGGAGUUGCGGUAUCUUAUAAUGCUAUUCUCUGAGAGUCCUUCAUGUAGUAUCUAGUCCAAUAGGCUUUAAGGCCUUAGGAUGAGCUUUCUGUGGAUUUGUAAUGCACUGCUACCUUAGCUCUAUACAAAUGAUGUACCUAUUUUGUGGGGUCACCAACCAUGAAUUGAAGGUAAGGUAGACAAGUAAGUAGCACACGAAUUUCGAACUAUUUGUGGUUGAAUUCUAUUAUUGUACUUCACCAUUAGAGAUUUAAUCGUGGUCCUGGAUGCGUUUUUAUUAGGGCUAAUUUUUUUUGCUAAACUUCCUCAACUUGUUACUCUUGAUUAAGAGGUUGUUCUCACAUGUUAGUUCGAGAUUCCCAAUCUGUUGUUUGAAUGAUGUUACCAUGAGGUGGACACAUUCUAUAGCUUGGCUUGCCUUGGGAUAGUUCCUACAUCAUAAAUCAAUAGGCAAGUUCAAUUACUUAGUUCACAUGCAAUAGAAUUCAUACUGUUUCCAAAGUAGAUGGUAGAGAAAGAUUUAGGUUAAGUUCUUUACACAGUGGAAUUGUUAGACUUGACUACUUAGGCUUCAAUCAUUGAUGGAACUAAAUUGCAGUUGUCAUAUUUUUUAAUGUGAUUUUCUUUUUGAAUCUUCAUUUGCUUUUAUCAUCAUUAUCGCAAUGUCCUUUUCCUUCCGUUUUUUGAAGUGUUUGAUUUCUUUUAUUAUCAUUUAGUUGUUUAGAAGGAGGUCAUUGGACGACUUUUCUAUUUUUUAAGAUAUAUAUAUAUAUAUAGAAACUAAAAAUAAAAUAAAUAUAAAUAUAAUUGGAUAACAUAAUUAUGAAUAUGAGAAAUCCCCUAUUAAAAACAAAAACAAAUAUUUUUUUGUUGGUAAUAUGUAUCAUUUUUUUGUUUUUUUUUUCUGUAUUUUUGUUGGUGGUAAAAUAAAUAUUGCUAUACUUUUUAUUUUAUUAUUAUUAUUUUUACUCUUUUGCAACUCCUUACAAACUUGGUACUAAAUUUUCUCUACCUUUCAAGAAAUUUACAUCUUGAUAAAUAAAAUCAACUCAUUGUUUUUGGAAUAGGACAUAUUAACAACAUUUUUUGAAUGAAUUUUAUGUAGCUUUAUUUGUAAUUUUUUUUUCCUUUAAUGUGAUUAAUAUUUAUUCAUAUAUUUUACUAUAGUGAUAAGUUUUUAUAUAUUCUAAAUAAUUAAUAAUUAUCAGUACAUAAAAAGUAGAUACAAACACACAUGCAUAUUUAUUUAUUUAUUAUUAUUUACUUUUAUAUAAUUAUAUAUAUAUUUUUUUCAGUUUUCUUUUCAGAAUAAUCUUUAAGCAACCUUCGUCAUAUUUUUUUUUUUAUAUAUAUAAAUUUUUUCAUGCAAAAUUCCUUGAUCCAUGUUGUUGUUCUCCACCCAUUUAAUUUUUUAGCCACAUAUUGAGUUACUCAAAGGCCACAACCGUUAAUAUAAUUACUUUUAAUUACAUAUUUAGGUAAAGAUCAGAAUUAUAAUUAUUAAAAAAUUAAUAAAUAUGAAUAGAAAAGUGAAUGAAAUUACACAGAGGGGAUGAACUUGAAGAGAAAGUGGGUAGUUAUUGCGAUGGUGGGUGUGAAGGGAAUAUGAAAUUUUCAUAGAUUUAUAUGAAAGAAUUUAUGGGGAAUUCCCACCUAUGGUCAACAAAGCUUUUCAAAUAAAAAAAAUUAUAGUGUUUCAUUAUGCUAAAAAUAUUUAUUAGUUAUAAUCAAAUUCAAAAUGGUGGGUCGGUGAGCAAUUGUGGCUUAGGGCCUUAUAUGUUGGUUGUAAGGGUCUCCAAAAAGCCCGCGGCCCGCUUUAGGCCCGACCCGGCCCGAUGGGCUAAAGCCCGGCUCAAGCCUGUCAGGCCCGAGCCCGUUUCUGGAUUUUAGGCCCGGCGGGCCGGCCCGCUCCUUUAAAAAAAAACUACAAAAAUAAAAAGUAUUAAAAAAAAAUAUUCAUUUCAAAAUUUUAUUCAUUGAAUGUAUAAUUACAUUUAAAAAUGUGGGAAAAGUUUACAUCACUACAAAAUAAAUACAUCCCAACUAGGUUGGCACCUAUUUAUUUGUCAAUCAUUGUAUUUUUCAACCACAAAAAAUAAAAAUAAAAAUAUAAUAUACAUUUAGUCAUUAUUUUCUAGUGGUGAUGGCGAACUAUCAUGCAUCUAUGAAGAUCUUGAUAAUUUUAAAGAUUCCAUAUCGGCAAGCAUCUCUGUUUCUCGAAUGGAAUCGUACAUCCUUUUAUCUGCUAUUUCCCAAUCUUUCACACAUAUCCCUACUUCAAUAACAUCUGGUGUUAAGUUGCAUCGUUUUUUACUAACUACUCUUCCACCUGCACUAAAAGCAGCUUCUGAUGCAACUGUACUCACAAGAACUGUUAGUACAUCACGAGCAAUUAUAGAAAGCACAGGAUAUUUGUGUUGAUGUGAUUUCCACCAUAUUAAAAUAUCAAAAUCUUCUUGAUUUUCAAAUGAAAUUAUAUCAGUAUUAAGAUAUUUAUCUAAAUCAGAUGUAUUAUUUGGAGAACUAUUUGUUGUCUUUUUUUUACUUUUCAACAUUUCUAGAGCUCCUUUAUAAAAAGAUGAGGAGUUUGUAGAUGUAGGUGGUAAUUUAAUAGUAUUAAUAUCAUUACCCUAUUUUUCUUUAUAAUAGUUAUAUAAAUUAUAUAAUAAUGAAUUUAUUUCAUUUUUAAUUUCUUCAAUUUUUAUUUGGUCAUUAAAAUAAAUAAUUGUUAACCAUUCAUCCAAAGCUUCAAAUUUCAAUCUAGGGUCCACAAUUAAAGCAAUAUAAAAAAUUAAAUGUAUUUCUCCCCAAUAUUUUCUAAAUUUUUCUAUCAUUGCAAAUAUUGUAUCAUUAAAUAUUUCAAAACUUAAAUAUUUUUGAAGUACAAUAAAAAUAUUAGUUAUUUGCAUAAUAACUUGAUUUGAAGUUGGAUAAUAUACACCACAAAAAAUGUUUGUUGAAGUAUCAAAACUUUCAAAAAGAUCUCUUAAAAGAUCCGCAAUAUUUCAAUCAUAAUCAUUUAAUGCAUAAAUAUCUGCUUCACAAUCAUUGUUAAUUAAUUGUAUUUCAUAUAAUUCGACUACUUUUCUAUAUUUUGUAAUAUUUUGUAAAAGUUUAUAUGUGGAAUUCCAUCUAAUGGCCAUAUCCAAAUUUAUAUUUUUUCUUUUCAUAUUUAACAUUUUGCAACAAUAAAAAAAUAAUUCAUGUUUUGCUUAAGAACUAUUAAUACUAUAUGCAAUGUCUCUAAUUUUUUCCAAUGUACUAUCAACAUUUUUUAAUCCAUCCUUUACAAUUAAAUUUAAAAUAUGUGCACAACAACGUACAUGAAAUAUUUUAGCAUGAUCUUCUUUUNNNNNNNNNNNNNNNNNNNNNNNNNNNNNNNNNNNNNNNNNNNNNNNNNNNNNNNNNNNNNNNNNNNNNNNNNNNNNNNNNNNNNNNNNNNNNNNNNNNNCUUCUUUUACUUGUCAAUAUCGUUUUAGUCUAUGUAUUACUGCAUCAUUAUUAGCAGCAUUAUCUAAUGUUAUUGUCAAUAUUUUAUCACGAAUGCCUAAAUCUAUAAUUUCAUCAUUUAUUAAAGAUGCUAUAUUUUUACCACUAUGUGGAGCAUUUAUUAAUUUAAAUGAAAUUAUUCUUUUAUUUAAUUUCCAUUCAUUAUCAAUGUAGUGAGCAGUUAUACAUAAAAAACCAGUGUGAGUUAAAGAUGUUCAAAUAUCAAAUGUUAAACAAAUAUUUCCUUCAAAAUUUGCAAAAAAAAAUUUUUAAAUUUCUUUUUGUGUAUAAAUUUUUUUCAUAAUAUCUCUUUUAACUGUAUUUCCAAACCAAUCUUUAAAUUGAGGAUUAAUACCUCGUUGAAUUGUUCCUGCAAAAUCAUGAGUUUCCAUCAUGUUGAAAGGUUGUUCUGCUCUUAUUAUAUAAUCAAUCAUUUCUUCACGACAGUUAGAUUCAUCAUAAGAAAAUGUUUUUAAAUUUCCACUUUCAUUUUUACCUAAUUGCAUAUAAUUUCUAAUGUCUACAUUAUUUUUAGUUUUACAAUUUUCAUGAUGUCUUUUUAAAUGACUUGUGCCUGCAUUUGAGCCACCAGUAAGAAAUUUAUUACAAAUUUUACAUUUUACUUUUAUUUCUUUUUUAUUAUUUUCUAAAAUUAUUUCUAUUCUAUCAAAAAAAUUCCAUAUAUUUGAAGUAAAUUUUUUGUUUGAUGAUAUUUCAUCACAUGGACUAGAUGAAGAAGCACUUGUCAUAUUAUAAUUAUUGAUAAAAUAUUAUGCCAAAAAUAAUAAAGUAAUAAAUAUAAAAAAAAAAUGUAACAAAAAAAUAAAGUAGUAAGGGUGAAAUAUGUUACUCAAUUAGAGAACCGAUGCAGAAAUUCCUAGCAAAUUUGAACUCUUGGAGCCACCAAUGCUUAUUUUGCACCACCAACAAUAUUGUAUAAUUUGAGGGAAAAAUAAAAGAAUUUGAAAUAUUGUAGAAUGUGAGAGAAAUAGAGAGAAUUUGAUGAAAAAAUGAAAAGGAAGAAAAUGUAUUUAUAGGAAGGUUAAAAAAAAAUUCAAAAUUCAAAAUAAUUGGCCAUGUGACCGUUGGAGCCUUUAAUUUUUUUUUUUUUUAAUAAUAUACUUUAUAUAUAUAUAUAUAUAUAUAUAUAUAUAUAUAUAUAUAACUAACUCAAUUAAUAAACAUAAAAAGAAUGUAGUUUAGCUGGUUAGAAACUUAAAGUUUAAACAUGAGGGGAGGGGUUUGAAUCCCCCCCUCUUCCUUCCCUUGGCUUUUUUGAAAGCCAUUUUGGCUUAAUUCAAAAAGUCUGCCGGCCCGGCCCGCCCGCCAGCUCGCCAGCCUACAGGCUCAUAGGCCGAGCCGCGGGCCUAGCAUUUUAGCAUGGCCCGGCCUGUUGACCAAUCAACUGGCCCAUAGGCUCGGCCCGAGCUGGGCGCCUCCUAUUUACGGCCCACCCCGCCCGUUGGAGACCCCUGGUUGGUUGGAGGAUUAAACACUUAUUGAAUCCAAGUUGUGAAAUUGUGAGUUCAUAGGAACACACGUAUUAAUAUUUAUAAUCAAUUAAAAUGCUUCAAUUAUAAUUAUUUUUUAUUGAUAACAAACACUAGAUAAAUAGAAACUCCUACUAAAAUAAAUGAUAAGGCACUAACUUAUCAUACAUUUCUUUUGUAAAAUUACACAUGAAGAAAAGUCUCUCCUCUUUGCUUUAUGCAUUGUUUUUAAUUAGGGUUUAAUAAUAUUCUAAUUUUUUUAAGCUGAGAAAAUCGAACAAUUUAAUCUUAAAAGAAAUCUGUGGAUACAAGUAUUAAUAAUAUUUGUUCGAUAGACCAUAAGUAAUUAUUUAAAAAUUUUGGAAAGAUGGAGUUUUUUCAUGCAAAGCUAUUAAAGAAUUGUUAUACUCAAUUUUAAUUAUAUAAAAAAUAUUAUAAAAUUUCCUUUUAUUACUUUUUUUUUCCAAAGAAAAUAGAAGGAAAGAAAAAAAAUAAAAAAAAAAUAUUAGAAGUUUAUGAAUUAGUAUUUUAUACCACUUCAAAUUCAUUUUCCUUAUUUCAAUCCUUUCAUAUAAAGAUUAAAUAAUUUAAUUAUAAAUACAAGUUUGUAAUUAACAUUAAAUAUAUUUUAUUUUUUUUUAUUUUUUUAUAAUAAAAUCAAACAUGAAAAAUUAUUUUUAUUUAAGUUUUUUUUUUUUUUUUAACCAAACAUAACGUUAAACUUUGGCGAAAGGAAGGACAUUGCUAAAAAAUCAUAAAAGUUGAAACCUCAACUUGUUGAAAUAGAUAUUUUUCACACUUAUUUAUUAUAGAUUCUUAUUGGGUGUUAGCCAUUAUUUAGCUUCAAUUUUUCUCCUCACUUUUGCUCUUUUUAUGCCUUUGGGUUGCUUUGCUCUAUAUAUUUUUAUUCCUUAAGUUCUCCGGUAAAUAUUAAAAAUACAUUAAAUCAAUUGAUAAACCAAGAGAAAGCCCUAACCAGGUACAGUAGAAGAAUUUAAUUGGUAAAAUAUGUCUUCAAGAGAAACUUUUCUUGUAUUUUCUUUUCUUUUCACUUUUCACUCUUUCUUUUUUUAGUCAUUCAAUGAUCAUCAUUUGGCUCUUAGACUUUGCUUGCCUAACAAGUUAAUGAUUUUAUUUGAUUUUUUUUUACACUUUAUUCAUUAUCUCCUAUUUUAUUAUUACUAUAUAUAUAUAUAUAAUUUCUUAUUUUUCUUAUUAUUAAAAAAAAAGUAAAAUGGAAGAGAGAACAAUAAAUAAAUAAAUAAAUAAAUAAUAUAAGCUGGCAGGUUAGGUAUACUAAACUAGAGAGGGAGACAAGGGUGGGACCAAACUAUAGUUGAAGCCUAACAUAGUAAACAAACAUAUAACAACCAGCAUGCAAACAUUCUAAAGUGAUGAGAUGACAGUAAAAUAAUAUACUAAGAUCGUAUUUGUUAUUUUACUUUUAAUUGUCUAGAUUGUACUUAAUAGACGGUUUAUUUUAUUUUAGCUUUUUGACUUUAGUUAUUUUAAAAACUGUUUGUUUUCUAAGGUAUCACUUUGUUUAAAAUAAUUUGAUCUUAAUGAAAAUGGUAACAAAAAAUUUACUUUCAUCUUAAAUCUUUACUAUGUAACAAGUGUGUACAGAUGAGAACUUGAAGUCAGUUUCAUGUGGAGAAUGAGAUCGCCAACAGCCAUAAUUUUGUCUUUAAAGGCAUCCUUCAUUUGAUCAGCUGAGUGAAUAUCUUAAGUAGAAACACUAGAUGAGCAUGACCAUAAGGCCUGGUAGCAAGCACACAAAAUUCAGCUCAAACACGAAGGAUUAUUUUGAAGCCAUUGGUAAAUAAAAUUAUUACUGUUAUCAACAAGAAACGAUUUCUUAGCCAUGUCCUUUCAUUUUCUCGAGAACACUUCGUGUUCAAUUAACAAGGCCAAUCAACAACCCAAAAUAAGAGUAUUCACAACCACUGAACAACAUAUGUAGCAGACACAAAUCUAUCAUGUUCUUUUCAAGCCAUUACUUUCUAUCAAGAAACCUAUUAUACACUGAAUCAGAAGGGGAUGCAUUUCCUCCAACAUACAACUGCAUUAUUUGAAGCCACUCACUGCCCUGAUAAUUAAAGAAAAUAAUAAUCGCCCUGGUCCGAUGAUGAGCCCACAUCCAAGGGGUAGUUGUUGUAACACUAUUUGUAAUGCCCCGCUUUUAAUUGUGUAGAUGUUGACUACUUUAAACUCAAGAUAGACCUAACAACCUUAAAACAUGUCUUCAUAGUUAAGAGGAGUUUGUACAUGUUCUCAUAUACCAUAUCACAAUUGUGCUCUAAAUUGCAUUACUUAAAAAGCCUGUUACCUUCCCAUGGAAUGCAGCAACAAAAAACAAGCUCGAAAACUCCCACCAGUUUCUCAUGUAGGCCAACAUAUCCAUUUAGGGAUGCAAAGGAGUGGGUGGUUGUGACAGGGGGAGUCGCGGCAAGCGAAGGAGUAGACCGCAAAAUGGGUUGCAGAGUGAGAAGUUGCACCUCUAUAGAGUUUCCGGAGUGAGAUCAACAGAAAGAUAAAUGAUCAGAAACUAUAUUAUAAUGCGGUUUGUUUGCAUGUAUACUAUCCAGUAUAAUGCAGCAACGUACCCCAAGCAAGUAUACUAAAUCGUAACAAAUAAGAACCAAGGCUGCUGUAUGGCAAUUUCUAAGAAUAACUCACCAUGGUUUGAGAAUUUUUAUGACCAGUUCUCCUCCACAAUGGAUGCCGAAAUACUGGGAAGACAAAGUGGCCUUGUAUGAAUCUUGACUGACAAAAACACUAUUGGCAGGUAGUGAUCGCUAUACUAUGGAUUAGCAGUCAUGUUAAAGUGAUAUAAUCCUCCACUAUUUCUCUAGAUCAGGAAAUGGCUACACAGAACAUGCAAAAGGCCUUAUUUCAGUGAAGGGACUGCAUUCAUCUCUUUGAAAAGAAAAAAUUCAAGACGAAAAAUAAAACAUACCAUCAAUACAAGAACAAAAUGGAGAUGGAUACAAGGUAUAUAAUCUAUAUAUUGUACCUCUUAUCCUUCAACAAAACAACAAUGGCAGCGACUUCAGCAGGAGAAACACGUGACCGUGGCUAAUUAGAAGGUGUUUGCAGACAGCAGCUACUAGAAGACGUGGUCGUGGCGAAGCUUUUUGCUCUUGAAAUACCUUGAAAAGCAAAAAUCAUUAGGACUUUGGUGCAGUCUAAAAUAGAAACUAAAGAAGCUAAGUAGUUCUGCUUUUAUAAAAUUCAUUUGGUUACCAAUGAAUAUUCAGGACAGCUUAAACGAAAAGAAUCUUUGCUCAUGCACCCAGUGAUCUGAGUUCAAAGCUUGACAUUAAUUAGUAUCCUCUGAUGGUAUUGAUCCAUCAUCACCAAAAUUCCUAAGAUCCAAAGGCAUAGGAAUAUGGUUGUGUUCAUCAUCUUGGAAUGUUGGGUAUUGGACAUCCAAAUUUCCUUGAGCAUCCAGUAAGUCUAGCGCAGCAUGGUUUUGUUGAUGAUCUUGGAUGUAUACAAGAUGUAUCCCAACUCCUUUGAUGUUGACGCAAGUUGCUUGAUGACUAUCAAAUGAAAUUUCAAGGCUUCUGCGUUGAUUGGAGUCAUGCUCAUCUAGAACAGCAACCUUAGGGUAAUACACCACCCACAAUCGAUCUGACACACCACCAUUACUCUUGUAGCAUUCACAUGGGUCAUAGUUAAUAAAGAAGGAAGAAUCCCCUUUAUCAGACGAGCCACCAAGCAAUUUCCAAGAGUAGAGUAAAGGAAAAUCAUCCUCAAAAUGUUUCUCAGAACCAUUUACUUUCUGAUAAAGAUAGAAGAAAGCAAAUCCGAAGAAGUUGUUAUCCUCGUACAAAUUCAUAGGAAGCCGUAUUCUUAUAUGGUUCCCCAUUUUCUGAUAGGAUACCCACCUUGGAAUUCCGCUACUUCCUGGAAUAUUAAUUUUACUGAUUCCCGUUUGUGUGUCACAUUCUGAAUCCUGCACAAAAGUUUAAGCACCAUCAUCAAAUACAAAGCAUAGUUGGUAUAAAAGAACUUUUAUAUCUAAUACAUCGUACCUGAGUAGCUGAUUUCAACAAUUUGAGGAAAGAAGACCAGAGUGGACUUGAUGGACUAAACAAAGUUUCCAAGGCCGUGCAAUCAUGAGCAUCAAUUUCUCGUAAAGUUGAUGGAAACUCCGGAAUUUCUUGAAGCAACUUGCAGUGGCUGAUAUUAAGCUCUCUCAGCUUAUAAAAUUGACCGAUAUCACUGAAGAUUGCUCCUUCCAUCCCAUCGCAAUAACUCAAAUCUAGGUUUUCUAAGGAGCGUAAGCCUUUCAGAUUCCCCAUGUUCCUAGGAAACUUCUUCAGUUUUGGACAGCCAUGGGCAGUCAGAUCUACAAGAAAUUCCAAAUCAUAAAUGGUGUGUGGAAGAGUCUCAAGGUUCUUGCAAUUACUCAAAUCCAAAUAUCUAAGACGCUUUAUUCGUUGAACGGAUGAUGGUAACUCUUUUAUAGCCGUUCCACGUAAAUCAAGGUUUUUCAACUCUUGCAUGUCCUCCAUGAUUUCCGGAAAUGUCUCCAGGUUUGAGCAAUGAUUGAGAUCGAGUGUUGUAAGGGACUCCAACCUACAAAUGUUGCUUGGAAGACUCCUCAGGUUUUUGCAGAAACACAAUGAAAAAAAAAGUAGCUGAUUCAGAUGUUCAAAUGGUGCUGCUAUCUGUUUUAUACCCGUUCCACGUAGAUUAAGACUUUCUAAAUGUUGCAUGUCCUCCAUGAUUUCCGGAAAUGUCUCCAGGUUGGAACAAUCUCUGAGAUCGAGUGUUGUAAGGGACUCCAACCCACAAAUGUUGCUUGGAAGACUCUUCAGGUUUUUGCAUAUUCUCAAAGAUAAUAACUCAAGUGAAGUGAUGUGAACUAUUGAGGAGGAUAAUUCUUCAAUAGCAGUAUUAUCUAACCAAAGCUCCCUUAAACCUUUCAUACAACCUCUUUCCAUCUCCAGAAAUUUCUCCAAGCUCGAGCAAUUACGUAAAUACAGUUCUUCAAGGGAGUCCAAGUACUGAAUGCUACUUGGCAAACUCUUAAGCAGUUUGCAAUUACUCAAAUCCAACCAAGUAAGCUUUGUCAAGACUCCAAUAGAUGAGUCAAUCUUGUCCAGACUUCCACAAAGUCUAAGAUUUAGUCUCUCUAGAUUUGGCAUAGUUGAGAAAUUUGAUAUAUGGUCAAGCUGCGUAGAUCCCUGUAAAUUUAAGACCUUCAACUUUCCAAGACACUGUAGCCAAAGGAAAAUUAUUUUAACAAAUAAAUUUUUAUAAUCCUCAAAAUUAAUAUGUGACAAAACCACAAUAACUAAUUAGUAGUCAUACCUUAUUCCCUUGCCAAAGUUGUCUUAUGUUGCUCUUCUUCAAGUUGAUUUCAAUCAGGUUCUCGCCAUAAAAAUUUGAGGGCAAUGAUUUCAAAGGAUAUCUUUCCCAAAGAAGAUAACUUAACUCAUAUGAAGGAAAUUCAAAGUCUUCAGGAAAAUGCACCUUAGACUCCAUUUUCAUAAACUCUUCAUCAUCAUUACAAAUGAUUUGGAGCAACCUAAGUUUCAUCAUCUCUGCCCAAACUUGUGAAUUGAAUUGUAUUUCCUUCAUUCUAGACAAGUCCAUAAAUAUUGCCUCAACGUUUUCCAUUCCCUAAAGAAUUAGAAAAUAGAAUAUAUGAGCUAACUAAAAUUAUACAUACAUACAUACAUAUUAUAUAUAUAUAUAUAUAUAUAUAUAUAUAUAUAUAUAUAUAUAUAUAUAUAUAUAUAUAUAUACAUAAGGCAAAAAUAGUAGUAUGAAGGAAAUUAAAUUUAUGUAUUUUCUUCUUACCUGCUUCCUUAUAAAUGCUCGAUAGAUAUCCUCAGGCUCCCACAAUCUGCUCCACUUGUUAGGAUCUCUAGGAUAUUUUUCACGAACAAUUUCCCAACCCAUUUGUUGUAUAAGAUCGUGCAUAUGUAUCUUGUUAUUUAAAAUAGUGAUAAGACUUCUGUCAGAUAGAUGUCUUAUUCCACUAUAACCAUCCAAAAUUCUUGACACAAAAUCCAUAUCUUGUCCUUUGAAAAAGCACGCAAUAUCAAGAAAUAUCUCCUUUUGUUCACGAUCUAAUCCAUCAAAACUUAUUCGAAGAACAUGUAAGAUUUCCAUGUUUGGUAUUCUUUUCAAUUUAUGCAAUUCACUCUCCCAUUCAAGUAUUGUUCUUUCGUAUAAUAAAGAACCCAAGAUUUUAAGAGCUAAUGGAAGCCCUUUAGCAUAAUCUACUAUACACUUUGAGAGGUAUGCAUACUUUUGUUUGGGAUGGUUUUGUCUAAAGGCACUCCAACUAAAGAGCUCAAUGGAAUCCUCAACAUCUAAUUCCUUCAUCUGGUAUGAAUCAUCUAGAUGAUGAAGUUUUAAUAGGUGCUUAUUUCUAGUUGUAAUAAUAAUUCGACUUCCUGGACCAAACCAUUCCUUGCUUCCAACUAAGGAUUCUAAUUGGCUCAGAUCAUCUAUAUCAUCAAGGAUAAUAAGAACCCUUUUGCAGUUGAAUGUAUUUUUUAUCAUUAGCUUUCCUUGGUCCAAACUACUUACGUUGUGAUUUUCCCCCACUAAGAUAUCCAAAAGUUGUUUUUGUAAGUUAAGUAAACCACGAUGAUCUGCACAAGCUUCUCUCACACUUCCAAGAAAGAUGGUACCUUCAUAUUGAUGAAAGAUUCUAUUACAAACAACUUUGGCAAGGGUAGUUUUACCUAUUCCACCACAUCCAUAGAUUCCAACCAUUCGAACAUCAUUUGACUCAAUACAUAAUUUCGAAGUCAUUUCAUUCAAAUGGGAAUCCAGUCCAACAAGAUUCUUGUCAACAUAUAUGAAACCAUGAUUCAACCUACUGAAAAUAUCUUCAGUAAUUUUCUUAAUGUACUGUGACUCAUACCUGUCAAAAAUAAAACAUCAUAAACAUAUGAUAAGUUAAAAGAACUAGAAAUCAUAAGAAACAUAAAAUAAAUUUGAUAAUACUUCAUUUAGAUAUUUUCUACAUUGAAGUACAUUAAUUUCCAUCAUAUAAACAUGAUUACUAGUAGAGUUAAAAUGUAGAAUAUAUAUGAUCGAUGCUAUUUGUGAAGUGCCACCAUUUAAGUUAUACUUGUUCAGCACACCAAUCAAAUUGGAAUGGCCUAACCAAGUAUUAUAAACAUGAAAAAAAAAAUUCAUGCUUUCAUAGUCUAUAUUUCUUCUGGAAAGUUUGGAUCUGUUUCAUAGGUGGUAAGUUUCAACCUUAAAAACUAUUUCAUUUGCAUUUUGUCACACAUGGUUACCGCAUGAAUGAUAAUGAUAAUUAAAGGAGUAAUAUAUGAUAUUCUAUAAAAUAAUGUAUUCUCUUUUCUCACUUUACUACAUGGAUCAUAAUUAAAGAAUUAGUACAAGGAUGUUCUUUAAGCACAGUAUUGUAUUCUUUGAGUGCUAAUUCUUAUCCUCUCUCUAAUCAUAUUCCAACAUUCCUACACUCACAUAUAUGCUAACAAUUCAAUCAAAGCUUAAAGCAAAGGUAUCUUCAUGACUUCUUAAUUAUUUAACCGCCCAAUGCAUAUACUGAGCAAACUCAAAAUAAAAAUUGAAAGCCCAAUUUCUUUUGGGAACUCCAAUCGUAAUUUUUGUUUCUAAAACUUAAAAUCAUCAUAUCUCCUAAUCAUGGAUUUCAAUUCAUGUAUUUAUCAAUAUUCCAAUGAUAUGACUAUAAUUAAAAUAGCCAAAUUCCUCACAAUCCUAUAUAAAUAAAACUCCCUUUUAUAUGAACCCUGAAAGAAAGUUAAAGUUUUACGUUCUUCACAGUCCAACUUUGCACCUUACAAAAUUGGUUAAAUAAAUUGGCAGAUUGAGUACAAUUUGAUUAAGGUGUUUUAUUGGUAUUCAAGAUACUGGUUAGUUUACAAUUUUGUAGCAUGUUAAUAGAUAUUAAUAACUUUUUAAUCUUUUUUCUUAACUUUAAUUUUAAUUGUUAUAUAACUAUGCAAACAAAUUUUUAAAUAAAUUGAUUAAUUCAUUUUUGUAAGAUUAAUGGAUUAAUUAUUGAAAAUUGUAAAAUUAAUAAUAAAUUUUGAUUAAAUAUUUUAGAUAUGGAUUCUUAUAAGGCCUAAAAUAGUCAAACUUAUUAAUUGAUAUUUAAUAAGUUCAAUUUAUAAUUUAUUAUGAAUAAUUAUUCAAUAUAAUUCUUCUUCUAUUAUAAUAUUUUUUAUAUAAUAAUAGAAGAAAAAUGAUAUUUAGUUAUAAAAGAUAGUAAACUUCCAUAAAUAUUUAUAGUUUAUUGCAAUUUAAUUAUCAUUUAAUAAAUUAAGCAUUUAGGCUUUAGAUAUGAAAUAAAAAGCAAAAACAUUUGGUCUUUCUCGUUAUCAUUCCAUAUCUAAUAUAUAAGAUUAAUCAACCAAUAACGUAAAAAAAAAAAACAAACAAACAAACAAACAAAACAAAAAAAGUUUCAAAUUUUACAAAACAUUUAAAAAAAUUUAAAGAAUUUUUCAAAAGAAUUAUAAAAAUAGCAAGGGAUCUUAUUAGAAAAUUUUCGAUAUUUUUAAUAAAUUUCAUGGAAUAAAAAAUAUUAAGGUGGUGUUUCUUUUAUUUUAACUUUUUGUGUAACUUGCUUUUAAAUUUUAGAUAGUUUAUUUUAAAAUUUUUAUUAACUUAUUAUUUAUUUCUUAUAUUUAUUUUCAAAAAAUAGAAAAAGUCAAAAAUAUUUUACUUUUCCUAAAUGUUAAAAGUAAUUUAUUAAUAUUUAGUUUUAAGUUCUAUUUAUAAAAUUAAGUUUUAAAAUAAAAAAAAACAAACAUCACUUAAGUCUUUUUUAAAAUAUUUCAAUAAUUUUUUUAACUAAAAACGCAGAAGAUUUGUAUUCCUAAAUUAUCUAUAAUUUAAUAAUUGAGUUUCCUAUUAAACUCACCGCUUUUUAAUUAAAUAUCCAAAUCUAAAAUGUUUAAGCAUUAGAAUGAUCAUUAAAAAAAAUAUUUAGUAAAGUAUGAAAUACAACAUUAAAAAGGUCAAUUUAUUAGACAAGAAAACCAAAAAUUUCCCAUAACAAAUGAAAAGUUAAAAACCAAAAAAUAAAAAAAUAGAUUAGGAUAAAAAGAAAGAAAAUACUGACAAAUAUAAAUAUUAAAUAGAUUUUAUAAGAGAAUUUACUUUUCUUAAAAUUUGAUUUUAGUAUAUGAAAUUUAUGUUAUUCAAAUGCCCCACCACACACACCUAACAUUCUAGAAUGUUAGGUGACAUUCUAUAAUGUUCGGUCACCACAUGAACACACCUAACAUAUAUAAUGUUAGGUUUUUUGCCGACAAUAUUAAAAUUGUAUAUUUUUCAAGGGGUAGAUUCUUUCUUUUAAAUAAAUAAAAUAAAAUAAAAAUUAAAGUUGAAAAAAAUCCAACUUAUAAAUAAAAGCUGAACAACACUUUUUAUUUAAGUUUAGUUCCCCUUUUUUUUCUUUCAUUUUUAUUUUAUGGCUCCAUAGAAGCAUAAAAUAAAUUCCUUAUAUUCAUCAGAAGUAGUUUCCAGAUUUUAACAUUAGUAGGCCUCCAAAUAAAAAAAUUUGGUUCAUGUGUUUAUAAAUAUUUCAAUGAAUUUUUCAUGACUAUAAUUGUAGAACCUCUUAUUCUUUCAUGACUAUAAUUGUAGAACCUCUUAUUCAUGUACUAAUAAAUAAAAUUCACAUAAAAAUGAAAGUUGAAAGGAAAUUUAAGUUUUUUCUUACCCAUCAUCUUUCACAUGCUCUCCUGAUAGAUUGGCUGCCUCUGUCAAUGCACUCCUCCACCUUUGCACCAUCUCUUUCUUCUCUUUUGUAUCUUCUUUGUAAUUCUUAAAAGCUUCUCCAAAACCCCCUGUUUGCUUUCGUACAUGGGAUGGAUCAACAUGGUAGAAAAUUGAGAGGACGAUUUGUCCCAUUUCUUUCCUGCACUCCAUGAUCUUAACAAGCUCAUUUAAACACCAUCUUGAAUCAGCAUAGUUUUCAGAGAAAACGAUUACGGAAAACCUUGAUCUUUCAAUGACUUUGAAGAGUUCUGACCCAAUCUCUUCUCCUCUCUUAAGUUUAUCAUCUCUGAAGGUGCGAUUGCCUCUCUUGAGCAAAGCUUGGUAGAGGUGAUCAGUGAAAUUAUAGCGGGUGUCUUCGCCUCCAAAACUCAAGAAAACAUCAUAGUUCUUUUGAGGGAUGGAAUUAGUAGUAGUCGUAGCAGAGGAAGAAGAAGAAGAUGAAGAUGAAGAUGAUGAUGAAAAGGGUAUUAGAAAACUUAGGAACGCAAUUAUGGAAGCGAUUAGGGAACUUAUGGAAGCUAUUAGGGAAUUUAUGAAAGCCAUGGUUGGUUUUUGUUUCAAAAUCACAAGAGGGUGUGAGGCUUGAUUUCUCUUGAGACUUGAGGAUAUGUAGCAAGCAAACUUUGCUUAAUACAUAAACUGUUUCUUAGUAAAAAGCUGGGGAGGUAAUUAAGUGGCUUCCACUGACCUUCCUAAGCAACUUCAAUAUUUGUAGCUUGGUAGAUAGGAAAGAAGGACAGCAUUCCCAGUGCCGAAAGAAAGAGAUUCUCUCAUUCUUACAUUUGCUUUUCUUUUAUCACCUUUUGCUUUUGUUUUGUUGUCUCACAGGUAGGCCAUUCAAUUCAAUGAUCAGCAUUUGGUUCUUGCACUUUUCAGUGUAUUCUUCAAGCCAUGAAUGGAAUUGAAAGGUAACUGUCAAUUUUUUAAUGUACGGCUUCACGUUCUCUUUUUUACUUUUGCUUUUGUCAUCAUUACUGCAAUGCCAUUUUUCUUCAAUUUUCCCUGUUGCCUUUUUCUCUUUUAUUAUCAUUCAGUUCUCUUUGAACGAGCUCAGCGGGGCCAGCGGGCAAAGAAAAGACUUCUGUAUACCUUGCGUCUGUUUUUCUUGCCACUUUUUCACUUUUCUUCUGUUUUCAUUUGGGUGUUGCAUGCACUCAACUUCCCUUUUAAAAAAUAAAAAUAUUUUACUCUUACUAAAUAAUAAAAAUAAUUUGUUGAUUUUUAUUUAUUUCUUAAUAUUUAAUAAAAAUAAAAUAUUAAAAAAAUACGUAACUUAAUACUUGACACUAUUAAAUAUUAUUUAGUUUUAACUUAUAUUUAAAAUUAAAUAAAGAAAACAAAUAUCAUCUAAGACCUUUUUUUUAAACAUUUCAAUAAUUUAUCUAACCAAAAGUGAAGAAAACUUGUGUUCCUAGAUUAUCUGUAAUUUAUCUAACCAACAGCCCCAGCCAAAAAUAAAAAUAAAUGCAACCAUAUCAUAUUGUUGCAAUUGAAGUUGACCGCCACAAAGCUGGAGCAAACAUAGUAUAUGGUUGCGGCUAGUGUUAUUUCCCCUAUUAUAGUUGAAAGACAAGGCAGCAGCCAAAAGGAGGGUGCAACUGAAGCUUCCGGAUAUAGUUGUGGCAGUUUAAUUCCCUCCACCAAAAGGUAUAUAAAGCAAUAUAGCACCUGUUUUCCGCUGCUGUAAGCAUCUUAUGGUCAAACAUUAAAUGGUGGCUGUAGAGUUCCACAAGUUACUUUGUGGUUUUUUUAUAUAAAAUGUCUGUGCAGAUAUGCAGACUUAGUUUCAGUGUACCGCCAUCUCACUUCACAGGUUACAAACCGGCUAUUAUAAUAAGUUUUUCAGAAUUUAAGCACAAUGAACAAUACAACAUAUCAACAACUAAAGUUGAUUGACUCUGCUAUUUUGGGUCAUUGACUGUCCUUGAGAGUUCAAGUUGUCAUGUUUGUACUCGCUUUGCAUUACUAUUGCAACAAUUACAUACUACAGUUGAAACCAACAUCAACGAGACUUGACGUUUACAAAUUAAAUUUUGCCAGCUAGAAGGUGAGGUCUCACUUUCCUCACCAAGCCCUGAACUUCAACAGCAUCUGGAAACAUGCAUUCAAUGCGGAUGCCAUAGUGUUUCUUAACAGUAUCCAAGAAUUGAUAUGUUUCCAGGUUGAACCUUCCGGUGUUCAAGUUGAACACCUUUAAUGGACAAUUCAGCAGCAUCUUCAGCACCACUGCCAAAAAAACAGGAAAGCAAAUAUUUUUUUCAGUACACAGCUUUGAUUCUGAUUCCACUAGUAAAGAUGAUGCAGAAUAUCACACAUGGAUUGAUCAAUGACAGAUACAGGAGUAGCAGAUAGAGAUAAAAGAAACACAAUAUAAAGUACUUAAUUCCAUUCUGGUGGAAAUCCCAGUUUUUCAAUUGAAAAUGGAGUACCAGUACUGGAUUAAUCAGGUGUUCUGUUUUGAAACAAUUGUCAGAUAACCAUAUAUAGAGCUUCAAAUGUUGCAUAUUGCAUACAACUUCAUGAUUCUGCACAUCCCAAUAAAAGUUCCUACGAGAUCCAGUAUAAAAGUAUAAACCUAACUCCCCAAAUCAGUAAUGCUGGCAUUAAAAUGCUAGCACUAAACUAAUGGCUACAGUCAACUUGUUGCACACUUUUUCAAGAAUGAGUCAAAACACAGUAACGUUAAUGGAUAUGAUGAUCUGUUGACAAGAGAACACCAUUCCAAAAAGAUAUCUCAUGUGUUUUCUAAAACCAGAUAAGGUUUAGAAACAGUUACAAUAGCAUGCAAGCAUGUCUGCAAAAUCGUAACUCCACAGAUCUAUUAGAAUAUGUAACACAAAUUUCAUCUACCUCAUACCUGCUUUUACAAAAUCUGUAUGUUUAUACUGAGCUUUUCCUUUAACAUCCUCCUCUGUUACAGAAUGUACAUGAACACAAAACUCAAAUCAAUGUCCUCUAUAGUCAAUUGGUACUCCUUAUCUUCUGCUCCAACUAUUAUCACUGGACUGUUCCAUCCUCUUCUUAACCAACUGAAAGACAUAAAUAGAAAAGCUAUGUUAUUUUUUAAUUUCAACAACAGUAAAAUCACUGCUUUGAAAAACCUCACAGUGAUGUAGAACAGCUGGAAACAGGUUCCAAAUUUUAAUAGGAUUUAAUGAUUUUAACUGUAGGGAUUGGAACAUCUGGACCACUCCCUUUUCAGCCCACAUCUUCCACUCCCUCCCUCCCUAUUUCUCCUCAUAAUUCAUUGAGGGUUCAAUUUCCUUUAACUCUAUUUUUGUCUUCUCGCCUAAGCAUACAUUCCUGAGAUGCCAAAGAUAACUCCCUCCUUGUCAACUGCAGAGAGGAGUUGCAUGGCCUCUUCACCUCGCAACACCUUCUCCUGGAGUCCCACCACACUCCAGACAUUCAUGGACAUUGGCACUUAACUGCCAAAAUCAUGAAAAUCUAUGAUUGCCCCUAACAUUAUAUGAAAACUAGUUGCAUAUUAUGUCAGAAAAAUUCAAACCCCCAGCCCAUAUGCUAUGGCCCUCAACUUUGCCAAAGAAAUAGGCAUUAUUUUCCAAUGGUGUUAAUCCCCAUAACUGGAAUGCAAAUUGGAUUCUACUUGUUUGUUCCAAAGGUAUAAACGAACACAUCCCAGGCAAGCUGACCUCGUAGCUAACCAACUUUUUGUAGGUAUUCAGAAAAUGCUACUUGAACAAUGAUGCAGGUGUGAUCGAUUUACAUUUACAUAUUUGAAUCAUCAAAAAAAGAAGCUGAGCAGCACAUAGGAAGUUCAUUUAACAAUAUAUUCAUUAUUUGUAACCAGCGGCUUAAAUUAUGAACAUUCAGUGAAAAUUACCUGUAAACCCAUUCAUUAUCAUACCAAGAGACCAACUUGAUAAAGUUGUCAUUCAGAGCAAUUCCAGCCUUGGCAUAAAAAAUACUCGACCUGCCAAAGGGCAAGUGAUUAUACAAUUCACUUGCAAAAUAAGAAAAGUAUUGAAGAUGAGGAAGAAUAAAGAUAUUGCAAGAUUUGCCUCACCUGCGGUCCCCGAUAAAAUCACUUGAUACCACAUCAUCCUUAGUGUAACCAAGGAUUUCCUUCAAAUUUCCCUCAUAUUCCGCCCUGGAAGAGAAUCAGAUGGUUAAAUUAAUAAGAAUAUCUCGAGUUAUUCUUUUUCAUCCUCUUUUCUUGCAAAUCAGAAGGUGCAACCAGCCAAGAAAAAGAAAUAAAUAAAUCCAAAUCAGAAUAUGAUAGAAAUUCAAAAAAAAAAAAAAAUUCCUUCUAGAUCCAUUUGUAUAUAUGAAAAAACUCUCACAAACACAAACAUAUAUAUUAGUCAUAUUAUUGUGGAACUAACUAUAAGUAAUGCUAAUAAACAUUGAAGAGUAGUUAUGGAGCAACAAAAUUCACUCUAGCAGCAACUCUCAAGAAGAAACCAUCCUCAAAAUCGGUGGCAUAUAUUGAAAGGUUGAGGCCUUAACUCAAGAGUAGAUAUGAAUGGAGAGAGAGAUUUGGAUGAACUACAACAACAGAAUGGAAAACAUAAGAACAAGAUGUAAGUUUGAAUUCAAGAAUGGUCUAAAAGUUAUCUCUUGUUCCGAUUUAUAGAAACUUACAGUACACUGUCCAAGAAUAAUUCUUGAAACAUUGCUUAGUUUAAGUUGUUUCACUUUUUUGCCAGAGUACCAUAUCAACAUAUAUUCAUCCUGAAACAUGACCUAGGAACACAAAUAUAUGGGAACAGAGGAUGAAAGAAUCAAGAGGAAACAUACCUGUUACUUGCUCCUCCUGUAAGAGCAAAUUGCAACUGAUAGAUGCAGCUUCUUCAAGAUAAACUGCACACAAUAAAUACCCAGAAGCACAUCUUCUCAAAAAUGAAAAAUUUUCAACACCUAUAAAUGAAUGGAUUUGAAUUAGACCUAAAAGGUAAAUAAAUCCUUUGGUUCCAAAAUAGAAGCCAUAGGAUAGAACAUAAUUCCUACAAAAUUGGGGCAAAAAAUAGAAAAACCAUAUAAACCUACCAGUGUCACUAGGUCCCAAGGGUUUUACGGGCCUAAAAUGAUUCAGGCCUAUCUAUUCUCCACCAUCUAGAAUCUGUAAAUCAGGGGUUACCUAAGCACAGGAAUGAGUUAAAGAUCCUUGAGAAAUGAAUUUUCAUAUUUAGAAGUCUUUUCGUCUAAAACACAAUGAUAUCCAAGUAGGUGGAUGAUCUUCAUACCUUUCCUGUCUAAAACACCAGUAAAGCCUUUUGGGGCACCCUCAGGUGGAAUUUUCAUACCUACAUUUAGGGCUUCAAAUUACACCAACAACAUCUUUGAGAAAUCAUCAAACUUAAGAGAUUAUCUCAAUCCAUAAGAAAGGAAGAAAAAUCAGCUAGAAAACCUCCAAAUCGAAAUUUCUACAGUAAUGAGUGGACAAAAAAAAUGGAGAAGCCGUACCUGAAAACCCUCCAAAUCCUCUGGUAACUUGAAACCCUAGCAAUUCAAAGCCCUAGAGAAAACCAUAAGGUAGAAAAUAAUAGAGUGAAAUCGAAAAAAAUAAAAAUAAAACAAAGUGACAAUGUUGAAAGAAAAAAAUACCAAGCUGCAUCCCACAAUGCCUGAAGAAUCAUCCAGCUAUUACAAGAGAAAAAAAAAAAACCAAUGAGUUCGGUACCGACAAUGAUGAAAGAGGAAAUGGGUUUGGCAAUCAAAGGUGAACGGGAGAGAAGUGGGUUUGGCAACGAGGGUAAGCAGGAGAGAAAUGUUGCAAUUUAUAUAUGGGUUUUAUGGUAGUGGUCUGGUGGCGUCCUGGGCCAUAUAUGGUAGCGGCCAAUUUUAUCCCACAGCUAUAGGAUGUUUAUAGCAGCAUCCAAUUAAUCCUGCAAACUAUAUGUCUGUUGGGAACCACUCUGCAACUGCGACUUGUGUAGCUGUGAGAUUAUAUAUAUACUUUUUAGUUGCGGAUGUUGUCGACCCUUCCUAAAAUUACGCGACUAUAUCUCACUUUUUUAGUAGUGUGAUUAAUGUCUCCCCACAUUUCCAGAGAUUACCUUAAUCUCCCACAUGGUUUUCAAUACAGAAAAGAAGAAAAUCAGAGGUUUGAGAGAGAAUUGCAUGUCAAGGAAGUAUUCAAUUGUAUUGAAAAAAUUCUUUUAGCUUAUGCAGGACCAAGAUUAGCUGCCAUGAAUAUACCCCUAACAAUGUGACCAAGAUACGAGCACCACUGCAACCUAUUGGAUGUCCCAAAGAUAUAGAUCCACCAUGAACAUUGACCUUUUCCUGAAUCCACAAAAGAGCACAUGCUUAUAGAGGCAGAAAUAUGAAAAUGCUCAGGAAAAUAAAAUUGUACAAAACUGAAGUAAACAAAUUCAAUGUAUAGUAAGUCACUAUAGGUUAAAAAAAAAAAAAAAAAGUUGAGACGGUGAACCAAAACACUCACAGGAUCAAGACCGCAACUUUUAAUUAGCAAGAGCUACAACCUGCAGAAAGCAAAUGAGAUCAUAAAAUUAGCAUAAACUGUUACUUGAUAAAAGAGAUGGUAGAAGUAUAACAAGCACAAGAAUAAAUCCUUACGGCGAAAGCCUUGUUUAUUUCAUAGUAAUCAAUUUGAGAAGCCUUCAGGCCCGCAUUAGAAAUAGCUUUUGGAAUUGCAAGGGCUGGGGUAGUUGUAAACAACUCAGGUGCCUGCCCAAGCCAAUCAUGUUUUAGUAUCAAGUCAUCUGUGGUCGUAUCAAGAUCGAGACAGAUAUAAGUUAACUUUUUAACAGUACCUGAGCAGCAUCACCAUAUCCUGCAAUCUUAGCAAUCACUUGGAGUCUAAGCUCAACUGCCUUCUUACCACUCACUAGCACUAAUGCAGCCGCACCAUCACUGUCCACAAGCGAAUAGCACCAACUUACAGUGAAAUGAUUGGCAACACCUCAUGGGUUGACAUGCUUGGUUACAUAGAAAUAUACAACAGAAAUCUAUCAAAGCAAUAUAUGGGUUUAACUAAAAUCUGAUGAACUAAAAGAAUCACUAUCUCUUUAGUGGGUUAACAAAAAAGUAUAUGCCCCUAACUUAGGUGUUUAGAUAUGAAUUUAGUUAUUUAUUUUCAAAGUGAAGCCCUAUAUAAAGAAUCUGGCAAGAGUUUCUCAUUUUGGCCAGAUGGUUGGGAAAUUCAAUUGUUCAUCUCACAUGCUACAACAAGAUCAGGUGUUUGAGACUCUUAAGGACAAGGCAAGCAUGUGAGAGCACACACACACACACAUACCUUAUGCUAGAAGCAUUCCCUGCAGUAACUGAACCCCCAUCCUUGAAACUUGGUCAAAGUUUCCUUAGUUUAGCAGCAUCAAACUGUCAAGAUGGAAAUGGAUAUCUUAGAAAGCAAGGAAAAUAGAUGGUACUGAGAACCCAGAACAUGAAUUUGUUUCAUGACAGGUAAGGUAAUUACUGGGUUAAAGAUGAUCUGACUAAUACCAUUUGGUGAUUAGAUCCUAUAUAUUUGUUUUCAUACAUCAAAUUACCCAUUACAUUACAGCAAUGCCCAGGCCCCUUUUAAUUGAUGAAGAUUGAAAUGGCUUGAUAGAAAAAUUGAAGAAUGAUUCGACAUAUUAGGCAAAGUAAAUAAAAUGAAGAGAACGGCACAGGAUUGCUUAUAUCAAUAACCAGUUGCAAAUGGAAGAGUGGCGUCAACAACUUUUCCCAAAUUACAUGUAUGAAUAAGAAAUUUAUAUUUCAGAUGAUGGACGUGAAUCCCUAUGCCCAUAAAUAAUAUUUACCUUUCCUAGACCUUCAUCCUUAUCAACAAGUGCAGAUGGCAAAGUCACAUGGACCCGAUUAGUAUUUUCAAAGCCAUUUACAGUAACUUUAAGAAAAAAUGAUGUGUGAUAGUCAACACAUAAAUCACCCUUGCAAGCAGUACUGUUAUUUUAAUUUGUGUUCACUUGUUGUUCUUGUGAUGCAUGGUUUCACCAAGAGUUCGUUAGACAUGUCCACUCGAAUGAAAUUAGACCGAAGAUUGAAAAAGUAGAAGAAGAUACAAACUAAUCACAGUACAAUUUUCAACCCUACUUGGUAAAUUUCAUUUAAGUUCCAAACAACUAGUGGGUAAAAAACAUUGAGGAAAAUUUCACAACAGCAAACUGUUACCUGUUGUUCUCUUGUUAUCUUAUGCUGAUCAGCACAUAUUUCUGCACAAAUUGCCAUUCCAAAAUCGUUGUAAACAUCCCAGAGGCCAUCUUUGGCCAUACCAUCAACAAUAGUAUCAUGGCCUAAUCGAGAUCCAUUUCUGUUUAUAAGCUCAGAGUCAGCUUAGAUACAUAGACACUUCUCCCUAUUAGUAAGAACGGCAACAAUAUGUACUGGCCCAACAUGCUUCGUUCACAUACUGAGAAUCAUGUUAAACUAAGCAAGCAACUCAAUAGACAUAAUUGAUCACAUGACCCAAAAAGCUAACGUUGCAUCUACUAGGUAUUUAGGCGCAUUAGACAUUCUUUCCAUGCCACCAGCCACAACUACAUCAUUUUUACAUACUCUCAACCCUCUUAAACUAUCACCAAAAAAUUGUAAAAUAAUCCUGAUCUUUAGUUUAGUCAUUUGCUGAAAGUUCAAUUUUUGAAGGGAGUAUUAUGGCUGUUUAUUCAAUUGUGAGCACCCAAAUUGAACUCCCCUAUGAAGAUGGGAUUGACUACACACAGUUCUCAAUUUUCUUCUCUGAUAGAGAGGCAUUGGAACCAGGUUACAUGAUAGGGCAGCUCCGGCAAAUUCCCAAAGAGAGAUGGGCUAAAAUGUGGAGGCAUCUAAAGUACAUCUCCCAUCACUAUGAAUUCCAGUACCCCUAAAGAAAGGAGACAAUAUUGAUAUGCUAUGGAGACAGGUAAAGCACAAGCUUCCCAGGGCCAACCUUGAUGAACAUAGAAGCCAAAGGUUGAAAGCUCCAGACUGGUGGGACCGCAGGAGAUAGUUUCUGCAUCCUGCUUUCAUUACCUUGUAAAUUAAAAAAUCAUUCCUAGUAGCUACAGUCUUAAAGGGGGAAAAUUUUCCACACAACAAAUGGAUAUAUCAAUUCCAAUGUGCUUUGCUGGCUCUUCAUGUCUUGGAAAAAUUUAGAAAGAACCAUCACAACUUUCCCUUCAAAUUUAUGUCGACUAUUCUAGCAUUUUCUCUGAAUAAUUGAGGUGGUUGGUUGCCUUGAAAUUGGUUUUCCCUCUAGCCUUAAUGGGGAGGAAGAAUUUUCUGGACGUUAUAUUUUCCUAGCAGUGUUGGUGGUUGAAAUGAAUUCUUGGAAAUGUAUAUGUUUUUGGUGGUCAUCCUUGCUAGCUGUCUAUGUUUAUAAUGGAAUUUCAAUGAUGAGUCAGCAAUCUUCUUGUUGGCUUUGAGUGAGAGAGUCUUCUUGUAUUCUGUUAAACCAGAGAUUGCCCAAUAAUGCAUUAAUAUGUUAAUUCUUUUUUACACAAUUUAAUUUUUAUGUCUCAGAAUAGUAGUGAUUUGAACUCUCCUAUAUAUCACUCAGUGAACAGAUCGAAAUACAUCUGGAAUCUGGAUGGGUGCCUUGUCCUUCAAGGCAAACCUGGGUUUUCUGAGUUGUCUCAUAAUUCCUAAUUAUCUCUCACAGUCCCUGAGAGUUAAUGCAUUACAAGGAAAAGAGGAAAAGGGAAAAGGCUUAUUAUGGUUGCCAAUUAGAGCCAUCCCACCGGUUGAUGGGAGUGAAUGCUGAUAUCCAUCACCUACCUGAAAAGUGAAAACCUUGGGACUAAUGGUUGUCAUAAUCUGCUCACUGAGUUUCUUUGUGAUGCUCUUGGAAUCAAAGUUUCUGUAUUAUCCUACCUCUAUGACCCAUUUCCAUUGUGAAAAAUUUUUAAGUUGAGUUUCAUUUGGAGAGGGAGACAAAAGCUCCUACUGCCCCCAAAAAAUAAAUAAAAAAUAAAAAAUAAAAAUGAAAGAGAGAGAGAACAGAAAAACAGAAACUAGUGAUGAGCAGGUGCUGGGAUCUGAGGUUCCCUAUGAUUGGGCCUCAAGCAAGGAAGCAGAGUAGUGCAAUGCAAUUGAGCGGUGUUGGCCCCCAAAACAAAACAAAUCAAACCAAGCAGGAGGCAUCCAGACACAAUGAACCCACCACAACCACACAUGUCCACAACUUUCUAUUACAUCUUCUACUUUACCACUAUCACUACUAAAUAUUUGGUGGUAGCAAAUAAAAAGAAAAGGGAAAUCAGAUAUCUGUAUAUCUGAGCUUUAGACUAAUUAGGCUUCUUUGGUGGUAGAAAUGAUUCUAAAUGUAUCACUUUCAAUCAGAUCCACAAAGUUUCCCUGAGGCCAAAAUCCAUAUCCAUGAAAUCUACUAAUCACAAUGCUAGCAUGAUUAUUUUAAUUGCAGAAUUUAGAUUAUGCAAACCAUAAUCAGAUUCGCAAGCCUAAAAAACACACACCGCAUCAACACUGAAAGUGUAUCUCUCUAUUUCCCCAAGGCUACUGUGAACACAUCAUCCAUGAAACAAAAAUCAACUAAACAAAACCGACUGGAAAAAUCAGGGGAACACAUUAUCCACGUUCCAAAUCCAGUCAUCCAAACAUACACCAUGAUUCGAGAAAGUGGAGAGCAGAAACAUUAUAGUAGAUAAACAAAACGAAAAGAUUUUAUUUCUUACCAUGUUGCAAAUUGAAUCCUUGGGCAUGAUACUUCGUAAAUAAGAUUUCAUUGAAUCGUAGGCAUGAAAUCAAAACAUACCUUAAGAAUUGAAAUUAGCAAAUCGAAUCCUACAAAACCCUUCAAAUCAGCAGAUCCUCAUACCUUAGGGCUUAGUAUUGGGCUGAAACAAAGACAAUGGGCACUUGAGAAAAUCAAAAUAAGGAAAUAUGAAAAAUAAGCAAAGCAAAGCAAGGAAAGAAAGGGUCCAAGGAGAAAGGCCUGACAUUAAGAGUUUGGCUAUGGAGAGGCAUAGAGAGGGGUUUAUGGCUGAGCUUUUAAAAUGGGAUAUAUUGCAGCAGCGAGGUUCAUGCGGAUUAGAUGCAUGAGAAAGCAGCCAGUACAUGACUGCAUCCAUAAGGAAACACACUAUCCUUUUAAGCACGGUAAUGAUAGUGGUCUUCACUGUAGAUUUUUGCCGAGGAAAAUUUUCUGCUCAUGCUUGUAUAUUUAGAUGCGGGUGGAAUAUUAUUGAUCCUGUAUAUAAUCUUUAGUUGGGGACUUUUAGACCCCUACUAAAACUGUCACCAUAUCUUAUGUUUCUUGUAGUGUAUAAUUGGACUUUCAAAAUAGAGUAGCUAGGAAAAAAAAUUAAAAAUAAAAUGAAAAAAAUGAAAAUCAUUAGAAAGAAUUUGGGCCUGUUGAUAAGAAAGACGACUUACCAAAAGCUUGAGAUGAAUGUUUAAUAUCUUCUGCAGCAUAUCCAUUGGACAAAUUUGCAAAGAACCUCCAACCACUUGUGCAUAUAGGCGGGCGCGGCCUGUACUUUAUGUGAUUAGGGUGUGAAGAAUAUAAUUGAAGUGUAAAAAAAAUAUUAUAAUAAGAUGAACAACAUGAUCAAGGAACUAAAAAUAUGAUUAGAACAUAAAGAAUAUGAUUAAGAUACAAAAAAAAUUAUGGUUUAGGUAUAAAAAAAAUACGAGUGAGAUUAAAGUAUGAAAAAUGUAACUAAUUAAUUUAUAAUUAGGGUCAAACUUGGACCAAAAUGGUAGAAAAAUAAAUACUAAUUCUUGAUUCAACUAGCUUAACUUACACCAUAAUUAAGAAAUUUAAAAAACAUAUGAUAAUUUUUAAAACUUGAAUAUAAAAUUAAUUUAAAAGUCUUUUUUUUUUUUUUCACCUUUUGCUAAUCAAUAUAUGCAUUCCAUUUUUUCCUUCUAAAUUUUGAACUUAAAGACUUCUAAUAUCUAAAUGUGCUCCUUUCCUUCCAAUAACUCAUUCCAAAGAUUAGCUUUUGAGUAUUAUAAAAUUAAAAAUUAAAUAAUAAAAAAGAAAAGAAAAAAAAAACGGAAUAUCAAUCUAGUAAAUGAAAAGAAAGAAGACGGACCUUAUAGGAGGAUGAAGAAAAGUGUGUUAGGUUGAAAACUAGAGAAGUCUCGAUUUUUUGUUGUGUGGGUUCUCUGCACCAUCAAGACUUCUCCUUAACAUUGAAAUCUGUAUUUUCACUCAAUAACCGAGGCCAAUGGUUGGUGGCAUUGGAAUCUCUGUUGAAGAUGUUGGUUUUAUAUAUAAGAUGAAGCCCACACUCUUCCACUUUCACUUCUUCACCAUAAAAUGAAGCCUUCAAAUGUCUCCAUUCAUUUGACCAAUGCUUAUUCUCAAUAGCAACCUUUGGAUAAAAUGCCACCAAGACUCUAUUUGAUUCACCACAAUUACGGCAAUGUAGAAAGCUACGGCUAAAUAUGAGUAGAUCCAUGAACUUGGAUUUAGAUAAGCAACCAUCCGGAUAAUCAAAGUAAAAAUUAUGGAAGGUCAAUUGACACCAAGGAUCUUCAUAUUCAAAAACAGAGCAUAAGGCAAAUCCCAAAAAGUUGUUAUCCUCCCACCAAUUCUCAGGAAGUUCUACUCCUAUUUUAGAUCCCUUUUUCUUAUGGCUUAUCCACUCUGGAAUUCCAUUAUUUCCAGGCAUUAAAUAUAAGGUCAAAAUUUCGAAUUUCUUCCUCCAAUAGGACCACCUACACUUCUGUAAGAAAUAUUAGUGUAAUUCUUGUGUUUUUGUCAAAAAAAAAAAAAAAGGAAAAAAAAAAUGUUAAAUGUCUUGAAAAUCAUACCUCAAUUGUUGAUUCGAAGCACUUGAACAAGGAAAAACCAAGUAAACUUGAGAGACUUGAUAAAGUUUCCAGGCAUGGGCAGUCGUGGACAUCAAGAGCUCGUAAACUCGGUGGAAGCUCUGGAAUUUGUAGAAGCUUCUGGCAGUGAUACAAGCCGAGGGUUCUCAGUUUAGAAAGUUGAAUGAUGUUGGCAGGUAUGCUACUAAAAUGGUUCCCAUCCAGAGAUAAGUUUUGCAAUGAUGAAACGUGGCAAAUAUGAUUGAGGAUCUCUCCUUCCGUUAGACUGCAGUUACUUAGAGAUAAAUUUACCAGUGAAGAUAGGUUCCAAAUAUCACUAGGGACUCCUUCUUCCAUUAGAUUGCAGUUACGAAGACAUACACUUUUCAAUGAAGAUUGGCGGAAAAUAUCACUGAGGAUUCUUCUUUGAAUUGGACUGAAGUUACCUACGGAUAAUACUUCUAGUGCAGAUAGGUGGAAACCUCUGUAGUCUCUUGAACAUGAUUCUACCAGUGAUGACAGGGACAAAACAUAAUGGUUAAGGACCUCUCCUUCCACUUCAUUUUGUAGUAGAUUAUUGCUCCACCAGAUUACUCUUUGCUUUAGAAUGCAACAAGUUAGAUCCAAAGAUCCCACUAAGUUCACCUCCACUCUCUCCAGUUUAGGGCAUUUUUGGACAUCAAGUUUUUUAAGAGCUCUGCAAAUACUAUCUGGAAGACUCACAAGCUCUGCACAACAUUUCAAAUUCAAGUGUUUAAGAGCCUUUAGACGUCCAAUUGAGGAUGGAAGCUCUUCUAUACCUGUAAAACUUAAAUCAAGCAUUUUUAGAUUUUCCAUAUCAUCUUUGAUUUCUGGAAAACCCUUUAAAUUUGAACACCCCUCCAAGAUGAGAGUUUCAAGAGAGCUCAAAUUGCAAAUGCUCUCUGAAAGACACCUUAGGCUUUUGCAAUAUGACAAAUCUAGGUGUUGAAGAGCCUUUAGACGUCCAAUUGAGGAUGGAAACUCUUCUAUACUUGUAAAACUCAAAUCAAGCCUUUUUAGAUUUUCCAUAUCAUCUUUGAUUUUUGGAAAGCCCUUUAAAUUUGAACACCCCUCCAAGAUGAGAGUUUCAAGAGAGCUUAAAUUGCAAAUGAUAUCUGGAAGGCUCACAAGCUUUGUACAACAUUUCAAAUUCAAGUGUUUAAGAGCCUUUAGACGUCCAAUUGAGGAUGAAAGCUCUUUUAUACCUAUAAAACUCAAAUCCAGCCUUUUUAGAUUUUCCAUGUCAUCUUUGAUUUCUGGAAAGCCCUUUAAAUUUGAACACCCCUCCAAAAUGAGAGUUUCAAGAGAGCUCAAAUUGCAAAUACUCUCUGAAAGACUCCUUAGGCUUUUGCAACUAGACAAAUCUAGGUGCUGAAGAGCCUUUAAACGUCCAAUUGAGGAUGGAAGCUCUUCUAUACCUGUAAAACUCAAAUCAAGAUGUUCUAGAUUUUUCAUAUAAUCUAUGAUUUCUAGAAAGCCCUUUAAAUUUGAACACCCCUUCAAGAUGAGAGUUUCAAGAGAGCUCAAAUUGCAAAUGCUCUCCGAAAGACUCCUUAGGCUUUUGCAACUAAACAAAUCUAGGUGUUUAAGAGCCUUUAGAUGUCCAAUAGAUGAUGGAAGCUUUUCUAUACAUGUUUCCUUCAAAUUAAGCCUUUUUAGAUUUUCCAUAUCAUCAUUGAUUUUUGGAAAGCCCUCUAAAUUUGAACACCCCUCCAAAAUCAGAGUUUCAAGAGACCUCAAAUUGCAAAUGCUCUCUGGAAGUUUUGCAAGGUUUCCGCACGAUAACAAAUUAAGGUGUUUAAGAGCCUUUAGAUGUCCAAUUGAGGAUGGAAGCUCUUUUAUACCUGUACGACUCAAAUCAAGCAUUUUUAGAUUUUCCAUAUCAUCAUUGAUUUCUGGAAACCCCUUUAAAUUUGAACACCCCUCCAAGAUGAGAGUUUUAAGAGAGCUUAAAUUGCAAAUGCUCUCUGAAAGACUCCUUAGGCUUUUGCACCAUGACAAAUCUAGGUGUUGAAGAGCCUUUAGAUAUGCAAUUGAGGAUGGAAGCUCUUUUAUACUUGUAGCUGUCAAAUCAAUCUCUCUUAGCUUACUCAUAUUUCCUUUGAUUGCGGGAAAACUCUUCAUCUUUAAACAAUCUUUACAAGAGAGACUUUGAAGACGUUCCAACUUAUGAAAGUUUCUUGGAAGACUCUCAAGGCUCCUACACCCUAUCAUAUCCAAGAAAACAAUUAGUUAAUAACUUUAAUAAUAAUAGUAAUAAAUAAACCUUUAUAGUAACUUUAUACAACCUUUUAGAAUUAGGAUCUCCAAAUUUGUCACCCUUGAAAAGUCUGAAAUUUCAACAAGUUUCUCUGAGUAACUAAGGUUGAUGACUUUCAAGUUGUCAAGAAUCUGGAACAAAAUAAAAUGUCUUAGUAGAUAAUUUUUUUUAUAAAUUUUAAAAUUAUUAUAAAAACUAUUAAUGAAACAACAAUUAUAAUAAUACCUCAUUCCCUUGCCAAAGUUGUUUUAUGCUGCUAUGCUUUAAAUUAAGUUCAACAAGAUUCUUUGCAUGAAAAUUUGUUGGCAAGGAUUCUAAAGGGUAUCCCUUAAAAUGGAAAUAUCUUAACUCAAAAUAAGGAAAAUCAAGAUUCUUGAGGGCCUUAAAAUCUUUCUUCCACAUAUGUGGAUAAUAGACUUUGAGCAAUCUAAGUCUAUUCAGUUUUGUGAAAGAAUUUGUAGAUAUCUGGCUUGCUAGAGAACCUUGUACAAAUAGUCCUUCAAUUGCUUGAGUCCCCUAAAAAAUAAAAGCCAAGAAUAAGUCAAGCACAAGAUGUACGAAAAUCAAUUAAGUUAUAUAGAUUUAUUAUUUCUUAAACAAAAUACAUUUGGCUCUUACCGUAUUUCUUGUUAACACACUAUCAACAUCAUUACAAUCCCAGAGUCUACUCCUGUUUCCAGGCUCUUUGAGACAUUCUUGACGAACAAUUUCUUGGCCCAUUUGUUGUACUAAAUCAUGCAUAUCUAACUUGUUUUCUGAAAUAGUAAGAAGACAUUUAUCAUUCAAAACUUUUAUUCCCAUCAUUGCAUAACUUCCUAAUAUUCUUGAAACAAAAUCUUUGUCUUUUCCUCUGAAAAAACAUGCAAUAUCCAAGAAUAUCUCUUGACAUGUAUGAUCCAAUUUAUCAUAACUUACUUUAAGCACAUUUUGAACUAUCUCGUCAGGUAUUUUUUUUACUUUAUGCAAUUCACUUUCCCAUUCAUUUAUUGACUUCUCAUAGAGAAAGCCACCCAAAACUUUAAGUGCUACUGGAAGACCAUGAGUAUACUCCACUACACUAUUUGAAAGGCUUUCAAAUCCAGUUUUGGGAGUAUUUUGCUUGAAGGCCCACCAAUUAAAAAGUUCAACAGAUUUUUCAUGAUUCAACUUUUGCACCUCAUAAAGUGCUUUUACUUCAUGUUGAUCUAACAAAUGUUUAUCUUUAGUUGUUAUGAUGAUUAUACUUUUUGCACCAUACCAACCAUGUUUUCCAGCCAAGUUUUCUAAUUGCAUGUAGUUGUCCACAUCAUCAAGAACAAUAAGGACUCUUUUCGAUCGAAGCCUUUCCUUUAUCACAUUGAUUCCUUGGCUAAUAUUGUUGAAUUUUGGCACUUUACACUUGACGAUAUCUUGAAGAAGUGUCUUUUGUAAUUUAAGUAGACCAUCUUCACAUUUCCCCCCAACAUUUCCAAGAAAGCUACAACCAUCAAAUUGAGACGAGAUAUCAUUAUAAAUAGCCUUAGAGAUGGUAGUUUUGCCAAUUCCACCAAUCCCAUAGAUACCAACCAUGAGAACCUCAUCCAAUUCAACUUUUAUAAGUGAUUUUAAUUGCGUCAAAUGAAAGUCCAUUCCAACUAUGUUGUAGCCCAUAUCUAAAGGCGUACGAUUCAAUCUUAUAGCGAUAUCUUCAUAAAUCCUUUGAAUAAACUCUGCCUCAGAUCUAUUAAUCAUAAAAUAUGUGGUAUUAGAAUAUGUCACAAAUAUAAUCAAUAUGAAAUAAACUUGAACAAUAGAAUGUAAUAGAAAAAAACUUGAACAAUAUUGAUUAAUUUAAUAUAAUCAAUAUUAAAUUACUUAUUUAAGUACAUUCUAAUUAUUCCCAGCUAUUAAUUCAAGUAAGAAAAAAGUGAAAAAUGUAAACUUUAGUUGCUUACUUUGUUGAAAGGUUCAAAUUGAAGUCGACUAGUAUAGAACAUUAUUCGACUUCAUGAUAAGGGAUGCUAUAAUCAUAACACAAGCAUAUGUCAAGCUUCAAGAUAGCUUCCAAUUUGGCAUCCAAGUUCCCUAAUCUAGUAAUACCUUUCUUGAUUAAAGAGAAUUGUUACUCCACUAUGCUCUCACAUAACUUUCUUUCACCCUUUAUUUAGUAAAAAAGAUCUUUAAAUUCCUUAUUCCCUUGUUUCUAUGUUUUAUCAACUUACCAUUAUUUUAAUGAUUUGUUUUUUGAUUAAAAACCUUUAAUUUAAUUGAAGAAGAUUUGAAAUACUUCUUAAAGAAAAUUAAUAUAAGAGAAUAGAGAUUCAUUUUUGUUAGUGCUUUCAUAUUCACAAUGCUUUCAUUAUGAGAAUAAAGUUGGUAAGUUAAGUAAAUAUAUAUAUAUAUAUAUAUAUAUAUAUAUAUAUAUAUAGUAACAGUUUUUGGGGAUUGAGCAUAGGGCCAACUAACCAAACGGUCAAUGGAACAAACUUUUUAUAAAAUAAAAAUAAAAAAAUAAAAAUAAAUAAUGUAUCAUUAGAUCACAAAACAGGUUAUCCAAGAAGAAUAUCAUACUAAAAAUAUGAUCAUUAUAGUGUAGCAAAUUUGGAUGAACAAGUCUUUGAACAAUUUAUGCACAAAUACUAAGAAUUGAGACUCUAAAUAAUAAGGAAGGUGCAUGAGAAUCUUUGCAGUGAGUGAGCAUGGAAUUCAUGGGCAUUAUACAAUCAAAAUGUCUUUGCAAUAUAGAAUGGUUAAACAUUAUACUAGGCUUGUGUCUAUAAAUUCUAGAUCUCUAAAGAGACAUGACCAUUCAAGGUGUUAUAAGAUAAUUGUAAUAGAGAUGAUAGAAACUACAGAUGUAGGGAUCCCAAAGAGAUGAGAAAAUCCUUCAUGCAAGCAGCCUAAGUUUAUAAAUGUCAUUUACACUUUCACUCUUUAAAAUAAUAUCUUACUAAAAGUGUUCAUUAAAUUAAACUAUAAUAUUAAGCACUUAAAAAGCUUUAGAUUUUGAAUAUAUUAGAGUGAAUAUGAUGAGGAUGAUGAUGAUGAUGAUGAUAGUGAUGGUAAUGAUGAUAAUAAUCAUAAUAACUAUAACCAAAUGAUGAUAUAAUUAGUAAUAGUAAUUAUAAUUAAUAUCGAUAGUAUUUGUAUUAUAAACCGUAGUAGUAGUAGUAAUAAUAAUAAUAAUAAUAACAAUUAGCAGUAGUAGCAAUAAUCAAUAUUGAUAGUAUUUUUAUUAUAAAUUGUAGUAGUAGUAAUAAUAAUCACAAGAAAGUAUAAAAGAAUGAAAUAGAAAAGUGAAAUGGAAGAAUAAAUAAAUAAAUAAAUAAAUCCAUUUGGACUCUUUUUCAUUGAUCAAAUAUUAGUCAAAUAUUUAGUAGUAAUUUUUUUGUAGAAAAAGAAAAAUUUUUAAAAACAUAAAAUAACAAAAUUAAAAUGGAAGAAAAAGAUAAAAAUAAUAAAUAAAUAAAUGAAGCUAUUUAUUGGACUUUUUAUACUGAUAAAAUAUUAGUCAAAUAUUUAGUAGUAAUUUUUCCUCCAACCCUAGGUCCUUACACUAUUAAAUUAUUUAUCUCAACUAUUUAUUAAUAAAAUAAAAGAAUGAUUUACUUGUAGGUCUCACCAUGAAAUCCAAGGUCACGCUACCCAGCUUUGUAAUUUAAGAAAGUAGGAUAAAAUUUAUCUAGUAGAAGUAUAGUUACUGAUUCUGCAGAUGAAAUCCAGACAGGUUGGCUGCUAUCUUCAAGGCAUUCUUCCACGUUUCUAUUUUCUUCUUCUUCUCUUGAUCUGCAUCUUUUGCAUGCUCCAAAAAUGCAUCUUUAAAACUUCCUCCUUGAUUUCGUACAUCUGUUGGCUCCACAUGGUAGAAAACCGGCAAAACCACUGAUUUCUUUUCUGUCAUACAAUCGAUGAUCUUUACCAGUUCAUUCAAACACCACUUGGAGUCAGCAUAGUGUUUCGAGAAAAUAAUAAUAAAAAUCUUUGAUUCUUCGAUAGCUCUCGAGAGAUCUGAUGCGAUAUCUCCUCCUUUCUCAAGUUCUUCAUCAUCUCUGAAGGUGUGAAUUCCACGUGCAACCAAAUUAGCAUAAAGAUGACCAGUGAAAGUCUGGCGGGUGUCUUCACCUCUAAAACUCAAGAACACAUGAUAAUUAUAACCAUCACAAUUAGAAGUGGAAGACGACGCUUUUAAGGUGCUACUAGAAGCCAUUUCUGGACUGGAUCUGGCAAAUUACAAGGAGGCUAAGAACGGAAAGAAAGGGUCUUUGGUUGCUAAAUGGCUGUUCUUCUCCUCUGGCAAGCAAUUUUCCUUUUCUUUUUUUUUUUUUUGUGUUGGACGCAAGAGGGAAGAAUGAAAGUUCAUGGAAGAAAGAGAAAUACUGUUUGAGUCAACAAGCUAAAUUGUCCUGUUCCAAUUGUGGGGCUGCCACUAUUGCUCAGUUUCUCAGAUUCAUCGCGGCUUCACAUGAACCAACAGCUGGCCUCAAUAAUGAGACUUGCGAGUCUGUUGAUAUCCAUUUUAGGUUUUUCACUCUAUCAUUUUACUUUUAUUUCCCUUCCUUUGCCAUUCAAAAAUCAAAGCUCAUUCUUUUACAUCUAUGCCAUGUCCAUGUUUCUUCCAUUUUUCCAUUUUGAUUUAUUCUUUUAAUUUUUAUUGGAUUUUUUUUACCCAAUGAAGCUGUGAGACUCCUACGGUCCGUUUAGCAGGAUUUCUAAAAACCACUUUUAGUAUAAAAGAUAAUCAUAAAGAAAAAUUACGUAUCAAGAAAACACUUUUAAAUAUUUGAAAAAUUAUUUAUAAUAUUUUUUGGUGAAUCAUUUUGCCAAUAAUUCUUUUAAAAAGAUUUUGAAAGAAAAUAUUUUAAUUAAAAACAUUUAAAAUAUAAUCAUUUAAAGUAUAUUUGAUGAUAAUUUUAAGAAGUGUUUUAGGGUGUAUUUGACAAUAAUUUUAAAAAGUGUUUCUACUAUUUAUAAUACUUUAAAAAAUUUAUUUUUAAAAUAUUAAAAACACUUCUUAAAAUUACUAUCAAACGCUCUGUUAAUAUUUCUAAUACUUAAAAUAUUUUAUCAUUCAAGUAUUAUAAAUAUUAGAAACACUUUCUAAAAUCACUUUCAAACGAAUUCUUAAUAUACAAUGUGUGAUAAUAUUUCUAUUUGAACUGUUUUUAAUAAAAACGAUUUCUUUAAAAAUGUUUUUGUGAGAAUCAUCAAUUAGAGACUUCUCCCAAAAGCAUUAUGAGUGAUUUUUCAAUUUUUUAAAAGUGUUGUUUUAAGUGUUCUCUUAUUACUUCUCUAUGAAGCACUAAAAUUAUAGUAGAGUUUAAAUUUUUAUUCAAAAAUACUUUUUAUAUAUAAAGUGUUUUUUAAAAUUACAAUCAAAACCCUUAAUUUAAUUUGUUCAAUUAAUGAAAUUUUGUCAAACUCAAGUGAUUCAAGUUCAAUAAGAUCACCCUAGUUGCCAAAAAAUGAUUAAAUUUGUACAUGAUGAGAAAUGUUAAAUUAAGAGACAGAAAAAACAAAAUUCCUAUUAAAAACAUUAGGAAAUUGUAAAAGGACAAUGUAGCCAUGUGAGUAAAGAGAAUUUUUAUCUGGAUGGAUGGAAUAAAUAAAUAAACACAAUUUCCAUGAAAUCUUUUGGGAGAGGAAAUAUGUUGAAGAAAUUAUCAUUUGUAAAAUUGGUCAUGAAAAAAAGUCUCUCCUUUUUGCUUUAUGCAUUGUUUUUAUUAGGGUUUAAUAAUAUUUCUAAACUUCUUAUUCAAGAAAAUUGAACAAUUUAAUGUUAAACGAAAUUUAUGAAUACAAGUAUUAAAUACUUUUGGCUCCAAGACCGUAACUAAGUAUUUUAAAAAAAUGAAAAGAUGGAGUUCUUUCAUGAAAAGCUAUUGCCUUAAUUUUUUUCUACUCAAGAAUUGUGAUUCCCAACUUUAAUUAUAAAAAAAAAAAAAAAAAAAAAUAUUGAAGUUGCUUUUGAUCUGCCCAAGAAUCCAUGAUUCCCGCGGCAUGCUCAAAUAUUUUUGUGUAGCUUUCAUGAAUGAUGGCACCCAUGUGGUUUUGGGAGGUUCUCAAUAAAUCUGUCUUUGUGCAUGUGAGAGGGCACCCAUGGAGAGUGACAUAUUUAAAAUUCUCUAUUUGAAAAUUAGAUUUGCACAAAUGAAGAGUGGGAAUUGCACCUACAAUAUAACAAUACAUCUACACUAAACAAAGAAAUUCACUACCAAACACGAAAUAUUAUAUAUAUAUAUAUAUAUAUGUCACUUGCUUAUAAUAUAAAUUAAUGUAAUAAUGGUUGAGGUAUGAAAUUAAGUACCUGUAUAUGGAAUCUUAGAAUAGAGUUUAAUUGUAAUCAUAAUUCGAUUAGAUGAUUUCGAUCAUUGAAAGUAAUCAAUUCGGCUUUUGAAUAGGUACUUGUGAAGUAAUAAUGAAAAUGGUUGUGUCUUUCCUCCACGCUUGACCUCCACUUUUCAUCCAUGGACACCAAAUUUUCACCCCUAUACACUUGCAUGUGAUAACAUAUAAAAAAAAUUAAAUUUUAUACAUGGAAUAUCUACGAGCCAGAUAAUUUAGCAUGAAAGCUUUGUGUUCUAUUAUCUUCAGAAAUUUGUAGAAGAGUAUAUAAUAAUAAUAUAAAAAAUAAUAAUAAACAUCCUAUAAAUAUAAAAGAAGCAUUAAUUUUUAAAAUCAAGAAAAUAAAAUAAUAUUAAUAUUUGAAUGGUAUUAAUCUAUGGAUAUGUUGAUUGAAGUAAUUCUUAUUAUUGUGUUUAAUUCUAUAUAUUUUCUUUAUCAUUUUUGUUAUAUCUCCUUAAUUAUUCUUAUUGUUUCCAUACAUCUUCUUGAUUAUUUUUUUACAUCUCUUUAAUUAUUUUCAUUAUAUCAUUCAACCAUUUGGUGUUUUGAUUAUUUUUAUUUUUUUUCAUUUUAUGUUUAUUUCCUUUAAUAAUGUAUAAUUGUUAAGGAAUAAGAUUAAAAAAUAAAUAAAGUCUAUUCAAUAAUAUUUUUAAAAGGUACUUUUAAUAUAAAAGAAAUUAAGUAUUUAAUAAAAAUUAAAAAAAUUAGUUUGUAUAAAUAAAUGGUUAAAAACAUCUUAUUUUUCUUUAAAAAUAUAUUUUAUACUAGAAGUGAUUCUCUAAUAUAUUCAUAUUAAAUUUAAAAGUGAAACUAGCCUAUUAUACAAUAAGUUGGAGGAUCCCACCUAUUUCUUGGAGCAAUGGUUAAAACCUCAGAGUUGGAGGAUUAUUUUCAAAGUGUCAACGGAAAAAUCCAAGCUCCAUGGACAAUGGUUUCUCAAAAAAUUAAGGUUGAGGGUAUUAAGGGCCUUCCUCAAAGAGGACUAUGGGCUGUACCACCAAACUCCUCUUUUUGUUAUUAACAUAUGAUAAAAUUAAUUUUCAGACUAAUUUAUAUUUUAUUUUAUUGGAUGAUAAAUAUGUUGGAAAUUAUACUUUUAUAUAAUUAAAAUGGUGCUACAAUAAUUAAAAAAUCUAUUUUUUUCUAUAUUUAUUCAUUACAAGAAAAUAGGAUUUAAUAAUUGGCCAACAAGCCUCAUUAAAGAUUUAAUUAACAUUUUCUACAAAUUUUAUUAUUUUUUAUAUAAAUUUUUUACGUAAAAAAUAGUGUUUUGAAGAUUGAAUCAAGUAUUGAAUAAGAAAAAAUUUUAAUGACUUCAUUAGCCUUUCAUUUAAUAAUUCUAUUUUACUUGGACAACUUUGUCUUUUUCUUUACUUUCUUUUUUUUUUUUAUAAAAAAAAUCUAGUUUGAUAUUGAUUAACAAUUGAUUCACUUAACAUUUAUUCUAAGGUCUUGUUCUAAAAAAUGAUAUCAGAAGAUAAAUUUAUAAAUAUAAAAGUUGAAAUUCUUAACAAAAUUAUAUAUAUAUAUAUUAUUUUCAAUUAUCUCCCAUUUGUUGGAUGAUAAUGGGAUUGCUUUGUUGGUAUAGUGGGUUUGGUUGGAGUUAUUGAUUUUGGUGCUAUCUUUUUAUUUUUAAUUUUCCUAUUUGUUGGAUGAUGGUGGGAUUGGUUUGUUGAUAUAGUGGGUUUGAUCGGAGUCAUUGAUUUUAGUGCUAUUUUUUUAUUUCAAUUAUCACAGUGUGUUCACUAAAAUAGUGAUUUAAUUUUGGUCUAUAUUUUCAAUUAUUUCCCUUUUGUUGGAUGAUGGUGGGAUUGGUUUGAUAGUCAAGAUUCCACAAUUCUCUUACAAGUUACAAUUUCAUUCAUUUAAUUUUGGAAAAUGUUAAGUUAUUGUAAUAGUACCUAUCAUGUGAUAGAUCUGAACCGUUAAAUAUAUAUAUGGUAAAAUACAAGUUUCAAUAAAGGUAUAAAUAAAUUAACUAAGAUAUAAAUAUACAAUUAAAUAGAGUUAGACAAUAAACAAAAGAUCAAAAAUUAUAUAUGUAAUACCAUUUAAUUGAUAAUGUAUUUUUGAUAAAUAACAUAAAAAAAAAUACUAUUCAAGUGAUGUAACCAAACACUUUAAUUUUUCUUUACAUUUCUCAUUUGGAUUUUACUUGAUAUUCCCAUAUCCUUUUUUUCUUAAAACAACUUUUUUUUGCUUCUUGCUUAUUAGUAUUUGGUGUUUUUCCAAGGAAGAUAAGAUCUUUAAUAUUUUUCAUUUUUUCUUCAAUCAAACAAUUGUUACACCCAAAGUGGUUAAAAGUGUGACUGCAUGGGACUAUGCAUCUUAAUAUUUAUAUCAAAUUAAAAUCCUUCUGUUAGAAUUAUAUUUUUGUUAACAAGGAGUAUUAUGAAAUGCUUACCACCAAAAUAAAAGUAGAAAUGUUAAAAGUUAAAAUGUUACGUAAAUAUGGGGAUUUUGGCACUAAGAGUUUGUUAUAUUGAUAAGAUAAAGAGAUGCAUGACAUCAAUAACAAGGAGAAAAAUUGGGAAAGUUGAAUUUAGGUUGAUUUUUUCUAUACAAUAUUAAUUUUUAACCCACAUAACCAAAAAUGGAAAAUCGGAGGAAAGAAAAUAAAUGUUAAAUAUAGAUUAAAUUAAUUGACAAAUCAUAACAAAUACCUAAUAAAAUAUAGUAGAAAAGGAGUGUGUUUGAAAAUGAUUUUAAAAAACGUUUAUAAUAUUUCUAAUAUUUGAAUGAUAAAAAUUUUCAAGUUUUAAAAGUAAUACAAAUAUUUCCUAAAUUAGAACUCUUGAAGUUGGAAACACUUUCUUAUCUUUCAUGUGUACAAGUGAUCCUCGCAAGCACAUAAAUAAAAUAUGGUAUAAAAAAAUUAAGUUUUGUGAAAAAAGUAAAGAAUAUGGUCAUUUGGGUUUUAUGUAAUUUUGACCAAUCGAAACAAUCGAAGCCAUCAAAAGUAGAAAACAAAUAGAGCCAAGUCGUUAAUUUUAACCAGCAGCAUAUAACCAUAAGAUCAGAUUCAUGAUCUGAGUAAAUGUUCCGUCAGACUCUGGAGCCAUGUUUGGAACCAACCCUUGAAAGAUUUCAUUAUCUGCCAGCACCAAGUCUCUAGCUAGGUGAUGCAGUGAUACGGUGCAGUAGAUUCUUCCGGCGGUAGAUCGACUGCAAUGGAGCGAAAAGCUUGCUUUAUCUUAAGCAAAGCCCCAUUGCAAUCAUUGAAAAGGCAAUUAACCAUUUCUCUAAUAUAUCCUCACCAUACCAAGCAGAAGAUGCCUGCACAAUCAUAGUGCAAUUGGUACAUGAAGCAAAAAAGAAUUUAAUCUGUCAAAAAAAAAAGAAAGAAAAGAAAAAUCCGAACUGAAUACGAAAUCAAAAAAAUCAAAAUAAGAACCUAUAUAGAAAAUGAAAAACAACUGAAAGAUUCAACAGUUCUAUGAAACAUAGACAAGCUAACAACAAUCAUUCACUUGUAAGCCAUGGCAAACACUGAAAACUAUAGUGAAAUAGAAAAUUAAACCUAAAUAAUAGUAGUAAUAAUAAUAACAAUAAGAAAAACCUACUGUUUGGUUGACAAGAAAAAUUGGAACCAACCAGUGCAAGCAAGCAUAUAGCGAUGCUCUUCUUAGAUUCAAUUCGGUUAAAUAUCAAGUAGUUGGCUUAAAGUUCCACUCCAUAAGACCUUUCACUCUCUCUCUCUUACUCUAUUUUCUCCCCCCGUCUUCACUCCUAAUCAUCCUAAACCAACUGAGCUCCUCCACAACCCAUUGAAAGACACCAAGUUGCACCAGCAACAGAAAUCAUAGCUGCACCAAAACUGUUGAACAACUCAAGAAGCGUGAUAGCAGUUAGGAGUUUGUUUUAGUUUGUUAUUAGGUUAAACUUGUUGAGAUAUUAGGAAUGCUUUUCUUGUAUCAUUCUUUCCUUAUAUCAUUCUUUCCUUGUAUCAUUCUUUCCCAUUCUUAGAAUGGUGAUUAUCCUCUAUAUAUACUCUGUACAUGAACGAAUAAAAGAAUGAAUGAGAUAAAUAAAUAAAAAACACACACCAUUCAUCAAUUUGAAGAUGGUAUCAGAGCCAUGAAACUGAAAUCUUGGAUAUUUUGUCUGUAAGGCCAACCAUUGCUUUCAUAUACAGAUUUGCCAUCCAGAUUCCGAUCUCCGUUACCCAAUUUUCUGAUUCGUUGAUCUUCUGUCCUUCGCUUUUGAUUUCAGAUUUAUUAUUAUUCAUGUGGGACCAUAGUCAUUGGAAUAUCGGAGUGAAAAAAAAAAGAAAGGAAAGAAAAAAAAAAGGAAAAAAAAAUUGAGUGAAAAAAAUACUAUUGUUUUUCAAUCUGAAGGUACGUUUAAUCCAUGAAUUAUUUUGACUGAAUCAAACUAUGACGUUUGGUCACAACUCAUGGAGAUGCAUAUUGCUGAAAGGGAAAAACUUUCCUACAUUCGAGGUAAAACAAAUCCACCAAAAGAGUCAGAAGAUGGAUAUGAAAAAUGGUAUGUUGAGAAUCAAAAGGUGAAGAUAUGGUUGUUAAUGUGCAUGAGUCUAGAAAUUAUGAAGUGUUACUUACGCUUACCCACUGCUCAAGAAAUUUAGAGUGCAUUAUCAAAGGCCUUCUAUGAUGGAAGUGAUGAAUUACAAGUUUUCACUUUGAAUAAAAAAGUCUUCACUGCCAAACAAAGCGGCAGGUCUCUUUCUGAAUAUUAUGGAGAGUUAACUGAGAUUUUUUGCGAAUUGGAUCAUCAGGAUAAGGUAGUCAUGAAAGAUCCUGAUGACAUUGCAGCAUACCAGAAAUCCAUUGAAUGACAACGAGUGCACAUCUUUCUUGCUGGAUUGGAUGGUGACCUUGAGCAAGUUCGAGGAGAGAUUCUACGCAAAGAUCCUCAUCCCUAUUUGGAAUAAUGAUAUGCACUGAUUUGACGAGAGGCAGUGCAUCAUGCUAGUAUGAAAGUAGAAUCUGAAAACCCUGACACCUCAGCUAUGGUAGUCCGACAACGAUCAACCCAGAAUUGGUAGGACCAAUCCAAGACCAAUCAUCCUAAGAUAGGCCCUAAUAUUGAUAAGUUAACCUUCAAAUGCACUCACUACAAUAAGACUGGUCAUACUAAGAGUCGUUGCUUUGAAAUUGUGGGAUAUCCAGAUUGGUGAGAUCAUAAUCAUGAUCAAUAGAAGAAGGAUUUCAAGAAAACCUCGACUACAGUUGUUGUCGAAAUAAAAAGAGAGGCUAAUGCUGUUGAGAAAGUCUUUGCAUUGGUAGCUGCUAUAGAUUAUGGUGGUAAGGUUUUAAAUACUUCCACACUUGUUAUUAAUAGUGCAUGGAUAAUUGAUUCUGGUGCUACAGAUCAUAUGACUUUUGAUUCUAGACAGGUCUCACCCCUUAGACCUUCCUCACAAAAAAUCGUUUCCAUAACCAAUGGUAACACAACCUCAGUCAUUGGGGAAGGAUCCUUAACUCUUACUGAUACUUUGAAUUUGGAUUUUGUUUUAAUUAUUCCACCUUUAGAUUACAAUAUUUUUUCAGUUUCUCAAAUCACUACAACCUUAUCUUGUAUUGUCAUUUUUUGGCCUGAAUUUUGUGUUUUUAAGGACAUCCAAACAAGACAGACCAUUGGUUAUGGUAUUAAAUGGGGAAAACUCUAUUACUUGGAUUUGCAGUCAAAGGAUUCCAAUAAGUUGCGACAAACCUUGAUGGUAGAUGGAUCUGAGGGGAAUGAGAAAAAGUCUGAAAUUUGGUUGUGACAUCGACGUUUGGGACAUGCUUCCUUUGGUUAUUUAAAAAAAUUGUUUCCUAGUUUGUUUGCAAGGAGUGAUAUUUUUGGUUUCCGUUGUGAUAUUUGUGAAUUGGAUAAAAGCCAUCGUACUUCGUUUCUGUUAAUUUUGAAUAAAAGUCUGCUUCCUUUUAUGGUUAUACAUUAUGAUGUUUGGGGCCCAUCCAAAGUCCCAACUUUGAGUGGCUUGCGUUGGUUUGUUAUUUUUAUUGAUGAUUGUACCAGAAUGACCUGAUUAUACUUGAUGAAGACCAAAGAUGAAGUGAACUUGUUGUUUCAAAAUUUCCGUAAAAUAAUUGAAACUCAGAACAAUGCAAAGGUUCGGGUUCUGCGUAGCGAUAAUGGUGGAGAAUAUCAGAUUUUUUAUUUUCAAAAGUAUUUGGAAGGACAUCGCAUCAUUCAUCAGACUACUUGUUCCAAUACAUCCUAGAAAAAUGGAGUCCCUAAACGGAAAAAUCAGCACUUGUUAGAGGUUGUUCAUGUUUCCUUGAUAGCAACAAAAAUGACGAUAUCUAAUUGGGGAGAAGCAAUCACAUCUGUCGCAUACUUGAUUAAUUGAGUAUCUUCCAGCUCAAUUGACUUCCAAACAUCUUUCCAAACUCUUACUAAUGUCGUAGUUACCCCAACUGUCCCAAAUCUACCUCCUCGUGUUUUUGGUUGCGUGGCAUUUGUGCAUCUACACAAACACCAACACACCAAGUUAACUUCCUGUGCAUUGCAAUGUGUGUUUGUUGGAUAUGCAUUACACAAAAAGUGAUAUCGAUGUUACCAUCCUCCAACUCGACGAAUGUUUAUUACAAUGGAUGUGGUGUUUAAUGAAGAUUCGAUGUAUUUUUCAUUUGAGUCUGAACUUCAAGGGGAGUACCAUAAAGAAAUUUAGACUCUCGAUUAUGAUUAUCAUAUCUCGGAAGGGGAUGAAUCCGAAAGAUCUGAACUAGUGAACAAAGAAGCGAGUGAAUUGGAUAUGAGUGGUACAACUCUAGAACCAAGUAGUAAUGAAGCUCCCGUGUCAGGAUGGAGAUUUCCAAGCCAUAAAUGUAAGUAGCUGAGCGUCAUAAAUGUUUUCAUUCAAAGUAAAGCUUUUAAUCGCUCUGACUUGCUUUGAAUGGCCAAUACUUGAUAACCUUUUGGUCUCAGUGGAUUCUUAUUGUUAGAUCCACUGAUGUUCAUUAGUUAUCUCCUACGAGCCAUUAUAUUGCAAGUCGAGGAGAUGACCUAUACCAAUAAAAGAGCAUUUAUGAGGUUCAGCUACCCUUUUUGUAAGUUUUCAAGGACUAAAACUCAGUUGUUAAACUCAUACCGGUUCGGGAAGUAAGCAUCACCUUAGUUACUUCCCCAACUCGAGGUGAAAAGUCCUAAAAUCUCCAUUUUUACACAGUGAGUUAAGCAUGGCUAUCCAAAGCUUUGAGAAAUUUCUUUUUCCAUCUUUUAACCUAUUUUCAUGUUAGUUUAGUUUACAACACCUUCAUCUUUUUAUGUUUUCAUCUUAACCUAAUUUUUAUUAAGAAAAGUUCACUCCAUCCUCUGAACUUCACCAGUUAAAGUAAAAACCCUUCCCAGUGUUCGAUCCUAGAGCCACUAUGCUAUAGUAGCUUUGCUACUUUAGUGUAAGGACCUUAGGUAUAAAUUUUGUUGAUACCCUUACAUGCCAAGCUACCAAGAGUCGGGUUAUCAAAUGGCGCCGUUGCCGGGGACAGUUGCCGGGGAAGGUGCUACUUCACUGUGAAUACAUUAGCCGGAGGUAACUUGUGAGACUUCUCAUGAGUGAGGUGAAUUCUAUCUCAUUUUUCAUUUACUAACUUUUUAUUUUAGUUUUAGAACAUUUUUAACUUAGUUUAGAUAAGUUUCUUUUAGCUUUUAACUUUCAUUUUUAGUUUAUUUUUCAUACUCUGUUUUUCCUUCCGCAUGCUCUGUUUUUUUUUUCUUUUUCUUUGUUUUAUUUAUUUGUUUUGUUCCAGCUGAAUCCGUGCAUGCCCUAUUGGAUUAGAGACCAAGAGGGAAGGUUAGUGCGGAUAGAGACUCCACGAGCUACUGAAUUAGAGAUUAUUUUGGAAGUCAUGGAGAAUCAGCCAGAGGAUCAACAUUCACAACACGGGCAGGAGAAUGAUCCGAACUUGUAUAGGUCCAUGAGGGACAGGAUGCACCCUCCGAGGAUGAGUGCACUAUCUUGCAUCAUUCCUCCUACAGAGCAAUUGAUUAUCAGGCCACACAUCGUGCCUCUGCUUCCUACUUUCCAUGGGAUGGAAAGUGAAAAUCCAUAUGCGCACAUAAAGGAAUUCGAAGAUGUGUGCAAUACUUUUCAAGAAGGGGGAACAACUAUUGAGCUUAUGAGGUUGAAGCUCUUUCCAUUCACAUUAAAGGACAAAGCCAAGAUAUGGCUCAAUUCCUUGAGACCGAGAAGCAUAAGAACAUGGACAGAACUUCAAGCUGAUUUUUUGAAGAAGUUUUUCCCUACUCAUAGAACAAAUGGAUUGAAGAGACAAAUCUCCAACUUCUCAGCACGUGAGAAUGAAAAAUUUUAUGAAUGCUGGGAGAGGUAUAUGGAGGCCAUCAAUGCAUGUCCUCACCACGACUUUGAUACAUGGCUUUUGGUGAGCUAUUUUUAUGAUGGCAUGUCAUCUUCAAUGAAGCAGAUAUUGGAGACAAUGUGUGGGGGUGAUUUCAUGAGCAGAACCCUGAGAGCUAUGGAUUUCCUAAGUUAUGUCUCAGAGGUUUCCCGNNNNNNNNNNNNNNNNNNNNNNNNNNNNNNNNNNNNNNNNNNNNNNNNNNNNNNNNNNNNNNNNNNNNNNNNNNNNNNNNNNNNNNNNNNNNNNNNNNNNNNNNNNNNNNNNNNNNNCCAUAUCAGUCACCAGCCCAAUUCAAGCCAACAAAGUCAAGGUCAAUCCUCAGUUGAGCAAGCACUCAUAAGCCUUAGCAAGGUUAUGGGAGACUUUGUGAGUGAGCAAAAAUCCAUCAACUCUCAACUAAAUCAGAAGAUUGACAACGUAGAGAGUACAUUGAACAAGAAGAUAGAUGGGAUGCAUAAUGAGUUGUCUAAGAAAAUUGACAACAUCCAAUAUUCCAUCUCAAGGCUCACAAAUUUGAACACUGUCAAUGAGAAAGGGAAGUUUCCCUCUUAGCCUCACCAAAAUCCUAAGGGGAUACAUGAAGUGGAAUCCAAAGAUGAGGAUUCUUCAAAGGUGAGGGACGUGCAAGCUAUUAUCACUUUGAGAAGUGGUAAGGAAGUGCAUCAGCCGAAGCAUGAUCAGAGGAAAGCCAAAGAAGACAAGGCUGAUAGAAAAGAAGAAAAGAAGAAAGAACAAAAGGGAAAGGAAAUUCAGAUGAAAGAAAGCAUCAUUCCUAGCAUGGAUGAGGAACUUCAAAUUCUUUUAAAGGAAGGCAUGAUGAAGAAACACAUGCCUCCUCCAUUUCCUCAAGCCUUGCGUGGGAAGAAACCGAUCAAGAAUGCUUCUGAGAUUCUUGAUGUGCUAAGACAAGUGAAGGUGAAUAUUCCUUUACUUGAUAUGAUCAAGCAACUACCCACAUAUGCAAAGUUUUUGAAGGACUUGUGCACUGUGAAAAGAGGACUCAAUGUUACAAAGCAAGCCUUCCUACUUGAGAAAGUGAGUGCUAUAAUCCAAUGCAAGUCUCCAAUCAAAUACAAAGAUCCGGGGUGUCCUACAAUCUCAGUCAAUAGUGGAGGAACCCAAGUGGAGAAGGCAUUGCUUGAUUUGGGGGCAAGUGUUAACUUGCUUCCAUACUUUGUAUACAAGGAGCUGGGGUUGGGAGAACUCAAGCCAACAUCGAUCACCCUAUCCUUAGCUGAUUGAUCAAUGAAAAUCCCCAGGGGGGUAAUAGAAGAUGUAUUGGUUCAAGUUGACAAAUUCUACUAUCCAGUAGAUUUUGUGGUGCUUGAUACGAAUCCUAUUGUCAAAAGGAUCAACUAUGUUCCAAUCAUCCUUGGAAGACCAUUCCUUGCAACAUCCAAUGCAAUCAUCAAUUGUAGGAAUGGGGUCAUGCAACUCACUUUUGGGAAUAUGACAUUGGAACUCAACAUCUUCCAUCUAUGUCAAAAGCCCAUCCAUCCUGAAGAAGAUGAGGGCCCAGAAGAAGUGUGUAUGAUAGAUACCCUGGUGGAGGAGCAUUGUAAUCAGAGUAUGCUUGAUCAGUUUGAAGAGAAUCCAGAUGAAAGCCAUGAAGAUCUUGAUGAUGGGUUAGUUGAACCCAUGAGAAUGAAUGUCGUUAUGUCAAACUGGAGACAAAAGCCAGUGAUCCUCCCUUUGUUCAAGGAUGAGGAAGAGAUAAAAGAAGCUAAGGAUGCAAUCCUUAAGCUUGAAUUGAAGACCCUUCCUGCCGAGUUGAGUAUGCUUACUUGGAGGAACGCAAUAAAGCCCCGGUGGUAAUUUCUUCUUCUUUAACCGUUUCACAAGAGGACAAUCUUCUAAGAAUCCUUAGAAAGCAUAAGAAGGCCAUCGAAUGGCAAAUUUCUGAUUUGAAGGGGAUAAGCCCAUUGAUUUGCAAGCACCAUAUUUAUAUGGAGGAGGGAGCUAAGCCAACUCGUCAGCCACAGAGGAGAUUGAAUCCUCAUAUGCAAGAGGUAGUAAGGGCUGAAUUGUUGAAGCUUCUUCAAGCGCGCAUCAUUUACCCCAUUUCAGAUAGCACUUGGGUGAGUCCAACCCAAGUUGUUCCAAAGAAGUCCGGGAUAACCGUAGUCAAUGGGGAAAAUGGAGAUGAAGUGUCCACACGCCUCACAACUGGUUGGAGGGUGUGCAUUGACUACAGGAAGCUGAAUACAGUAACGAGAAAGGAUCACUUCCCUUUACCUUUCAUGGAUCAAGUCCUUGAGAGAGUAUCUGGGCAUCCUUUUUAUUGCUUCUUGGAUGGGUAUUCCGGGUAUUUUCAAAUAGAGAUUGAUGUGGAGGACCAGGAGAAGACUACCUUCACUUGUCCAUUCGGCACCUAUGCUUAUAGGCGGAUACCUUUUGGAUUAUGCAACGCUUCUGCUACCUUCCAAAGAUGCAUGCUUAGCAUCUUUAGUGACAUGGUUGAAUGAAUCAUGGAAGUCUUCAUGGAUGACAUAACUGUGUAUGGGACUUCUUUUGAGGAUUGUUUGUCACAUCUUGAAGAUGUUUUGAAAAGAUGCAUAGAGAAAGACCUCGUACUCAAUUGGGAGAAGUGCCAUUUUAUGGUAAAUCAAGGUAUUGUUCUUAGGCACGUAAUCUCAAAGAAGGGUAUAGAGGUAGAUAGAGCUAAGGUGGAACUAAUUGUGAAGUUGCCACCUCCCACCAAUGUAAAAGGAAUAAGGCAAUUCCUUGGGCAUGUCGGGUUCUAUAGGAGGUUUAUAAAGGAUUUUCCAAGAUUGCCAAACCUCUUUGUGAAUUAUUGGUGAAGGAUGCCAAGUUUGAGUGGGAUGAUAAAUGUCAAAGGAGUUUUGAGCUUCUUAAGCAAUUCUUGACAUCAGCGCCCAUUGUGAGAGCACCAAAUUGGGAGUUGCCAUUUGAAGUGAUGUGUGACUCAAGUGAUUAUGCCAUUGGGGCUGUUUUGGGACAAAGAGAAGAUGGUAAACCUUAUGUGAUCUACUAUGCAAGCAAGUCUUUGAAUGAUGCUCAAAGGAAUUACACCACCACUGAGAAGGAAUUACUUGCUGUGGUGUAUGCUUUGGAUAAGUUCAGAGCUUAUUUGAUAGGGUCUUCCAUUAUGGUAUUCACGGAUCAUUCAGCUUUGAAGUAUUUGCUAACCAAGCAAGAUGCCAAGGCUAGGUUGAUUAGGUGGAUACUUUUGCUUCAAGAGUUCAACCUCCAGAUCAGAGAUAAGAAAGGUGUUGAGAAUGUGGUAGCUGACCACUUGUCAAGGCUCAACAUCGCUCAUGACACCCAUGGACUUCCCAUAAAUGAUGAUUUCCCUGAGGAAUCCUUGAUGCUUGUGGAGGAAGUGCCAUGGUUUGCACACAUUGCCAAUUACUUGGUCACGGGAGAAAUACCAAGUGAAUGGAGCUCUAAGGACAAGAAGAAUUUCUUUGCCAAGGUCCAUGCAUAUUAUUGGGAGGAGCCUUUUCUCUUCAAGUAUUGUGCGGACCAAAUUAUAAGGAAGUGUGUGCCUGAACAAGAGAAGCAUGGGAUCCUAUCUCAUUGCCAUGGGAAUGCAUGUGGAGGCCACUUUGCCUCUCAAAAGACGGCAAUGAGAGUUCUUCAAUCGGGCUUUUGGUGGCCCUCACUUUUUAAGGAUGCCCAUGAGGUAAGUAAAGGAUGUGAUAAGUGCCAAAGACUAGGCAAGAUUUCAAGGAGAAACAUGAUGCCUUUGAACCCCAUCUUGAUAGUGGAUCUUUUUUAUGUUUGGGGCAUAGACUUCAUGGGACCUUUCCCUAUGUCUUUUGGCCACUCCUACAUCUUGGUAGGAGUUGAUUAUGUUUCAAAGUGGGUUGAAGCUAUACCCUGUAGAACCAAUUAUCACAAAGUGGUUCUCAAGUUCCUAAAAGAAAACAUCUUCUCGAGGUUUAGAGUGCCUAAAGCAAUCAUCAGUGAUGGAGGCACUCACUUUUGCAACAAGCCCUUUGAAGCUCUUUUGGCCAAGUACGGAAUUAAGCAUAAGGUAGCUACACCUUAUCAUCCUCAGACAAGUGGCCAAGUAGAGCUAGCCAACCGGGAAAUUAAGAACAUCUUGAUGAAGGUGGUGAACACCAAUAGGAAAGAUUGGUCUGUUAAGCUCCUUGAUUCCCUAUGGGCGUAUAGGACGGCUUAUAAGACUAUCCUUGGGAUGUCACCGUACCGUCUUGUUUAUGGCAAAGCUUGCCAUCUUCCCGUUGAGAUUGAGUUCAAGGCAUGGUGGGCCAUUAAAAAGCUCAACAUGGAUUUAACUAAGGCUGGGCUAAAGAGGAGUUUGGAUUUGAAUGAGCUCGAGGAAUUGAGAAAUGAUGCCUAUCUCAACUCAAAAAUAGCUAAGGAAAAGCUAAAGAGAUGGCAUGAUCAGUUGGUGACCAAGAAAGAAUUUUUCAAGGGACAAAGAGUCUUGCUAUAUGACUCUAAGCUUCACCUAUUUUCGGGAAAGCUCAAAUCAAGGUGGGUAGGGCCUUUUGUCAUCCACCAAGUACACUCACAUGGAGUAAUUGAGUUACUCAACUCAAAAAGUGCAAAGACCUUCAAGGUAAAUGGGCAAAGACUCAAGCCCUACAUCGAGCCAUUUUCCCGUGACAAGGAGGUACUCAUCCUCCAUGACCCAUCACAUCCUUGAGAAAGUGUGGUAAGUUGAUGAGCUUAGCAUGAAAAGCUAAGUGCUCAUCUCUUUUUGUUUUAAUUUUAGUAUUACAUUCUUGUUUACUUUGCAUUUUUAAUACUUUUGCACAUAUGUUGUUUAGGUUUCUUAGUUUUGAUUUUGAUUUUUUAUGUUUUUAAUGGAGCUUUGAUGUCCAAUAGCAGGUACGAAAGCUCAUAAGCUCACAAAUGUGGAGAGAAAGGUGAAAUAGGGGAGAAAUAUAUCUAAGUCCAAGCUUAAAAGCCCAUUUCGCAACUCAAAAAGUGAGUUGCGAAAAUUUGGCAAGGUGAAUUUCACCUUGCGAAAUGCACAUUUUGGCAAGAUGCAAUUUACAACCUCUCGGGAUUGCACUUUCGCAAGGAGUAACCAGUGCGAAAAUUUUCGCAAGGAGUAACCAGUGCGAAAAUUUUCGCAAGUCAUUUUUCACCUUGCGAAAUUGUUUUCAAAGCAAAUAUCAAAAUGAAACCUCUCGGGACUGGUUUUUAAGGGGAGUAGCUAAUGCGAAAAUUUGGCAAGGUGAAUUUUCACCUUGCGAAAUUUUUUCUUCAUACUUACCAAGGAUUUGAUUCUUUUUAAAUUCAUUUUCAAACUUCAAUUUUGUAGUUUUAACACUCCUGAUUAGCUUUUGAGUAUAGUAUGGAUAACUAUCAUCUCCCCCCAACCUAAGUCUUUCUUUAAGCUUAACAAAAUUAACCAUCUCUUGAUAGGCUAGGAACGCACCUCUUAUUCACAAUUCUUUUCACUUACUAAACUUAACCAAUUCACCCAUGUAACAAGCAGAGGAUCGGUGACUCCCAACCAAUAAAGGCUUAGGGCACCAGGCUUUAAAGGCUUUCGCCACCCCUUCGGACCAUGCUUAGGUUUCAAGGCAAGCAAAGAAGUUUAUGCUAUUAUUAUUAUUUUUUUUUCUUUUUCUAUUUUUACAAAGACUCAUUGGUCUUUAUGAGGUGUCCCAACACUAUUAAAGAGAGGUUAAAGGUGUCAAAUUAUGAUUUCUCAAGCUUAGAGGGUGAGAUAGUUUCACAUCUUAUAACUGGAAUCUAAUGUAUGUGUGUGCGAAUAGCUUAAGUGGAAGAGAUAAGUUUGCAUGCAAUGGGAGUUUCAACAAUUCAUCAGCUUUNNNNNNNNNNNNNNNNNNNNNNNNNNNNNNNNNNNNNNNNNNNNNNNNNNNNNNNNNNNNNNNNNNNNNNNNNNNNNNNNNNNNNNNNNNNNNNNNNNNNNNNNNNNNNNNNNNNNNNNNNNNNNNNNNNNNNNNNNNNNNNNNNNNNNNNNNNNNNNNNNNNNNNNNNNNNNNNNNNNNNNNNNNNNNNNNNNNNNNNNNNNNNNNNNNNNNNNNNNNNNNNNNNNNNNNNNNNNNNNNNNNNNNNNNNNNNNNNNNNNNNNNNNNNNNNNNNNNNNNNNNNNNNNNNNNNNNNNNNNNNNNNNNNNNNNNNNNNNNNNNNNNNNNNNNNNNNNNNNNNNNNNNNNNNNNNNNNNNNNNNNNNNNNNNNNNNNNNNNNNNNNNNNNNNNNNNNNNNNNNNNNNNNNNNNNNNNNNNNNNNNNNNNNNNNNNNNNNNNNNNNNNNNNNNNNNNNNNNNNNNNNNNNNNNNNNNNNNNNNNNNNNNNNNNNNNNNNNNNNNNNNNNNNNNNNNNNNNNNNNNNNNNNNNNNNNNNNNNNNNNNNNNNNNNNNNNNNNNNNNNNNNNNNNNNNNNNNNNNNNNNNNNNNNNNNNNNNNNNNNNNNNNNNNNNNNNNNNNNNNNNNNNNNNNNNNNNNNNNNNNNNNNNNNNNNNNNNNNNNNNNNNNNNNNNNNNNNNNNNNNNNNNNNNNNNNNNNNNNNNNNNNNNNNNNNNNNNNNNNNNNNNNNNNNNNNNNNNNNNNNNNNNNNNNNNNNNNNNNNNNNNNNNNNNNNNNNNNNNGAAUUUAAAUGAAGCUGAUAGCAUGUACCCCAAAAAGAAGAUGAACUAUUUAGCUCAUCCUCCACUCACACACCCUACUUCAUGCUGAAUUCCCCCUGGAUCCCAAACAAAAUUGGCAUCCUUUCCCAUUUGGUCCAAGGGAAUUCGUUUCUCUUCUCUUCCCUGGAGAAGUGGAUGCUUUAAAGGGUUCAGGUAACCCUUUAUCAUCUUGAACCUUAUGAUUUUCAAUGGAAGGUUGGUCCAUAGAGUUGUCAUAGCAAUCCCCUACCAAAGUGUCGAUCUUUAAUACUUUCCUUAAUCUUUUUGCAUUGGUUCCUUGAAGGUUAUGGUGGGGUUGAGGAGGAAGCUUCCUUUUCCCCCUUGCUAUGUCGAGAUUGGUGAGUUUCUCAAUGGAGUCUUGAACUUUUUCUAUCCUUAGUGAUAGAUCAUUAUAAACCCCCUCCAUUCUUACAUUUAUUGAACUCUCCAAAUUAUCAAUCUUUUCAUUAAGAUGAGAGUUGAUCUUUUGUUGUUCACCUACAAAGUCCUCCAUGACUUUGCUUAUCUUCAAAAUGGCUUGCUCCAAUGAAGAUGUACUCAUUGAUGGUUGAGGUUGAGGUUGGGUUGUAAGGUUUUGAUGGUUAUUCCAACUUGAGGUGUAGGAGCUUUGGUAACCGUACAUGUCUCUCACAAUUGGAAUGGUAGGGCACUCCCCUACCGUAUGCUCAUAUGAAUCAUCUCCAUUCAAAGCAUACUUACUACCCCAUUGGCUUUGUUGAACUUGCCUUUUCCCUAAUUCAAUCCGAUCCCUCAUGGAUAGGUAUGCGAAUUUGUCCUUCUCAUAAUCAUAAUGAGAGCUUUGAUCUUCAUGUGGAAUUUCCAUUUCUAAAAAAAAUGAUAUUCAACUAAGGCUCUUUUCUUCAACUUGUACCAGGGUUCCCUCUUGGUCUCGAAUCCAACAAGGAAUGCACAAAUUGAAAUUAAAACAAAAAUAAAAGAAAAGAGAAUAAAAAAAAAUUAACUAAAUAAAAACUAAACUAAAAAAAAUUAUAAGAAAACUCACCAAACUUGUGAUGAAGAUCACAAGUUACCCUUAAUGGUUGCUUCACUGUGCUUGUGGCACUUUCCCCGGCAACGGCGCCAUUUGAUUCGACUCAUGGUAGCUUAGCUUUAAAGGAGUAUCAAUAAAAUUUAUACCUUAAAUACUAUUACUAAAGUAGCCAAGCUACUAUAGCAUAGUGGUUCUAGGAUCGUUCACUGGGAAGGGUUUUCGUAAACACUAGUGAUAUUCAAAUUAGGAAAAUAUGUGAUUUUCUUAUGGAUGUUAGCUUUAAAAGAAAGUGUAAAUGUUUUAGAAAGAUUUAAACUAAUCUAAGCUAACAUUAAAGACUAAAAUGAAAGGGUGUAAAAACAAGUUUCUCAAAGAUAGGAUAGCUAUGCUCUGGCUCUUAUGCAAAUUGGAAAUCUCAGGAUAGGCUCCUCGCGUUGGGGUUGCAACUAUGGUGAUGCUUGCUUCCCGAACCGGUAUGGAUUUAGCAAAUCAAGUUUUAAUCCUUUAAAAUGGCAAAACAGAUGGUAGUGAAUUUCAUCAAUGGUUAUUCACCUUAGACUUCUUUUGAAUGACUCGUAAGAGAUAACUAAUGGUCUAAAGCUAAAAGUUUACCAAAUAUUGGCAACUCAAAGUCAUUCCAGGUGAUAAACUCACCUUUCAAUGGCCAUUGAAAUUGGUUCUAACGGAUUAAUGCAAAACUUGGAAUUGAAAACCUCACCUUCCAAUAGCUCGUAGGAGAUAACUAAUGGAUAGAAAUCCAAAAGCUUAUCAAGUAUUGGCCGUUGGAAGUUGUCCAAAGGAAAUAAAAACCAAACUUUGCAUUAAUGAACCUUUAAUGAAAAACGACUACCUUACCUUCCAGGUGCGAGAAAUUUCCAUGGGAUUGCAUCCAAGUCAUCACAUAACAUCCAUACUUCGAGAAACUAAAAGUUUUAGCCAAUCAUCCUCUGAGGAAAAGCCCUCAGAGGCUGUUUGGCUACUAAGAAAAUAGAAAUGGGGAAGAACAGGAGAAGAGAGAAAAACAGAGCAAGGCUCCGUCUCUGUAUAUCCGUCUAUAUAUGUGUAUAUUUUACAAUGGAUGCACGGGAAUAUAAAUAGAGAAGUUUUUUCCAACCUUCCUAGCUAAGAAAUCUUAUGAUUGGUGGAUUACAAGGAGAAGAAUGGAAAUUUAUACAAAAAUAUCUAAAAGAAAAUAUCUCGCGUGGAGUCGGCAAAACAGAGGAAAAUUCGCACCACGCAUGGGCUGUGCGAAUUUUGAAGGUGUUGUGCGAGUGUUGUGCAAGUUUCGCACAAGCUUCGCACAAGAUGAAGGUGUUGUGCGAGUGUUGUGCGAGUUUCGCACAAGCUGAAGGUGUUGUGCGAAUUUCGCACAAGCUGAAGGUGUUGUGCGAAUUUCGCACAAGCUGAAGGUGUUGUGCGAAUUUCGCACAAGCCUGGAGCAGUUGUCUUCCAAAGGCCAUAUCUUCCUCAUUUCAGCUCCAAAUUGUAUACGGUUUAAAGCGUUGGAUUCUUGACUUCCUGAGCUUUGAAAUGGUAUAUAGCAUGUAGAAAAUGGACUUUGGAAAGUGCUCCAAAAGUGCAAAGGAAGACUGCAGCUGCUGUCAUCUAUUUUCUUCACUUUCUCUUUGCUUCUCUUUGCUUCUUUCCUUUGCUUGGCUUGUCUUAAUGAUCCAAAAAGCUGUCAAAACACUAAAACUAGCCACAAAUAUGAUUAGAAGUCAUUGCUAGGUCCUUAACAUGCCAAUUGGAAUAAAGAUGGAGAAUUACUACACAAAAGUGCUUAAAAGAUAUUGAAUUAAAGGUAUAAAAUAGCACUUUUUGGGUAGUAAUCAACUCCUCAGUUCAUCCCCGUACUUAGACAAAUUUUCAAAAAAAAUUUCAUGGCCAAAAACCCUUUUUAAAGCCUUCUCAACUUCAUUUUUCAUGCAUAAAAUACUAUUCCCCUUGCAUUUCCUCUCUAGGCCGCGUGCUUCAUUGUUUCAAGGUGAGUAAUUUUUCAUUUUUCUCCAUUUUUGGCUCCUUAAAUUGCUUGUUUAUGUCAUUUCUAUGUUUUAGGAACCAUAAACAUGCAUUUUCAUCCAUUAAAACCAUUUCAAAAAUCCAUUUUUUCAAAUCAAAGACCCAUAUGGCCGGCCACCAUUUUUGCAAAAAUCUCUAUCUUGCAAUGUGUUUUAGGCUCCCAAACUUACUCCAUUGCGUUUAGAAUCAUGUUUCCAUUAAAACCAUACCCUUUUUCUGAAUUUUAAACCGUUAAAAAUGAAAACUCAAAUUCAAAGUAAGCAUUGGAGAAGAAGAUGAAUAGUGCAUGUGAAUAGUGCUGCGUGAAUAGUGCCCGUUGCCAAAUUUAGCAACCACUAUUCAUGCCUUGCAAAUUUUGCACUGGUUACCAUUUCAACUGUAUUUUUGACACUUUACCCCUGGGAUGCUCUAUUUUUCGUGUUUUUCAGUCUUAUUUCAGUAUUUAUACCAUGGCACGGACACGGGGGACAUCCUCUUCAGCUAGUCAGCGUGGGGCCCACUCACAGAAAGGUGGUCAUUCUACACCAUAUCAGCCUGCCCAGACCCCAGUUCCCUCUACUCAGCACGGGUUCGAGACCAGACGAUCAUCUGGGUCUUCCAUGGCACCAAUGCCACCCCCUGUGAGCAGUCCUCCACCUAAGAGGACUAGGAUUUCAGGACUAGGCGAGUCCUCCAGAGCCCCUCCAUCACCUCCAGCAUCUACUAUCCCAGGCUCUUCACACCUAGCAGAGGUCCUCAAGCGGCCUAUGAUAGCAGGUCCACCCCUACCAGGCAACACGGAUAUCAGAGAUAGGCCAUUUCACGAUGAGAUCUGUAUGGAGCAUGAGACUCUCCGCCUAUUACCAGAGCUAGAGGAGUCAUACCGCCUUCUGCAGAGGUACCACAUCGAGCCAUUUAUGACUCCUAGGUCCUUCUAUUACCCUAGGGUAGUCUUAGAUUUCUACCAGACUAUGACUACUAGAGGCGUUCAGGACCCCAUAGCCAUUCAUUUUUUGAUUGAUGGCCAGCAUGGUAUUUUAGAGGCCCGAGAUAUAGCCGCCGCUAUGCAUUUUCCGCCUAUCCCUGAGGACCUUGGUUCCUUCCGGCAUUGGUCUCAGUAUUCAGAGCCCGACAUGGUGUCUACCUUAUCAGGAGGUAGAGUCACUGGUAGGACCAUUUUGAAGAGGGAGCUUCCUCCACGGAUGUUACUUAUCGAUUUGGUGCUCCGCACCAAUCUUUUUCCACUCCAGCAUGUCGUCCAGAGGAGAGGUGCUAUCCUAGAUGCACUUUACCGCAUCUCUGAGGGAUUCUACUUUGGACCCCACCAUCUAGUCAUGACUGCUCUUACCUAUUUUGAGGAAAAGGUGCAUAGGAAGCGCCUACGCAGAGCUGGUACUAUUCCACUCUUAUUUCCGAGGCUGAUCUCUCAGGUCUUAGAGGAUAUGGGAUACCCUUCUCAGCCCCACCUAGAGCGUCGUCAUCAUUGUCGAGAGCUCUUUACCAGUGAGAGUUGGACCCAUUUCUUAGACCGCUCACCCAUGGACCAGGGUAUCCCUAGACCAUUAGCUCCCGCGCCUCCAGCUUCUCCAGCACCUCCCGAUUCUCCAGCAGCUCCCGAUUCUCCAGCAGCCUCAGCACCUACAGUACAAACAUCACCAGAGCAGGACCCACAUACCACAGAGUCUUCUUCUUCAGUACCUGUUCCAGUGACUUGCAUUACUGAUACUCCCACCCCACCAGUCACUCCUGCUCCAGCCUAUGCUGAGUCUUUAGCCGGGCCAUCCAUCACUGUCUCCGCUAUAGAGUUCAGAGCUCUCAUGUCGUCCUUUCACUCAUUGAGCGCCUCUCAGGCCACCUUAGUCCGUGAGAUGCAGGCCAUCAGACGAUAGAUGGAUACCAUACAGACACAUCAGGCUCAGCAUAUAGCUAUUCAGGCUCAGCAUACAGCUAUCCUGGACCAGCACUCCGCCAUACUCUCUCAGAUCCACCAUCACCUGGGCAUAUCACCUCUUCCACCUCAGGAGCCACAUCCAUGAUUGGAUAUUUCUAUCUCCAUUUUGUAUAUGUUUUUUGUAUAUGAUACAUGUUAUAUCAUUCAUUCCUCAUCUUUUUCGAUAGAAACAUUGGGGACAAUGUUCAUCUCGGUUGGGGGGAGAGUUGAGCAAGUAAGUAUUUCCUAUUUUAGUUAGUUAUUUUGUUGAUUUAGUAGUUUUUGACCUUUUUCAAAAUUUUUUGUUUCAUUCUCUAUGGUUGUUAAAGAUAAUUUCUCAAAAUAAAAUAGGAUAAGUCGAGUUUUAACUUAAUUACUUAAGUCUUAGAGUUUGUUUUAUGCUUUCAAAGUUGAUAAUCUAUUGAAGCCCUCUUUGAUUUCGAACUUAUUUCUUCCAUUUCAAGCUUUACACACACCGUGCACAUUAGAUCCUGGAUAUAUGAUGUAAAACUUUCUCACCCUCUAAGCUUAGGAAAAUUUUGACUUGGUUCAUUACUUAAUCUCUUUUUAAUAGUGCUGGGACACCUCAAAAAGACCAAUGAGUCUUAAAAAAAAAAAAAAAAAAAAAAAAAGCUUCUACUCUUUCCUUGAAACCUAAGCAUGAUCCGAAGGGGUGGCGAAAGCCUUUAAAACCCAAUGCCCUAAACCUUGAUUGGUUGGGAGUCAUCGAUCCUCUGCUUGCUACAUAGGUGAAUUGGUUAAGUUUAGUGAGUAAAAAGAAUUGUGAAUAAGAAGGUGCGUUCCUAGCCUAUUAAUAGUUGGUUAAUUUUGCCAAAGUUCGAGAAAAGCUUAGGUUGGGGGGAGAGGAUAGUUGUACAUACUAUAUCCGGAAGCUAAUCUCAUUAACACUUAGCUCAUUAUGGAAGAGUUUGAUCCGGAACCUUGAGAGUAGAGAUUCUUUUGAUACUUAAUUGCAUAAUCUCCACUCUUUGUACUUUUUGUUUAAGUUUUAGCUUUGACAACUCCUAUUGCAUUUUGAAUCUUCAUAUCUUUAGUUCACCAUGUGAGAUGUGUUUUGAUAUCAGUCAUGCCACUCAAUUAUUUUUUGGAGUGAUUUGCAUGACCUCUUUUAUGUAUAUUAUUAUGUUUGCUUAGUUUUUAUCUCCUCCAUUGCUAAGGGACUAGCAAUGAGUCGGUUGGGGGGUAUGAUUACUACAGAAAAGUGCUAUUUUGUAGACCUAAUUAUAAGGGUUUUAAGCACCUUUGAGUAGUAAUCAUAUUCAUUUAACCUAAUUAAUUCAUUAAGCUCUUUAGUAAUUAGUUCUAACCAUUUUUAGUGGCAAGUUUACAUGUUUUUCAUCAGCUUAUGAACCAAUUCAAGCAUGCCAAUUGAUGGAGGAGCUACUUGGGCGAGUUAAGCAAGGAUUUUGGACGUUUACAGGCUUGAAUUUCAAGUGGAAACAUGAGCACAAGCAAUGGGAACACCAUUUCGCAAGGGGAGGCAAUUCACUUGCCAAAUGACCAAUUUCGCAAGGUGAAUUUCACCUUGCCAAAAUUUCGCAAGGGGAUUUUCCUCAUGGUGCGAAAUUUGGCCAUUUCGCACCAUGAAGAAAACCACCUUGCGAAAUUUCGCAAGGUGGAUUUAGGCACCUUGCGAAAUGCCAAAUUUCGCAAGGUGGCUUUUCACCUUGCGAAAUUUGGACCUUUCAUCUUCCCCCCUUGCGAAAUGCCUUUGAAAUCUCCUGUUUUGAGACGCUGUUGAUGAUAUUCCACUGCCGGUUCUCCAAGAUAUUUUGCUUGACUUUUAGCUUUGUAAAUACCUAUUUUACCCUUGUAAUCAACCAAUGAAAAGGUUGCUUUUGUAAUAACUCUUGUAAUUUAGCUUUUUAUUGUCUUUAAAUAAAGGUGAAGAGCCUCAGACACGAUCAUCUUGUAACCUGUAACUUUAUAAGUUAUAAGAGCACUUUUGUUCAUACGCUUCUUUUAUCUUUUUCUUUCUCAUUUUCUUAGUAGCCAAACAUCCUUGGAGGAUGAAAUCCCCAAGGAUGAGAGGCAAAAACCUUUUAGUUUCUUGAAGUAAUGGAUGCCAUGUGAAGCUCCCAUGUCAGGAUGGAGAUUUCCAAGCCAUAAAUGUAAGUAGCUGAGCGUCAUAAAUGUUUUCAUUCAAAGUAAAGCUUUUAAUCCCUCUGACUUGCUUUGAAUGGCCAAUACUUGAUAACCUUUUGGUCUCAGUGGAUUCUUAUUUUUAGAUCCACUAAUGUUCAUUAGUUAUCUCCUACGAGCCAUUGUAUUGCAAGUCGAGGAGAUGACCUAUACCAAUAAAAGAGCAUUUAUGAGGUUCAGCUACCCUUUUUGUAAGUUUUCAAGGACUAAAACUCAGUUGUUAAACUCAUACCGGUUCGGGAAGUAAGCAUCACCUUAGUUACUUCCCCAACUCGAGGUGAAAAGUCCUAAAAUCUCCAUUUUUACACAGUGAGUUAAGCAUGGCUAUCCAAAGCUUUGAGAAACUUCUUUUUCCAUCUUUUAACCUAUUUUCAUGUUAGUUUAGUUUACAACACCUUCAUCUUUUUAUGUUUUCAUCUUAACCUAAUUUUUAUUAAGAAAAGUUCACUCCAUCCUCCGAACUUCACCAGUUAAAGUAAAAACCCUUCCCAGUGUUCGAUCCUAGAGCCACUAUGCUAUAGUAGCUUUGCUACUUUAGUGUAAGGACCUUAGGUAUAAAUUUUGUUGAUACCCUUACAUGCCAAGCUACUAAGAGUCGGGUUAUCAAUAGGUUACCAAUCUAGGCAACCAAUCCAAUUGUUUUGUGACAAUAAAGCCACAUGUGGCAUUGCUCAUAAUCCAGUACAACAUGAUCGUACAAAGCAUGUCGAGGUGGACAGAUUCUUCAUUAAGGAGAAGUUGGAUGAUAAGAUUGUGGAAUUGCCUAAGAUUCGAUCAGAAGAUCAAUUAGCCGAUAUCCUCACCAAAGUUGUCUCAAGUCAAGUGUUCUCAAAAAUUUUAGAGAAGUUGGGCAUGUGUGACAUCUAUGCACCAACUUGAGGGGGAGUGUUGAGAUAUUAGGAAUGCUUUCCUUGUAUCAUUCUUUCCUUAUAUCAUUCUUUCCUUGUAUCAUUCUUUCCCAUUCUUAUAAUGGUGAUUACCCUCUAUAUAUACUCUGUACAUGAACGAAUAAAAGAAUGAAUGAGAUAAAAAAAAAUACCAUUCAUCAAUUUGAAGAAAACUGUUAUCAGUGUAUAAAUACCAAUGUAAAAGGUUAUUCUUCAAGAUAGAAAAUUGAAAACAAUAUCUUUCUUGAUACAAAGUGUCACUCACCUCCUCGGACCAUCACACAGAACAUAGUUCUACCUAAAAGGAAAUGAAAACUAAAGCUACGUGACAAGGUUCUUCAGUAAUGCUGAAAGUUAGAAAACCCAGUUCAAAGAAAUUUUUGGUGCCAAGCUUUGUAGAAAAGUCUUAGGGUUCUCAUCGAAGGCAAGCAAUGUGAUACCAAUUAUCAAGUUGAUAUAAAACCCGUAAUUCUAAGGGUAGAGAGAGAGGGAGAUAGGGCCAAACUUAGGGAAAAAAACCAAAAUUCAUUGAAAUAAGUUUGUUUUUUGAUUGAUCAUGAGAAUUAAUAAACCUUAGGACAUUUUUAUUGUUAAAUUUUAACACAUAAGAAAAUCUGGAUAUGGAGGCAUACAAGAUUUUACUUAAUUGGCUAAUAAAACCUCAAGGUCCUAUACAAAUUAACAUAAUUCAAUUGUUAUUAAUGUCUUACUUUUGUGAGUGAAUUGUUGAGUUUUGUGAUAUGGGUUUAACUUUUCAUUGACUUAAUUUGAAUAUAUGAAUAGACUACUUAAUUAAUUUGUCUUAUCCCAUAAUAACACAAUUUAUAUUAUGGAACAUAUAAGAAAAAUUGAUAGGAUCAAAUAUAGUUGGAUCUAACACAUUAUGUUAACAUUAAUACUCAUAUUCAAUUGUGUAUAUAAAUUCAAGAAACUAACACAUACACACAUGUAUAUAUAAGGUUUCAAUUUUAUAAAUAUUUGCAUAAUGAGUAUAUUUCAAAUAAUCAAUAAAAGUUUGUAUCACAUAUAAAGUGAUAUAUUAACAAAAUAUAAUUUAUAGUUAAAUCAUGUUUUCAAAGUAGUGAAAUAACAUAUUGACUAGAGAAUUUAAAAUAUGUAUAUACACACCAAAAACAUAAAUACAUUGAUUCUUGUUAACUUGUGAAUUCAAAAAAGUUUUAGUUUAGCAAAAUCAAUACCAAAAUUUUAUCUUGAUCAACUCAUUGUAUUGGGUGGGGACAUAUCUCUACUAAAAUAUUUGAAAGGAAAAUUUUACAUUUGAGAUGUUCUUAUCCUCUUGAAUUUGAUAGUUUGUUCUUAGUUUGAGAUUCUCUUGCCCUUUGAUAAAAUUAAUAGUGUAAGUACAAAUUGAUAAAAGUUUAGUCAAAAAUGAAAAUUUACUUGAAGUGUCUUAUUCACCUUAAUUAAUAAGGAUCCAUGAGUUGACUAAUCGAGUUUUGAGCCUUCAAGUUGUUUGAGCAUUUUAUCUUCAAUUGCUCAACUUUUUCCAUCUAGAUAUCAAUCAAACUUAAGACUAAGGUGUUAGAUUCCAUUAUUUUAUGUACUAAAUUCGUUUAAUAGAAUGCUUGGUGAUUCAAAAGUAAUAACCUUUGAACUUAAGAAUCAGUCCAAACAACAACUUUAGUAAGAAAAUCAAUGUCAUAAUUUGAUUUUUUAACUCUUUUGGAUUACUUAAGAACAUGCACCAACUUCUCAAAAUAUUCUUAAGCAAAAUAUUGGAAAUUGAAAUGUUCUUUCCCUCUUAAUUUGAUUACUGGUUCUUGCUUCAGACUCUUUAUCUCACUUUUAGAUAUUUAGAUUACAAAAUUGAAUCAAUUGUGAGUUCAAAUUAAUUGGCAAGACUUGGAUCAAAAUUAAAAAUUGACUUGAAAUAUUUGACAUACCUCUAUUAGUAAGGAUUUCCAUGGCUUAACUAACUGAGGUUGGCUCUAUCUUUAACCAAUUAGCUAACUCAAUGAUAGAUUUUUAGUGUCUUGGCAUAUCCAACAAAAACUUGAUCAAAUUCAAGGUUAAAGUGCAAUUUCAUGUACCAACUUAUCAAACAAAAUGUUUAAUACUUAAAGUUAACAAUGCAAUUAAGCUUAUCCUAAAAAUGCUUGAAAACAAGUCCUAAUAAUUUGAAUAAAACAAAUAUGGACUUUAGGCCUAUGGAGGCGUAUGGACUUUCAAAAUAGGGUAACUAGGAAAAAAAAAAAAAAGAAAAAAAAAUGAAAAAUGAAAAUCAUUAGAAAGAAUUUCAUCCCUUUAAAUCACUUAGCUAGGCAAUAUAAACUAAUGAGAGAAAGAAAAAGUGGUUUACCAAAAACCAAGAUAAAUGUUUAAUAUCUUCCAUAACGUAUCCAUUGAACAAAUUUGCAAAGGAACUCGAACCACUUGUGCAUAUGGUCAUCUUCAUCAUUUUGGGCUUCUUUGCCCAUCAACAUUAGUAUCUUUUGUAUAUAAGCCAAGAUGGACAGCAGACUUCAUCCAUGGACUAGCAUUUAGAUGAUGGAACAUCAACUAAUCCAAAUUCAUCAUCAUAGAAAUUAGCAUCAAUAUAAACAAAGUGAGGAAUUUAAGAUACUUUAUUAAAUUCCUUAAGUGAUCUUAAAAAAUAAAUGAAGAUAAUUUACCAAUGAUCUAUCAACUCAUUCUUGAGAGAAUUUGUUAAUAAUUUCAAAUACACAGAGUUAUCCAUGCUUAAAAAAAUAUAAAUUAAAAUCAAGGACAAAAAUACAAAAGAUAUUGGAACAAAGAAGUCAUUUUUUUUAAUAGUAUUCUCAUUUUGAUUCACUAUUAGCAUCUUUUCGACAGUUUCCAAAUUAAAAAUAAUAAGGUAAGAAAUUAAAUAAAAUAAAAAUUAUAAACUAAUUAAUUAUGAAAAACCAUCUUAGAAAAUUAAAAUAAAAUCUAAAAUAAGCAAAUCCAAAUUUAGUAAUUUUUAUUUUUCAUUUUAUUUUUAUUAGUUUAUAUUUAUUUUUGUUUUUAUAUAUGUAUAUUAUUAUUAUUUUUAAAGGAAGCAAAGUUGUUGCAAAUUACAAAAUUAUAAUUGUACUACUAUGAAUAAUUCAAUAUAUUAAUGUCACACUUUAUUUUGUCAAUUUUUUUUCAUAUGUUAAAUGAUUAUGUAUCUAUAGAUAAAAUCUUAAGGAUAAUAAAUGUAUUAUAUUAUAAACUAGUUUAUAUCUAAACCUCAUUAAAAGUUGUAAAAGUUUAAGAGCAAUAUGUCUUUAUUUCUUAAAAUAAAUAGGGAAAUAUACCAAGAAUGUAACUAAGGUACACAUAUGCAUGUGAGUAAUUAAAAAUAGGAAUAAUGUAAUUCACAUAUGAAAAAUGUGAUCAAAGUAUAAAAAUACAAAAAUUAUGACCGAUGUAUUAAGGUAUAAAAAAAUUCCGUUAGGAUGUAAAAAAUGUAACUAAGGUUAUAAAAAAUAUGACCAAGGUAAUAAGAUACAAAAAUUAUUAUUAGGGUAUGAGAAAUAUGACUAAGAUAAAAAAAUAAAAAAAUAAAAUGUUAUGAGGAUGCAAAGAAUAUGACCAAGGUACCAAAAAUGCAAUUAAAGUAUAAAGAAUGUAACUAAAAUAUAAAAAAUAUGAUUAAGAUAUGAAAAAUGUGAGUGAGGUAUUAUAAUGUAAAUAAUGUGACUAAUUCAUUUAUAAUUAGGCUCAAACUUGGAUAAAAGUGAGAAAAAUAAAUAUUAAUUCAUGCUUCAACCAACUUGAUUUAUAGUGUAAUUAAGAAAUUUAAGAAACAUAUAAUAAUUUUUAAAAUCUAAAUAUAAAAAUUAAUUCAAAAGUUUUGGUCCACCAAACUCAAUGAUCAUAAUAUUAGGAAUAUUUUCAACUUUUAUUAAUCAAUAUAAGCAUUCCAUUAUUGCCUUCUAUGAUAUAAUUCUUUCCUCUCAAUAACUCUUGCCAAAGUUAAGCUUUGGAUGAUUCCUAACAUUUAUAUAACCUAAAAAAAAAAAAAAACACUCCUCUUAUCCAAGAAUUGAGGAUGUCAAAUUUUCCUAAAAUUUUGGAGCAAUUGAAAGCAAACUAAUUAAAAGCAAAGGCAUGAAAAAGGAGAAAAAAAAAAAAAAAAAAAAAAAAAGAAAUAUUGCCCCUUUAAAUGAUUUGACCAUGUCUAACAGUAUAUUGAACUCCAUGUUCUUCCAAACGCCUAACAAUUUUAAAGUUGUGCAGAUGUUUCUUUCACUAAUUUUGAUACGUCUAAUAGCAAAUAAAAAGAGAGAAGGCAUACCUCACAGGAGGGUCAAGAAAAGUGUGUUGUGUCUAAAACUAGAGAUGUCCUGAUCUUUUGGGGUGUCGGUCCGCUUUUGGGUGAUCCUCUCGCCAUCACGACUUGUCUUGACAUGGAAACCAGUAUUUUCUCUCAAUAACCAUUGUAGGCAUAUAAUGAUCCUCUUUUUGAUUCAAUUCAGUUAAAUAUCAUGCAGAUGGCUUUAAGCUCCACUCCAUCAGACCUUUCACUUUCACUCGUACAUACUAUAUGCUCUCUCCUCCUAGCUCCUCACUCCUUACCAUCCCAAACCAACUGAGCUCUUUCAUAACUUAUCUCUCCAUACCAUCACACAAAACACAAUUCUACCUGAAAGAAAAUGAAAACCAGAGUUAAGUGAGUGGGUUCUUCAAUAAUUCUAAAAGAUAAAAAAAAAAAAAAAAAAAAAAAAAACCCACUUCAAAGAAAUUUUUGGUGCCAAGCUUGGUACAAAACCCAAUUCAAAGACAAGUAAUGUGAUACUAAUUAUCAAGUCCAAACAUAACCCUUAAUUUUAUGGGCAAAGAGUGACAGAUGUCGAUUACCAAGUCCACAUAUAACUCUUAAUUUUAAGGGCAAAGAGAGAGAAAGAAGUUUAAAUGAAAGAAUAUACCAAACUAGAGCAAACCAAUAUGCAAAUAUUCUAAAUUGAGAACAUCAUAGUGAGGGUAGAUUGUAGAAGCAACAUUUCAACUUAGAUGCAUCGUUUUGAAUUUUAACCUGAUGGAGAGAAAAUAAGAACUAGCAUCCUCGUAAGAUAAGAGCUUCCACAAUGCAUCAUCGUGGGAUCCUCCCUAAAAAUUGCCGCGUGGCUCCCUUUCCCUUGCGACACGUGGCACCGCCGACAUUCCACCCGGACAUCUCACAUCCGGAAUUCUUCUCCGCCGAUAUUCCACCCGAAUGUCUCACCGCCACAAUUCUGUCCGGCCAACGUUCUACCUUAUUCGGAUGUUUCACAGCCGCCAUUAUAUCCGGCCAACGUUCCACCUUCUCCGGAUGGGAGAGGAGGACGAUUCAACUUCCCCGGGCAGACAUGUCCGGAUCCUCUGGUGACACUUACCCGGACAGCUUGGCUCGUCAGAUACUCGUGAUUCGUCGGAUCCAUUUCCGCCAACAAUCAAAGAGAUAACUCUGACAAUACUGACGACCAAGUCUCCUGAACUAUCACUCACAUUUAAUGCAAGAUACAUUCGACAAGACAUUCUCAAGUUUUCUUAGGUCUCCUGACACAUCCCCGAUAUUUAAAGUCAUAAAUUGAAGCGGUGGAUGUCGCCUAAAUAUCCUCCUGACAGCUGCAAUCUUGGACCAGAAACGUCAUGAUUGCUUCAUCACCCUAUAAGCCACAAUCAUGACGAUGGGACCCGCUGGCACAACGAGGCGAUAUUUUCUGACUCAUAUAUAAACUCUAAGAAGGCUCUCAGGGAGGUAAGAGAUAAGAAAAAAAAAAACAAUAAGCAAUAUAUCAUUCUGGAGGUCAUAAGCCAAAAAAGAUAAGCAACAAAGGAUAAACAUCCUGCUGAGUGAUAAACAUCCUUGACAAAAAUCACGGAGCCACACUCCCAAAGGAAGACCUCAUUUUCCAUACAUCUUCCAAAAUACCAACUUAAUCAUCGGAGGGUGUGUCCGGACAACCCAUCCAGACAUCUUUUUUGCAGGAGGAAGAAGGAUUCACUGUAACGCGUUGAUCGAGAUCCCGUUGCUGGUGACGACUACUGUAGCAGUGGAACUUUGCCAUCAACAUUGGCGUCAUCUGUGGGAACGUCUUUUCUUCUCAGUAAAUCCUAUACCUUCCAACUGUAAAGAUGACUUCACCCUCAAGGAGUCGUUCUUCCGCCAGAGGAGACGAAGGUUACUUCGAAUGGCGAAACAUCAUGGAAAGACGAUAGCGAGAGAACGAACGGCAGACGCAAAUUCUGCUCCAAGAAACAAGGAAACUCAGGGAAGAAAACAAUGUCUUGAGGAUCCCAGGCUCUUCCCAACAUCAGCACUAUCAGCGGAGGCAGAAUCCCUACCACUACCAGGAAGCUCCAUUCCCCCUCGAGGCGAGCCCAACCCUCGAGGCGCAUCAAGCAUGGCCUGAUGAAACCCCAGUGCACGCUCACCGCGUCCGACGAAAAGAUAGUUCAGGCUCUACUCGAGUCUCGCCCAAGCGACAACGUGAAAAAAGACCCCAAAUAUCUGACGCGAUGCGCGCACGUCUGGGACCUCAAACACCCUGCAGAAACAGGCCUUACACAGCCAUAUCACUGGAGGCACACUCCGAGCCUUCAAGCUCGCCUACUCUAUAGGGACAUGUCGCCAGCCCACUCGUGGCGCGGGUUGGUAAAGAUCCCUCGCAUUCAGCCCCUCCGGGCUCUAUCAGCAGGUGCCUGGACGACAUACUCUCCACGCCUUUCAGCUCUCGUAUCAUUAAAUAUGAGCCCCCACGAGGGUUCAUCGUCCCGAAAUUCUCCACGUAUGAUGGAUCCAGCGAUCCCUUUGAUCACAUAAUGCAUUAUUGGCAGCUCAUGACCCUAGACAUAGGGAAUGAUAUGCUGUUGUGCAAAGUUUUCCUAGCCAGCCUACAAGGCCAGGCUCUUUCGUGGUUUCAUCGACUGCCCGCAAACUCGAUUGAUAAUUUCCGGGAUUUGUCCGAGGUCUUCGUGGGACAGUACUUAUGCUCAGCCAGGCAUAAACACAAUAUCAGCACCUUGCAGAACAUCAAAAUGCAAGAAAAUGAAACUCUGAGAGAGUUCGUGAAGCGUUUCGGACAAGCUGUCCUACAGGUUGAAUCGUACAGCAUGGACGCAGUCCUCUAAAUUUUUAAACGGAGCAUAUGCCCAGGGACCCCCUUCUUCGAGUCCCUCGCCAAAAAACCUCCUACAUCCAUGGACGAAUUAUUCCGGCGUGCGAGUAAAUACUCCAUGCUAGAGGAUGACAUCCGUGCCGCUACACAGCAGGUCUUGGUAGCUGGCCAGGCCGCUAAAAGCGAAGCCACCAGAAGCUUCAGAGCACCCAACCAUCCUGGGUCAUCCAACAGGGGGCAAGAUGAGCGACGUCCGUCAUUCAUUCGAACACCUCUCACCAAGUCGUAUGAAAAACUGCUUCCUAUAAUCCAUGAUCUGCCCGGCUUCAGAUGGCCAAUACCAAUAAGAUUGAACCCCUCAAAAAGGAACCACAACAAAAGAUGUGAUUACCAUAAAGAUCAUGGGCACACAACUAAAACAUGCAUAAACCUCCAUCACAUGGUAGAGGAUCUCCUAAAGGCGGGACACUUGAAGCAGUACGUCCGAACAGCGCCUAAAGGUGAAGGAUCUUCCUAUGAUCGAGGCCCACGCGCCCCAACGGCUCCUAUUAGGGCAGUGAUCAACUACAUAUACGGAGGACCCUUGGAUGACGAGUACAGUUCCAAAAGGAAAAGGCAGAGACUGCUACGAGCAGCCACGGUUCGGGAACACGUGAGCCCCAUCCGGCCGGGAUUAUCCAGUGGGAGCAUCCAUCCUAUAGAUGGAACCAUUCUCUUCCUCGCUGUAAAUCCCGCCCGAGUGCUGCAGCCGCAUCGAGAUGCUCUCAUCCUAACAUUAGGGGUGGGAGACUACGCCGUGAAAAGAAUCCUGGUCGACCCAGGCAGCUCCGCGGACCUGUUGCAGGUGGCGGUCAUCAAACAAAUGGAUUUCGAACUCUCCAACUUGGAGAAUCCCGGAAGAACCCUGUCCGAAUUCAACAAUUCUUCCACAACCUCACUUGGGGAUGUAACACUGCCGGUUCAAGCCGGGCCAGUCAUCCUAAAUGUUCUAUUCUCUGUGGUUGAGGAUUUAUCUCCUUUCAAUGCCAUUUUGGGACGCAUGUGGUUGCAUGGUAUGAAGGCCAUUCCAUCCACAUACCAUCAAAUGGUCAGCUUCAUCACCCCAAGAUGGACAAAUUAAUCUUUACGGAAGCCAACUCGCUGCCAGGCAAUGUUAUCAGAUCGCUCGCGAGGCCGGGACCAGCGCCGACCGCGAGCACUCCCCCAAAGAAGCAAAUGCUUCUGACCAAUAGCAACUAUAGCACCCGGCGGACAAAGAUCCCCCGGCAGCAGACCCGCUGGAGGCUGUCCGGAUAUCAAAAGGAUGUGAACGCUUCACGUAUGUUAGUACCCUCCUACCGCCAGCCGAGAGAUUCGAGCUCCAAAAGGUGCUCCAACAAAAUUGCGAUAUCUUUGCUUGGGCCCACUCGGACAUGUCCGGAAUACUUCCGAGCGUCGCCUCUCAUCGGCUCAACGUAUUAGCCACCUCCAAGCCCGUUUGACAAAAAAUUCAACGAUUCCACCCGGACAGGCAGAAAGUCAUUCGGGAAGAAAUGGAAAAAUUAUUGAAGGCCGGUUUUAUAAAGGAGGUGGAGUAUCCGGAAUGGUUGGCAAACGUAGUAGUGGUCCCUAAGAAGGGAGGAAAAUGGCGGGUGUGCGUAGGCUACACCAAUCUCAAUGACGCGUGCCCCAAAGACAGUUUUCCACUACCGCGAAUAAAUCAGAUAGUAGAUGCAACCUUCGGGCAUGAAAUGCUAUCCUUUUUGGAUGCUUUCUCCGGGUAUCACCAAAUUCCCAUGGCUCCGGAAGACGAAGAAAAAACUUUCUUCAUAACUCCUCACGGGCUCUACUGUUAUAGAGUCAUGUCAUUCGGACUCAAGAACACUGGGGCCACGUACCAGAGGUUAAUGACCAAGAUUUUUAAGUCGCUGAUUGGCGACAUUAUUGAGGUGUACAUUGACGACGUGGUAGUCAAAAGCAAAACCCGAAGUGAACACACCUAGCAUUUGCAGAAAGUUUUUCAUUUAUUGAGAAAAUAUGGCAUGAAGCUUAACCCAGCCAAAUGCGCAUUCAGGGUAAGCUCGGGGAAGUUCCUAGGGUUCAUGGUUACCCAAAGAGGAAUCGAAAUCAAUCCAGAUCAGGUGAAAGCGGUCGCUGACAUGCUUGCACCAACGAACAAGAAGCAGUUGUAACGCCUCACUGGCAAACUCGUCGCUCUCGGACGGUUCAUAGCUCGAUUCACAGACAAGAUGAAGCCUUUCUUUCUAGCACUCAGAGAUGUCAAUAAAUCUGGAUGGACGCAAGGCUGCCAGAAUGCUUUUGAAGAAAUCAAACGGUAUCUUUCUCAACCCCCCAUUCUAAGCAGUCCGCUACUUGGGGAAAGACUAUACCUGUAUCUAGCAGUUACCGAUUGGGCUGUUAGCGCGGUCUUGCUCCGUUCCUUGUCGCCCCGAGAACAAAAACCCGUAUAAUUCAUUAGCAAAGCGCUUGCCGACGCAGAGACAAGGUAUUCAAGGAUGGAACAGACUGCCUUGGCAUUGCGCACGGCCGCUCAAAAACUGCGUCCCUAUUUCCAAGCUCACCCCAUAACAGUACUCACCAAUCAACCCCUCAGAAACAUUCACCAUAAACCGGACAUAACGGGAAGGAUGCUAUGAUGGGCGAUAGAGCUGAGCGAAUAUGGGAUAGAUUAUCAGCCCAGACUAUCCCUGAAGGGACAGGUCAUGGCAGAUUUUAUAACAGAGUUGCCUGAAGAGCGCGCGCCGGACAAAAAAUCGACUCCGGAUGAUGGGUGGUCUCUGCAUGUUGAUGGGGCCUCCCGCUCGUCCGGAUCAGGAGUCGGACUCCUCCUCAAAGCACCAACCAGAGAACAGCUGGAGCAAUCCAUCCGUCUAGAUUUUCCCGCCUCAAACAAUGAAGCUGAAUACGAGGCCAUCCUAUCCGGAUUGGGCCUUGCAUCCACCCUGAACGCCUCAAAAGUCAAAAUCCACAGCGACUCCCAGCUCGUCGUGGAGCAAAUACGAAAAGAGUAUGAGACCAAGGAUGAGCGCAUGGCUAAAUAUGUCAUGACCCAAAUUCCGGGCGACCCAAAAUUUGGCCCGUGACCCCUGGUCAAAGGUUUGACCCUAAGGGUUUCUCCUAUUCCACGUUGGCAGUCAACUAAAACACUCUGAAUUUUUUUUUAUUUUUUAUUUUUUAUUUCAUAUAAGUCCCACUAGGGUUCUCACCAACUAACAAUAUUUUAAACCUUACUUAAACACAUCAAGAUUUAAUAAACCUCAUUGCAUCCCAAAAUAAAAUUUCAUAAAAAUCCCCUUAAUCAAACUAAGGUCUUAUUACAUUAUCCAUAAUUCACUUAUUACAAGGUCUCAAUACCACAACACAAUAAAAAAAUAAAACCUUUCCACUAAACCGCUCCAGGGGCAUCCUAAAGUCCUCCCUGUCCCAUCUGUGGAUCCUCAGGAGUGAUAUCUGCAUCUAAAAAUAUAUAAAAAGGAAGGGGUGAGCAUUUCCACAUUACUCAGUAGGGUGCCUAACACCCAAAGGGUUAAUGGGGGAUUACUAUAUUUUAAGAACCCAAACGCAACAAUUCACCAAUAUAAAUCAAGUCACACAAUUUAACAUACAACACUAUACUUAAUUCCACAACAUCCACUUAUUAAAUGAAUGCAUAUAAACGUGUGACACACAAUCAUACAAUGCACUAUCGUUCUCGGGCUUUCACCGAAGGAUACGCGUCCGCACCCAAAUAUACUCCCCAUUUGGAGUCUUCUCGAGGUAAACUUUUGGGUCUUUCACCCUAGGGAUCUCUCUCCCUUCUUAGUUCGCCUCACACGGGCUUUCACUUUUCAUCACUAUUUUAUUUUUUUUUCCAUUUCAUACACUUUUCACAAAUUUUUUUUUCUUCAUACAACCAUGAUGCAAAUGAAUGCUACAAACUCCAAAAUUCCUCAAAAAUUUCAACAAUUCCAACAUUUUCAAUAACCCAAUAAAAUAAAAUUUUCACAUUAAAAUUCCCGAAAAUAUACCAACGAAUUUUCGGAAAUUCACACAUCAAUAUACUUGAAUUUAUGUCACAAUUUCAGAAUUUUUCAAUAAUUCUAAUAAUUCCUAAUAUUUGAGAAUAACUAAUUUUUCACAAUAAAAUUACCGCAAAUAUUCCAAUCAAUUUUCAAAAAUUCAUAAGUCACUAGAUUUGAAAUCUUACCCUAAUUCCGGAAUUUUCCUACAUUUCUAGCAAUUUUUAACAACCUAAAAUAAUUAUUUAUUAAUUACAAAGAAUUCCGGAAAUUACAAAAAAAAUCCAGAAAAAAUCCCAAAUCAUUCCAGAAAAUUCACACAACAUCAAAAUUACCUAAUUAACUCAUAAUUAUCAGAUUUAUAAUUUUUUUCCAAUGAAAAAUACAUUAAAUUUGAGUUUUAGGGUUAGUUUUCCCCUACCUCAUAUAUGAAAAUUUGGCCAUUAAAAACAAAAUUAGCCACCGUAGACUUGUUCCUCUAGUCGAAUAGAGCACUUCCUCCGAAUUUGGGCCGAAACGGAGGUCGCUUGGCCGUCCAAACGGCCGGUCAAAGAUCCGGAGAGUGACCAAAUUUUCUGCAGUACUCUCUCUCUCUCUCUCUCCCCGCGUGCUACCAGUUUUCCAAUUCUCCCCCUUUUCCUUUUUUUUUUUUUUAACAACAAAGGCUUCCUACCACCAGCCCAUAUCUAAGCCCAAUCCAUUUCAUAUCUUUUUUUUUUUUUUUAAGACAUCACCCACUUAAGCCCAAAACCAAAAGCCCAACUCCAUUAUUAUUAUUAUUAUUUUCUUUUACAACCCAUUACCUUAAACGGCCAAUAUUCAAAGCCCAAUGAAUAUUUUUAUUUUAUUUCUUUUCUUUUCUUUUCUUUUCUUUAUUCUAAUUGUUUUAUUGGAUUUCCAAUUCAGUUUUUUUUUUCAUUUUUUUUAACACACAAUUUAUUUAUUAACAUCAAUCUAAAACUAAUUUUUCUCAAUUUUAUUAUUCAUCAAUUUAAUUUAAUUUUUCUUAAUUAAUUCUAAUUAAUUUUUUUUAAUUAAUUCAUUUUUUUUAAAAUUUUUCGGAAAAUUUCAAUUUCUAAAAUCCUAAGAAAUUUUCUACUCUAAGGCUGACAUGGCAUAAAAUUUCAACUCGUUUAAUUGACCGACACAAUAAAACGAAAUUCACCAAUCCGAAAUUAACACGUGUUCUCCAAACACUUUUCUUUUUGACUUUUCAACCAUCACACAAAAUAAGACUUUUCAAACUAAAAAUGCUAACGUGGCAUAAAAUACCCGGUCAUUACAAAAUACCUAUUGAAAGUACAAGAAUCACUCAGACAGCUGAGAGAGUGGGUCAUUAAGAAAGUCCCAAGGGGAGAAAAUGUGCAAGCCGACGCUUUAGCGGGUAUAGCCUCAUCAUUUCCUGUGAAAGAAUCAACGAUGCUACCCGUAUACGUUCAAGUCACUCCCUCCAUCGCUGAGUCACACGUUUGCAAUGUGGGCCCAAAAGAAAACGACUGGGCGGUUGACAUCAGAGCCUAUUUACAAGCGGGGGCAUUGCCUGAAGAUCCCAAGCUCGCCCACAAAAUUUGGGUGCAAGCGUUCCGCUUUACCCUAAUCGGAGGUGAUCUCUACAGGCGAUCCUUCGGAGGUCCGUACCUCAGAUGCUUGAUCCAGCCGGAAAUCCAAUAUGUUCUAUCCGAACUUCAUGAAGGCGUUUGCGGCAACCACUCAGGGGGCAGAACCCUGGCACACCGGGCGCAUUCACAAGGAUAUUAUUGGCCUACAAUGAGGCAGGACGCAGAGAUCUAUGUCAGGAAAUGCGACAAAUGUCAAAAACACGCGCCAUCCCACAUAUGCCCGCUGAGACAUUAAACUCAAUGACAAGCCCCUGGCCCUUCGUGCAAUGGGGGAGGGACAUCGUGGGACCCUUACCCACUGCAGCCGCUCAGAAGAAGUUCCUACUCGUUGCCACCGAUUAUUUCAGCAAGUGGGUGGAAGUUGAAGCCUACACAAGCAUCAAGGACAAGGACGUCACAAGGUUCGUCUGGAAAAAUAUAGUAUGUCGAUUCGGAAUCCUUCAGGCGAUCAUGGCCGAUAACGGCCCUCAGUUUGAUAGCUCUGCCUUUAAAGAUUUCUACGCGGAACUUCACAUCAAAAAUCUGUAUUCCACGCCGCAGUACCCUCAGAGCAACGGUCAAGCGGAAGCAACCAAUAAAACCUUACUGAGUGCGUUGAAAAAACGAUUGGAAAAAGCCAAAGGAAAGUGGGUAGAAGAGCUGCCCGACGUCUUAUGGGCUUAUCGAACUACACCCGGAAGGCCGACAGGGAAUACCCCAUUCGCUCUCACAUACGGAACAGAUGCCGUCAUCCCAACUGAAGUAGAUAUGCCCACAGCCCGGACUGCCGUCCAAGGUAAAAGAAAUGAAGAUGAAAAGCUUGCAAAGCACUUGGAUUGGACGGAUGAGACUAGAGAGGCAGCAUCCAUCCGGAUGGCCGCAUAUCAACAAAAGGUGGCUGCAUAUUAUAACAGGAGGGUGCGACCUCGGAUUUUCAAGGAGGGGUCAUUGGUACUUAGAAAAGUUUUUGAAAACACGGCUGACGAAGGAGCCGGAAAAUUUCAAGCCAAUUGGGAAGGUCCUUAUGUGGUGUCAAAAGCCAACGAAAAUGGGUCGUACCAUUUACAAACCUUAAAUGGAACCCCUCUACUCCGCCCUUGGAAUGAAAGAGAAAUUUUGUAAAGGUAACAUUUUUAUCCCGUCUUUUCUGACUGUGCUAGACAGGCGAUAUAAAAGGGGGCAUUGUGGGAUCCUCCCUAAAAACUGCCGCGUGGCUCCCUCUCCCUUGCGACAUGUGGCACCGCCGACAUUCCACCCGGACAUCUCACAUCCGGAAUUCUUCUCCGCCGACAUUCCACCCGGAUGUCUCACCGCCGCAAUUCUAUCCGGCCAACGUUCUACCUUAUCCGGAUGUUUCACAGCCUCCAUUAUAUCCGGCCGACGUUCCACCUUCUCCGGAUGGGAGAGGAGGACGAUUCAACUUCCCCGGGCAGACAUGUUCGGAUCCUUUGGUGACACUUACUCGGACAGCUUGGCUCGUCAGAUACUCGUGAUUCGUCGGAUCCAUUUCCGCCCACAAUCAAAGAGAUAACUCUGACAAUACUGACGACCAAGUCUCCUGAACUAUCACUCACAUUUAAUGCAAGAUACAUUCGACAAGACAUUCCCAAGUCUUCUCAGGUCUCCUGAUACAUCCCCGAUAUUUAAAGUCAUAAAUUGAGGCGGAGGAUGCCACCUAAAUAUCCUCCUGACAACCGCAAUCUUGGACCAGAAACGUCAUGAUUGCUUCGCCACCCUAUGAGCCACAAUCAUGACGAUGAAACCCACUGGCACAGCGAGGCGAUAUUUUCUGACUCAUAUAUAAACUCUAAGAAGGCUCUCAGGGAGGUAAAAGAUAAGAAGAAAAAAAAAAAAGCAAUAAGCAAUAUAGCAUUCUGGAGGCCAUAAGCCAAAAAAGAUAAGCAACAAAGGAUAAACAUCCUACUGAGGGAUAAACAUCCUUGACAAAAAUCACGGAGCCACACUCCCAAAGGAAAACCUUAUUUUCCAAACAGCUUCCAAAAUACUAACUUAAUCAUCGGAAGGUGUGUCCGGACAACCCAUCCGGACAUCUUUUUUGCAGGAGGAAGAAGGAUUCACUGUAACGCGUUGAUCGAGAUCCCGUUGCUGGUGACGACUAUUGUAGCAGUGGAACUUUGCCAUCAACAAUCACUACUAAAAAGAUUGAUUAAAAUAAGAGAAUUAUUAGAAAUUGUAAAAAAGGAUAACAAAAUUUGUAUACCUCAAUUUGAGAAUGCUUCACCCUCCCCCUAAAGCCAUUUAGAUGAAUAUUAUUCAAUAUAAUGCAGUAGUGUACUCUCAAGCAUGCUAAAAUGUAAGGAUCGAACAAAAAAAACAGAGUAUAAUAAUACUCAAAGUACUUUCUGAAUCAAAAAAUAACUCAUCAGGGUUUGAGAAUUCUUAUUACCUUUACAGAUUGGCAAAUCAUAAGGCCUUUGCAAACCGAAGGUACUAGAAGACUUACUAGGUUUUUUUAAGAGGCGUGAUGAGCUUGGAAAGCUAACCACUGAUGUACAAUACUAAGCUUAAGCAAGAGAGAAACUAUUAUUGACAUGAAAUUGAGAAAUGGUAAAUUAUCAGCUUUAGCACUAGAAUUUAUCUUUUGAUUGAUCAUGAGAAUUAAUAAAGUUUAGGACAAUCUUUUUUGUGAUUAAAUUGUAACACAAGAAAAUCUAGAUGUAGACACAUUCAUGAUUUUACUUAAUUGGCUAACAAAACCUCAAGGUCCUCUCCAAAUUAAAAGAAUUCAAUUUUUAUUGAUGUCUUAUUUUUGUAAAUGCAUUCAAACAUAGUGGUAUGGUUUUAACUUUUAUUCACUUUAUUUAAAUAUUAUUUACAUAUUGGGUAAUUAAUUAAUGCUUUUUCAUAAUAACAUGAUUAACCCUAUGGACAUAGAAGAAAAGAAGUUAUAAUAUAUAUAUAUGUAUAUAUCAAUUUUAUAAAAAUUUGCAUAAUGAGUAUAUUACAAAUAAUCAAGAAUAUUUUGAAUCACACUUGAAAUCAUAUUUAAUUCAUACUUAAAUCAUGUCUAAAAAAUUUGAAAUAUGUAUAUAAACAAACAAACAUAUAUACAUCUAUUAUUGUUAACUUGUGAAUGAGAAAUGGAUUCAAAAAAGUAUAAAUUUAGCAAAAUCAAUACCAUAAUUUUAUCUUCAACUCAUUGCAUUGGGUCAAGAUGAAUUCCUCUACUAAAACAUUUGAAAGGAAAAUUUUGCAGUUGAGAUGUUCGUCUUCUCUUGAAUUUGAUAGUUUAUUCUUAAGUUAAGAUUCCUCCUUCCCUUUAUAAAAUUAAGUGGAGUGUGACUAUAAAUUGAUUAAGAGUUUAAUCAAAAUUGAAAAUUUACUUGAAACAUCUUACUUGCCUCAAUGCAUAAGGAUGCAUGCGUGACCAAUUGAGUUUGGGCCUUCAAGUCAUUUGAGCUGUUCACCUUCAAUUGCUUGAGCUUGAUAUAUUCCUUCUAGACAUCAACUAUACCCACGACUAAUGCAUUACAUUAUUUAAUUUUCUGUUUUAAAUUGGUUUAAUAGAAUAACUAAUGCUUUAGAAAUGAUAACUUUUAAACUAAAAAAAAUCAAUCCAAACAACUUUGGUUCAUGAAAUCAAUAUCAUAAUUUAAUUUUUAACUCAUUUGGAACACCUAAGAACCUAGAACAACCUCUCAAAAUAUUCUAAAGCAAAAUAUUUGAAAUUGAAAUGUUCUUCCCCGCCUAAUUUGAUUACUCAUUCUUACUUUGAGACUCUUAUCUCCUUUUGAGACCAAGAAAUAUAGAGUACAAAAUUGAAUAAAAUGCGAGUUCAAAUAGGUAAGACUUUAAUCACAAUUCAAAAUUGACUUGAAAUAUUUUAUUUAGUUAGAACUUCCAUGACUUAACCAUUCAAGUUCAAGGCUAAUGUGUAAUUUCCUCUAUAACUUAUUUAACUCAAUGUUUAGUAUUUUGAAAUUAACAAUGCAAUCAAGCUGAACCUAAAAAUACCCAAAAACAAGUCCUAAUAGAUGUGAUUUUUUUUAAUAAAACAAAAUUCGGAUUUUAGACUUAAUGGAGGCCUUGGACUUUCAAAAUAGGGUAGCUAGGAAAAAAAAUAAGAGAAGAAAAAGUAAUGAAAAUCAUUGGAAAGAAUUUAAGCCCGUUAAAUCACUUAGCAAGAGCUUACCAAAAGAGAGGUGGCUUACCAAAAGCUUGAGAUGAAUGUUUAGCAUCUUCUACAGCAUAUCCAUUGAACAAAUUUGCAAAUUAAGAAGCUCCAUUCACUUGUGCAUUUGGUCCUCUUCAUCAUCUUGGGCAUCAACAACAUUAUCAUUAAUAUUUUGUGUUAUUGUAUCCAUUGGAGAAUGGUUGUUGCCCAUACAUUGUAUGUCGUCACAGCUUCUCUGUGCAUUAACAUCAGCAUCAAGUACUGAUUUGGUGCCACAGCUUCUCUGCACAUCAAGGUACCGUGUCUUUGCUGCAUGCUGCAUGAUUGUACUUGAUGCCUUUUAUAUUGGUAUCGUGGGAGGUGGCAAAACAAACUGCCUCUCCAAGGAGGUAUCCUCUGACAUUAUGAAAGAAAGAGAGGGUGAUGGAGAAAUCUUCCCAUAAAGACAAAUGUAGUGUAUAGUUGUGCAAGCUUUAACAGAAUCUUCUGGUCUCGCAGCCCAACAUUGAUCUUCAACCAAUUGGCGAUCUCAACAAGCCUUGAAAACUUACCCAUCAUCUUUCACAUGCUCUCCUGAUAGAUUGGCUGCCUCUGUCAAUGCACCCCUCCACCUUUGCACCAUCUCUUUCUUCUCUUUUGUAUCUUCUUUAUAAUUCUUAAAGGCUUCUCCAAAACUUCCUGUUUGCUUUCGUACAUGGGAUGGACCAACAUGGUAGAAAAUUGAGAGGACGAUUUGUCCCAUUUCUUUCCUGCACUCCAUGAUCUUAACAAGCUCAUUUAAACACCAUCUUGAAUCAGCAUAGUUUUUAGAGAAAACGAUUACGGAAAACCUUGAUCUUUCAAUGACUUUGAAGAGUUCUGACCCAAUCUCUUCUCCUCUCUUAAGUUUAUCAUCUCUGAAGGUGCGAUUGCCUCUCUUAAGCAAAGCUUGGUAGAGGUGAUCAGUGAAAUUAUAGCGGGUGUCUUCGCCUCCAAAACUCAAGAAAACAUCAUAGUUCUUUUGAGGGAUGGAAUUAGUAGUAGUCGUAGCAGAGGAAGAAGAAGAAGAUGAAGAUGAAGAUGAUGAUGAAAAGGGUAUUAGAAAACUUAGGAACGCAAUUAUGGAAGCUAUUAGGGAAUUUAUGAAAGGCAUGGUUGGUUUUUGUUUCAAAAUCACAAGAGGGUGUGAGGCUUGAUUUCUCUUGUGACUUGAGGAUAUGUAGCAAGCAAACUUUGCUUAAUACAUAAACUGUUUCUUAGUAAAAAGCUGGGGAGGUAAUUAAGUGGCUUCCACUGACCUUCCUAAGCAACUUCAAUAUUUGUAGUUUGGUAGAUAGGAAAGAAGGACAGCAUUCCCAGUGCCGAAAGAAAGAGAUUCUCUCAUUCUUACAUUUGCUUUUCUUUUAUCACUUUUUGCUUUUGUUUUGUUGUCUCACAGGUAGGCCAUUCAAUUCAAUGAUCAGCAUUUGGUUCUUGCACUUUUCAGUGUAUUCUUCAAGCCAUGAAUGGAAUUGAAAGGUAACUGUCAAUUUUUUAAUGUACGGCUUCACGUUCUCUUUUUUACUUUUGCUUUUGUCAUCAUUACUGCAAUGCCAUUUUUCUUCAAUUUUCCCUGUUGCCUUUCUCUUUUAUUAUCAUUCAGUUCUCUUUGAACGAGCUGAGCGGGGCCAGCGGGCAAAGAAAAGACUUCUGUAUACCUUGCGUCUGUUUUUCUUGCCACUUUUUCACUUUUCUUCUGUUUUCAUUUGGGUGUUGCAUGCACUCAACUUCCCUUUUAAAAAAUAAAAAUAUUUUACUCUUACUAAAUAAUAAAAAUAAUUUGUUGAUUUUUAUUUAUUUCUUAAUAUUUAAUAAAAAUAAAAUAUUAAAAAAAUACGUAACUUAAUACUUGACACUAUUAAAUAUUAUUUAGUUUUAACUUAUAUUUAAAAUUAAAUAAAGAAAACAAAUAUCAUCUAAGACCUUUUUUUUAAACAUUUCAAUAAUUUAUCUAACCAAAAGUGAAGAAAACUUGUGUUCCUAGAUUAUCUGUAAUUUAUCUAACCAACAGCCCCAGCCAAAAAUAAAAAUAAAUGCAACCAUAUCAUAUUGUUGCAAUUGAAGUUGACCGCCACAAAGCUGGAGCAAACAUAGUAUAUGGUUGCGGCUAGUGUUAUUUCCCCUAUUAUAGUUUGAAAGACAAGGCAGCAGCCAAAAGGAGGGUGCAACUGAAGCUUCCGGAUAUAGUUGUGGCAGUUUAAUUCCCUCCACCAAAAGGUAUAUAAAGCAAUAUAGCACCUGUUUUCCGCUGCUGUAAGCAUCUUAUGGUCAAACAUUAAAUGGUGGCUGUAGAGUUCCACAAGUUACUUUGUGGUUUUUUUAUAUAAAAUGUCUGUGCAGAUAUGCAGACUUAGUUUCAGUGUACCGCCAUCUCACUUCACAGGUUACAAACCGGCUAUUAUAAUAAGUUUUUCAGAAUUUAAGCACAAUGAACAAUACAACAUAUCAACAACUAAAGUUGAUUGACUCUGCUAUUUUGGGUCAUUGACUGUCCUUGAGAGUUCAAGUUGUCAUGUUUGUACUUGCUUUGCAUUACUAUUGCAACAAUUACAUACUACAGUUGAAACCAACAUCAAUGAGACUUGACGUUUACAAAUUAAAUUUUCCCAGCUAGAAGGUGGGGUCUCACUUUCCUCACCAAGCCCUGAACUUCAACAGCAUCUGGAAACAUGCAUUCAAUGCGGAUGCCAUAGUGUUUCUUAACAGUAUCCAAGAAUUGAUAUGUUUCCAGGUUGAACCUUCCGGUGUUCAAGUUGAACACCUUUAAUGGACAAUUCAGCAGCAUCUUCAGCACCACUGCCAAAAAAACAGGAAAGCAAAUAUUUUUUUCAGUACACAGCUUUGAUUCUGAUUCCACUAGUAAAGAUGAUGCAGAAUAUCACACAUGGAUUGAUCAAUGACAGAUACAGGAGUAGCAGAUAGAGAUAAAAGAAACACAAUAUAAAGUACUUAAUUCCAUUCUGGUGGAAAUCCCAGUUUUUCAAUUGAAAAUGGAGUACCAGUACUGGAUUAAUCAGGUGUUCUGUUUUGAAACAAUUGUCAGAUAACCAUAUAUAGAGCUUCAAAUGUUGCAUAUUGCAUACAACUUCAUGAUUCUGCACAUCCCAAUAAAAGUUCCUACGAGAUCCAGUAUAAAAGUAUAAACCUAACUCCCCAAAUCAGUAAUGCUGGCAUUAAAAUGCUAGCACUAAACUAAUGGCUACAGUCAACUUGUUGCACACUUUUUCAAGAAUGAGUCAAAACACAGUAACGUUAAUGGAUAUGAUGAUCUGUUGACAAGAGAACACCAUUCCAACAAGAUAUCUCAUGUGUUUUCUAAAACCAGAUAAGGUUUAGAAACAGUUACAAUAGCAUGCAAGCAUGUCUGCAAAAUCGUAACUCCACAGAUCUAUUAGAAUAUGUAACACAAAUUUCAUCUACCUCAUACCUGCUUUUACAAAAUCUGUAUGUUUAUACUGAGCUUUUCCUUUAACAUCCUCCUCUGUUACAGAAUGUACAUGAACACAAAACUCAAAUCAAUGUCCUCUAUAGUCAAUUGGUACUCCUUAUCUUCUGCUCCAACUAUUAUCACUGGACUGUUCCAUCCUCUUCUUAACCAACUGAAAGACAUAAAUAGAAAAGCUAUGUUAUUUUUUAAUUUCAACAACAGUAAAAUCACUGCUUUGAAAAACCUCACAGUGAUGUAGAACAGCUGGAAACAGGUUCCAAAUUUUAAUAGGAUUUAAUGAUUUUAACUGUAGGGAUUGGAACAUCUUGACCACUCCCUUUUCAGCCCACAUCUUCCACUCCCUCCCUAUUUCUCCUCAUAAUUCAUUGAGGGUUCAAUUUCCUUUAACUCUAUUUUUGUCUUCUCGCCUAAGCAUACAUUCCUGAGAUGCCAAAGAUAACUCCCUCCUUGUCAACUGCAAAGAGGAGUUGCAUGGCCUCUUCACUUCGCAACACCUUCUCCUGGAGUCCCACCACACUCCAGACAUUCAUGGACAUUGGCACUUAACUGCCAAAAUCAUGAAAAUCUAUGAUUGCCCCUAACAUUAUAUGAAAACUAGUUGCAUAUUAUGUCAGAAAAAUUCAAACCCCCAGCCCAUAUGCUAUGGCCCUCAACUUUGCCAAAGAAAUAGGCGUUAUUUUCCAAUGGUGUUAAUCCCCAUAACUGGAAUGCAAAUUGGAUUCUACUUGUUUGUUCCAAAGGUAUAAACUAACACAUCCCAGGCAAGCUGACCUUGUAGCUAACCAACUUUUUGUAGGUAUUCAGAAAAUGCUACUUGAACAAUGAUGCAGGUGUGAUCGAUUUACAUUUACAUAUUUGAAUCAUCAAAAAAAGAAGCUGAGCAGCACAUAGGAAGUUCAUUUAACAAUAUAUUCAUUAUUUAUAACCAGCGGCUUAAAUUAUGAACAUUCAGUGAAAAUUACCUGUAAACCCAUUCAUUAUCAUACCAAGAGACCAACUUGAUAAAGUUGUCAUUCAGAGCAAUUCCAGCCUUGGCAUAAAAAAUACUCGACCUGCCAAAGGGCAAGUGAUUAUACAAUUCACUUGCAAAAUAAGAAAAGUAUUGAAGACGAGGAAGAAUAAAGAUAUUGCAAGAUUUGCCUCACCUGCGGUCCCCGAUAAAGUCACUUGAUACCACAUCAUCCUUAGUGUAACCAAGGAUUUCCUUCAAAUUUCCCUCAUAUUCCGCCCUGAAAGAGAAUCAGAUGGUUAAAUUAAUAAGAAUAUCUCGAGUUAUUCUUUUUCAUCCUCUUUUCUUGCAAAUCAGAAGGUGCAACCAGCCAAGAAAAAGAAAUAAAUAAAUCCAAAUCAGAAUAUGAUAGAAAUUCAAAAAGAAAAAAAAUUCCUUCUAGAUCCAUUUGUAUAUAUGAAAAAACUCUCACAAACACAAACAUAUAUAUUAGUCAUAUUAUUGUGGAACUAACUAUAAGUAAUGCUAAUAAACAUUGAAGAGUAGUUAUGGAGCAACAAAAUUUACUCUAGCAGCAACUUUCAAGAAGAAACCAUCCUCAAAAUCGGUGGCAUAUAUUGAAAGGUUGAGGCCUUAACUCAAGAGUAGAUAUGAAUGGAGAGAGAGAUUUGGAUGAACUACAACAACAGAAUGGAAAACAUAAGAACAAGAUGUAAGUUUGAAUUCAAGAAUGGUCUAAAAGUUAUCUCUUGUUCCGAUUUAUAGAAACUUACAGUACACUGUCCAAGAAUAAUUCUUGAAACAUUGCUUAGUUUAAGUUGUUUCACUUUUUUGCCAGAGUACCAUAUCGACAUAGAUUCAUCCUGAAACAUGACCUAGGAACACAAAUAUAUGGGAACAGAGGAUGAAAGAAUCAAGAGGAAACAUACCUGUAACUUGCUCCUCCUGUAAGAGCAAAUUGCAACUGAUAGAUGCAGCUUCUCCAAGAUAAACUGCACACAAUAAAUACCCAGAAGCACAUCUUCUCAAAAAUGAAAAAUUUUCAACACCUAUAAAUGAAUGGAUUUGAAUUAGACCUAAAAGGUAAAUAAAUCCUUUGGUUCCAAAAUAGAAGCCAUAGGAUAGAACAUAAUUCCUACAAAAUUGGGGCAAAAAAUAGAAAAACCAUAUAAACCUACCAGUGUCACUAGGUCCCAAGGGUUUUACGGGCCUAAAAUGAUUCAGGCCUAUCUAUUCUCCACCAUCUAGAAUCUGUAAAUCAGGGGUUACCUAAGCACAGGAAUGAGUUAAAGAUCCUUGAGAAAUGAAUUUUCAUAUGGAGAAGUCUUUUCGUCUAAAAUACAACGAUAUCCAAGUAGGUGGAUGAUCUUCAUACCUUUCCUGUCUAAAACACCAGUAAAGCCUUUUGGGGCACCCUCAGGUGGAAUUUUCAUACCUACAUUUAGGGCUUCAAAUUACACCAACAACAUCUUUGAGAAAUCAUCAAACUUAAGAGAUUAUCUCAAUCCAUAAGAAAGGAAGAAAAAUCAGCUAGAAAACCUCCAAAUCGAAACUUCUACAGUAAUGAGUGGACAAAAAAAUGGAGAAGUCAUACCUGAAAAGCCACCAAAUCCUCUGGUAACUUGAAACCCUAGCAAUUCAAAACCCUAGAGAAAACCAUAAGGUAGAAAAUAAUAGAGUGAAAUCGAAAAAAUAAAAAAUAAAACAAAGUGGCAAUGUUGAAAGAAAAAAAUACCAAGCCGCAUCCCACAAUGCCUGAAGAAUCAUCCAGCUAUUACAAGAGAAAAAAAAAAAAACAAUGAGUUCGGUACCGACAAUGAUGAAAGAGGAAAUGGGUUUGGCAAUCAAAGGUGAACGGGAGAGAAGUGGGUUUGGCAACGAGGGCAAGCAGGAGAGAAAUGUUGCAAUUUAUAUAUGGGUUUUAUGGUAGCGGUCUGGUGGCGUCCUGGGCCAUAUAUGGUAGCGGCCAAUUUUAUCCCACAGCUAUAGGAUGUUUAUAGCAGCAUCCAAUUAAUCCUGCAAACUAUAUGUCUGGUGGGAACCACUCUGCAACUGCGACUUGCGUAGCUGUGAGAUUAUAUAUAUACUUUUUAGUUGCGGAUGUUGUCGACCCUUCCUAAAAUUACGCGACUAUAUCUCACUUUUUUAGUAGUGUGAUUAAUGUCUCCCCACAUUUCCAGAGAUUACCUUAAUCUCCCACAUGGUUUUCAAUACAGAAAAGAAGAAAAUCAGAGGUUUGAGAGAGAAUUGCAUGUCAAGGAAGUAUUUAAUUGUAUUGAAAAAAAUCUUUUAGCUUAUGCAGAACCAAGAUAAGCUGCCAUGAAUAUACCCCUAACAAUGUGACCAAGAUACGAGCACCACUGCAACCUAUUGGAUGUCCCAAAGAUAUAGAUCCACCAUGAACAUUGACCUUUUCCUGAAUCCACAAAAGAGCACAUGCUUAUAGAGGCAGAAAUAUGAAAAUGCUCAGGAAAAUAAAAUUGUACAAAACUGAAGUAAACAAAUUCAAUGUAUAGUAAGUCACUAUAGGUUAAAAAAAAAAAAAGUUGAGACGGUGAACCAAAACACUCACAGGAUCAAGACCGCAACUUUUAAUUAGCAAGAGCUACAACCUGCAGAAAGCAAAUGAGAUCAUAAAAUUAGCAUAAACUGUUACUUGAUAAAAGAGAUGGUAGAAGUAUAACAAGCACAAGAAUAAAUCCUUACGGCGAAAGCCUUGUUUAUUUCAUAGUAAUCAAUUUGAGAAGCCUUCAGGCCAGCAUUAGAAAUAGCUUUUGGAAUUGCAAGGGCUGGGGUAGUUGUAAACAACUCAGGUGCCUGCCCAAGCCAAUCAUGUUUUAGUAUCAAGUCAUCUGUGGUCAUAUCAAGAUCGAGACAAAUAUAAGUUAACUUUUUAACAGUACCUGAGCAGCAUCACCAUAUCCUGCAAUCUUAGCAAUCACUUGGACUCUAAGCUCAACUGCCUUCUUACCAGUCACUAGCACUAAUGCAGCCGCACCAUCACUGUCCACAAGCGAAUAGCACCAACUUACAGUGAAAUGAUUGGCAACACCUCAUGGGUUGACAUGCUUGGUUACAUAGAAAUAUACAACAGAAAUCUAUCAAAGCAAUAUAUGGGUUUAACUAAAAUCUGAUGAACUAAAAGAAUCACUAUCUCUUUAGUGGGUUAACAAAAAAGUAUAUGCCCCUAACUUAGGUGUUUAGAUAUGAAUUUAGUUAUUUAUUUUCAAAGUGAAGCCCUAUAUAAAGAAUCUGGCAAGAGUUUCUCAUUUGGCCCAGAUGGUUGGGAAAUUCAAUUGUUCAUCUCACAUGCUACAACAAGAUCAGGUGUUUGAGACUCUUAAGGACAAGGCAAGCAUGUGAGAGCACACACACACACAUACCUUAUGCUAGAAGCAUUCCCUGCAGUAACUGAACCCCCAUCCUUGAAACUUGGUCAAAGUUUCCUUAGUUUUGCAGCAUCAAACUGUCAAGAUGGAAAUGGAUAUCUUAGAAAGCAAGGAAAAUAGAUGGUAUUGAGAACCCAGAACAUGAAUUUGUUUCAUGACAGGUAAGGUAAUUACUGGGUUAAAGAUGAUCUGACUAAUACCAUUUGGUGAUUAGAUCCUAUAUAUUUGUUUUCAUACAUCAAAUUACCCAUUACAUUACAGCAAUGCCCAGGCCCCUUUUAAUUGAUGAAGAUUGAAAUGGCUUGAUAGAAAAAUUGAAGAAUGAUUCGACAUAUUAGGCAAAGUAAAUAAAAUGAAGAGAACGGCACAGGAUUGCUUAUAUCAAUAACCAGUUGCAAAUGGAAGAGUGGCGUCAACAACUUUUCCCAAAUUACAUGUAUGAAUAAGAAAUUUAUAUUUCAGAUGAUGUACGUGAAUCCCUAUGCCCAUAAAUAAUAUUUACCUUUCCUAGACCUUCAUCCUUAUCAACAAGUGCAGAUGGCAAAGUCACAUGGACCCGAUUAGUAUUUUCAAAGCCAUUUACAGUAACUUUAAGAAAAAAUGAUGUGUGAUAGUCAACACAUAAAUCACUCUUGCAAGCAGUACUGUUAUUUUAAUUUGUGUUCACUUGUUGUUCUUGUGAUGCAUGGUUUCACCAAGAGUUCGUUAGACAUGUCCACUCAAAUGAAAUUAGACCGAAGAUUGAAAAAGUAGAAGAAGAUACAAACUAAUCACAGUACAAUUUUCAACCCUACUUGGUAAAUUUCAUUUAAGUUCCAAACAACUAGUGGGUAAAAAACAUUGAGGAAAAUUUCUCAACAGACUAAUCAUUCCAAACUGUUACCUGUUGUUCUCUUGUUAUCUUAUGCUGAUCAGCACAUAUUUCUGCACAAAUUGCCAUUCCAAAAUCGUUGUAAACAUCCCAGAGGCCAUCUUUGGCCAUACCAUCAACAGUAGUAUCAUGGCCUAAUCGAGAUCCAUUUCUGUUUAUAAGCUCAGAGUCAGCUUAGAUACAUAGACACUUCUCCCUAUUAGUAAGAACGGCAACAAUAUGUACUGGCCCAACAUGCUUUGUUCACAUACUGAGAAUCAUGUUAAACUAAGCAAGCAACUCAAUAGACAAAAUUGAUCACAUGACCCAAAAAGCUAACGUUGCAUCUACUAGGUAUUUAGGCGCAUUAGACAUACUUUCCAUGCCACCAGCCACAACUACAUCAUUUUUACAUACUCUCAACCCUCUUAAACUAUCACCAAAAAAUUGUAAAAUAAUCCUGAUCUUUAGUAUAGUCAUUUGCUGAAAGUUCAAUUUUUGAAGGGAGUAUUAUGGCUGUUUAUUCAAUUGUGAGCACCCAAAUUGAACUCCCCUAUGAAGAUGGGAUUGACUACACACAGUUCUCAAUUUUCUUCUCUGAUAGAGAGGCAUUGGAACCAGGUUACAUGAUAGGGCAGCUCCGGCAAAUUCCCAAAGAGAGAUGGGCUGAAAUGUGGAGGCAUCUAAAGUACAUCUCUCAUCACUAUGAAUUCCAGUACCCCUAAAGAAAGGAGACAAUAUUGAUAUGCUAUGGAGACAGGUAAAGCACAAGCUUCCCAGGGCCAACCUUGAUGUACAUAGAAGCCGAAGGUUGAAAGCUCCAGACUGGUGGGACCGCAGGAGAUAGUUUCUGCAUCCUGCCUUCAUUACCUUGUAAAUUAAAAAAUCAUUCAUAGUGGCUACAGUCUUAAAGGGGGAAAAUUUUCCACACAACAAAUGGAUAUAUCAAUUCCAAUGUGCUUUGCUGGCUCUUCAUGUCUUGGAAGAAUUUAGAAAGAACCAUCACAACUUUCCCUUCAAAUUUAUGUCCACUAUUCUAGCAUUUUCUCUGAAUAAUUGAGGUGGUUGGUUGCCUUGAAAUUGGUUUUCCCUCUAGCCUUAAUGGGGAGGAAGAAUUUUCUGGACGUUAUAUUUUCCUAGCAGUGUUGGUGGUUGAAAUGAAUUCUUGGAAAUGUAUAUGUUUUUGGUGGUCAUCCUUGCUAGCUGUCUAUGUUUAUAAUGGAAUUUCAAUGAUGAGUCAGCAAUCUUCUUGUUGGCUUUGAGUGAGACAGUCUUCUUGUAUUCUGUUAAACCAGAGAUUGCCCAAUAAUGCAUUAAUAUGUUAAUUCUUUUUUAUUUUAGUGCCUACACAAUUUAAUUUUUAUGUCUCAGAAUAGUAGUGAUUUGAACUCUCGUAUAUAUCACUCAGUGAACAGACCGAAAUACAUCUGGAAUCUGGAUGGGUGCCUUGUCCUUCAAGGCAAACCUGGGUUUUCUGAGUUGUCUCAUAAUUCCUAAUCAUCUCUCACAAUCCCUGAGAGUUAAUGCAUUACAAGGAAAAGAGGAAAAGGGAAAAGGCUUAUUAUGGUUGCCACUUAGAGCCAUCCCACCAGUUGAUGGGAGUGAAUGCUGAUAUCCAUCACCUACCUGAAAAUUGAAAACCUUGGGACUAAUGGUUGUCAUAAUCUGCUCACUGAGUUUCUUUGUGAUGCUCUUGGAAACAAAGCUUAUUUAUUAUUCUACCUUUAUGACCCAUUUCCAUAUUAUUCUACCUUUAUGACCCAUUUCCAUUGUGUAAAAUUUUUUAGUUGAGUUUCAUUUGGAGAGGGAGACAAAAGCUCCUACUGCCCCCAAAAAAAAAAAAAAAAGAGAGAGAGAACAGAAAAACAGAAACUAGUGAUGAGCAGGUGCUGGGAUCUGAGAUUCCCUAUGAUUGGGCCUCAAGCAAGGAAGCAGAGUAGUGCAUUGCAAUUGAGCGGUGUUGGCCCCCAAAACAAAACAAAUCAAACCAAGCAGGAGGCAUCCAGACACAAUGAACCCACCACAACCACUCAUGUCCACAACUUUCUAUUACAUCUUCUACUUUACCACUAUCACUACUAAAUAUUUGGUGGUAGCAAAUAAAAAGAAAAGGGAAAUCAGAUAUCUGUAUAUCUGAGCUUUAGACUAAUUAGGCUUCUUUGGUGGUAGAAAUGAUUCUAAAUGUAUCACUUUCAAUCAGAUCCACAAAGUUUCCCUAAGGCCAAAAUCCAUAUCCAUGAAAUCUACUAAUCACAAUGCUAGCGUGAUUAUUUAAAUCGCAGAAUUUAGAUUAUGCAAUCAGAUCUACAACUCAACCAACCAUAAUCAGAUUCGCAAGUCUAAAAAACACACACCGCAUCAACACUGAAAGUGUAUCUCUCUAUUUCCCCAAGGCUACUGUGAACACAUCAUCCAUGAAACAAAAAUCAACUAAACAAAACCGACUGGAAAAAUCAGGGGAACACAUUAUCCAUGUUCUAAAUCCAGUCAUCCAAACAUACACCAUGAUUCGAGAAAGUGGAGAACAGAAACAUUAUAGUAGAUAAACAAAACGAGAAGAUUUUAUUUCUUACCAUGUUGCAAAUUGAAUCCUUGGGCAUGAUACUUUGUAAAUAAGAUUUCAUUGAAUCGUAGGCAUGAAAUCAAAACAUACCUUAAGAAUUGAAAUUAGCAAAUCGAAUCCUACAAAACCCUUCAAAUCAGCAGAUCCUCAUACCUUAGGGCUUAGUAUUGGGCUGAAACAAAGACAAUGGGCACUUGAGAAAAUCAAAAUAAGGAAAUGUGAAAAAUAAGCAAAGCAAAGCAAGGAGAAAGAAAGGGUCCAAGGAGAAAGGCCUGACAUUAAGAGUUUGGCUAUGGAGAGGCAUAGAGAGGGGUUUUUGGCUGAGGUUUUAAAAUGGGAUAUAUUGCAGCAGCGAGGUUCAUGCGGAUUAGAUGCAGGAGAAAGCAGCCUGUACAUGACUGCAUCCACAAGGAAACUCACUAUCCUUUUAAGCACGGUAAUGAUAGUGGUCUUCACUGUAGAUUUUUCCCGAGGAAAAUUUCCUGCUCAUGCUUGUAUAUUUAGAUGCGGGUGGAAUAUUAUUGAUCCUGUAUAUAAUCUUUAGUUGGGGACUUUUAGACCCCUACUAAAACUGUCACCAUAUCUUAUGUUUCUUGUAGUGUAUAAUUGGACUUUCAAAAUAGAGUAGCUAGGAAAAAAAAUUAAAAAUAAAAUGAAAAAAAUGAAAAUCAUUAGAAAGAAUUUGGGCCUGUUGAUAAGAAAGGCGGCUUACCAAAAGCUUGAGAUGAAUGUUUAAUAUCUUCUGCAGCAUAUCCAUUGGACAAAUUUGCAAAGAACCUCCAACCACUUGUGCAUAUAGGCGCCAUUGGAGAAUGGGCGCGGCCUGUACUUUAUGUGUCGUCACAACUUCUCUCUCUAUGCAUUAACAUUAGCACCUUCAAGUACUAAUUUGGUGCCAAAGCUUCUCUGCACAUCAAGGUACUGUGUCAUUGCUGCAUGAUUGUGUUUGACGCCUUUUAUAUUUGUAUCUCGUGGGAUGGUUCUGUUGACAGUUUUGGGCAUAUAUAAAAGAUGGAACCCACACUCUUCCACUUUCACUAGUUUACCAGCAAUGAAACCAUGCAAUGAAGCCUUCAAAAGCUUCCAUUCAUUUGACCAAUACUCAUUUUUAAUAGCAACCUUAGGAUAAUAUGCCACCCAAACUUGAUUUGAUUCACCACCAUUAUGGCAGCAGGAAUAACCGCAUUCAAACAAGAGAUCAUCCACAGGCCAACAUUUAGAUGAGGAACCACCCAUGGACCAGAAGUUAGAUGGUAGAUCAUAUACAAAUUCAAAUUGAUGACCAUGGAAAUUCAAUUCACAUUCUAAACUACAAGGAUCUUCCUCUGAUUCAAUAUGAAAAGGAACAUAAACAGAGCAUAAGGCAACUCCCAAGAAGUCGUUAUUCUAGUACCAAUCCAUAGGAGGCUCUAUUGUUAUUUCAGAUCUUUUUUUCUGUUGGCUUAUCCACUCUGGAAUUCCAUUAUUUCCUGGAAUAACAAUUUGGAUUUCCUUGAUCCAUUAUCCGCAUUCAAACUCCUGCAAGAAAUAGUGUAAAUCUUGUGUUUUCAUUAACUGACAUGAAGCAUUUGAACAAAGAAAAUUGAAAACUAUUUCGAAAUCCAAAAUUAUCCUAAAUAAUAGUAGUAAAAAUAAUAACAGUAACUAAAAUAUGUUGUUUGGUUGCUGAGAAAAACAGAGCAACUAAAGGUAUUGGAACCAACCAGUCAAGGCGUGUAAAGGGAUCCUCUUCUUGAUUCAAUUCAGCUAAAUCUCAAGCUGAUGGCUUUAAGUUGCGCUUCCGUAAGACCUUUAACCCUCACUUUUGCCAUAUGUUAUCUCUUCCUCUUUUCUUAUCAUCCCAAACCAAAUGAGCUCCUUCAAAAGGUUGUCUCCUCAGGCCAUCACAUAGAACACAAUUCUACAUAAAAGAAAAUGAAAACCGAAGUCAAGUGAUCAAUAAUGACAAGAUCAAAAACCCAAUUCAAAGAAAUUUGUGGUGCCAAUCUUCAUACAAAGGCCUUGAGGUUCUCAUCAAAGGCAAGCAAUUUGAUACUAAUUAUCAACUUCAGAUAAAACCCUCAAUUUUAAGGAUAGAGAGAGAGAGAGAGAGGUGCAGCCAAACUGUUUAAACAGAAUUGUAUACCAGGCUACAGGAAACCAAUGUGCAAAUAUUCUAAAGUAAUAAAGCAGCAUUCCAACUCACAUUGUUUUGAAUUUUAACCCGAUCGAGUGAAAACAAGAACUAGUUGUAUGCAUCCUUGUCAGAUAAAAGCUUCCAUAACACAUCGCCACUAAAACAAGAGAAUAAUAUCUGUAUACUGAAAUUUGCGAAUACUUCACCUCCUCCUAAAGCCAUUUAGAUGAGUACUAUUCAGUAUAGUGGAGUAAUAUAAACUAAGAAUUUUAACUCUUUAAAUCACUUAACCAGGCAAUAUAAACUAAGAAGAGAAAGAAAGGUGGCUUACCAAAAGUUUGAGAUAAUGUUCAGUGUCUUCUACAAAAAUCCAUUGAAAAAAUUUGUAAAGAAACUCCAACAAUUUAUGCAUAUGAUUCUCUUCAUCAUCUUGGGCGGCAUAGCUUUCCUGUCCAUCAACAUUAGCAUCUUUUGCAAUACAAAUCCAUGAGCCAGCAUUUAGAUGAGGGGAUCAUCCACUAAUCCAAAUCCAUCAUCUCAGAAAUUCACAUCACAUAGCGAAUUACAACCAUCUAUAUGAACAAAGUAAAGAAUUUAAGCUAUUUUUAGUAAAUUUGUCAUGUCAUCUUAAAGAAUAAACAAAGGUAAUUUACCUAUAAGUCAAGGCAUUCUUAUAGAAUUUGCUAAUAAUUUCAAAUACACCAUAUAUAACAACAAAAAUAGAAACGAUAUUUGAACAAAGAGUUUUUUUUCUCAAAAAAAAAAUAAAAAAUACUAUUCUCAUUUUGGUUCAUCAUUAGCAUUUUUGCUACCACUUCUAAAUUAAAAAUAAUAAAAAUAAAUAAAAGGUAAAUUAAAUUAAAAUUAUAAGCUAAUAAAAUCUACAAAAAUCAUCUUUAAAAAAUUAAAAGAAUAUCUAAAAUAAGAAAAUCUAAGACAAGUUAUUUUUAUUUUUCAUUUUAUUUUUGUUAGGUUUAAUUUUAUUUUCACUUUUGUAUGUCUAUUAUUUUUUUUAAGGAAGAUAACGUAUGUAGACUACAAAAUUAUAACUGUAUUAUUACAUUUCUAUGCGAGUAAUAAUGUGUGACCUAAAAGAUGUGAUCAGAUUACUAAAAGAUGAAAAUUGUGACCUAAGUACAAGAAUAUAAUUAGGGUACAAAAAUGUCAUUAUAAUGUCAAAAAUGUGAUUAGCAUAUACAAAAUCUGACCAAGAUUAUUAGACACAAAAAUUGUGAUUAGGGUGUGAAGAAUAUAAUUAAAGUAAAAAAAAAAAUUACAAUGAGAUGAAGAACAUGAUCAAUGAAUAAAAGAUAUGGUUAGAGUAUAAAGAAUAUGAGUAAAGUACAAAAAAUAUGGUUUAGAUAUAAAAAAUGUGAGUGAGACAUUAGACUAUGAAAAAUGUGACUAAUUAAUUUAUAAUUAGGAUCAAACUUAGACCAAAAUGAAAAAUAAAUACUAAUUCUUGAUAUAACCAACUUUGACUUACACUAUAAUUAAGAAAUUUAAAAAAUAUAUGAUAAUUUGUAAAACUUAAAUAUAAAGUUAAUUCAAAGGUUUUUUGUUCACCUUUUGUUAAUCAAUAUAUGCAUUCCAUUUUUUCCUUCUAAAUUCCGGACUUAAGACUUCUAAUAUCUAAAUAUGGUCAUUUCCUUCCAAUAACUCAUUCCAAAGAUCAGCUUUUGAGAAUUCCUAACACAUUUUCAACAAAAACAAAAAGAAUUUAGGUGUUUCAGCCCAACAAUUGGGGAUCUCAAUUUUUUUCCUGAAAUUUUGGGACAAGUAAAAGCAAACAAAUUAUAAAAUAAUAUUAAAAAAAAAACCAUGAAAGAGGGAAAAAACAAAAACGGAAUAUCAGUUUGUUUAAAUGAUUAGACAUGUAACAAUUUUAAAAAUAAAUAUUCUAACCUCUAGUAAAUUAAAAGAAAGAAGACAUACCUUACAGGAGGGUGAAGAAAAGUAUGUUGGGUUGAAAACUAGAGAUGUCUUGAUUUUUUGUUGUGUGGGUUCUCUGCAUCAUCAAGACUUCUCUUAACAUUGAAAUCUGUAUUUAAGAUGUCGGUUUUAUAUAUAAGAUGAAGCCCACACUCUUCCACUUUCGAGUGUUCACUAUGAAAUAAAGCCUUCAAAUGUAUCCAUUUAUCUGACCAAUAAUCAUUCUCAAUAGCAACCUUAGGAUAAUAUGCCACCCAAACUCUAUUUGAUUCACCACCAUUAUGGCAACAGGGAUAACCGCGUUCAAACGAGAGUUUAUCCAGGAACCGGAGUUCAUAGAAAAAACGUUCCGGAUAUUCUAAGCAAUUAUGGAAAUACAAUUCACAUGUCAAACUACAAGGAUCUUCCUUAGAUUCAAUGUGAAGUGGAACAAAAACAGCAAAUCCCAAAAAGUUGUUAUCCUCCCACCAAUUCACAGGAAGCUCUGUUUCUAUUUUAGAUCCUUUUUUCUUAUGGCUUAUCCACUCCGGAAUUCCAUUAUUUCCAGGAAUAAAAAUUGUGAUUUCCUUGCUCCAAUAGGACCGGCACUCAAACUCCUGCAAGAAAUAUUAGUGUAAAUCUUAUGUUUUCGCAAAAUAAAAAAAGAAAAAAAAAAAAAAGGUUAAAUGUCUAGAAAAUCAUACCUCAAUUGCUGAUUUGAAACAUUUGAAUAGAGAAAAACCAAGUGAACUUGAGGGACUUGAUAAAGUUUCCAAGCAAGGACAACCAUGGGCAUCAAGAAAUCGUAAACUUUGGGGAAGCGUUGGAAUUUGUACAAGCUUCUGGCAGUGACUCAAGUCGAGGGUUCUCAGUUUAGAAAGUUGAAUGAUGUUGGCAGGUAUUCUACUAAAAUGGUUCCCAUCCAGAGAUAACUUUAGCAAUGAUGACAGGUGGCAAAUAUGAUUGAGGAUCUCUCCUUCCCUUAGAUUGCAGUUACUCAGAGAUAAUUCUUCCAGUAAAGGUAAGCUCCAAACAUUCGUAAGGAUUCCUUCCUCCAUUAGAUUGCAGUUAUGAAGAGAUAAAGUUUUCAAUGAAGAAUAGUGGAAAAUAUCACUGAGGAUUCCUCGUUCCAUUGUAUUAAAGUUACCAACAGAUAGUACUUUCAGUGAUGAUGGAUGGAGACAAUCACUGAAGAUUAUGCUUUCCAUGAAUGUGGAGUUUCUUUCACAUAAUUCUACCAGUGACAACAGGGAGAAAACAUGAUGGUUAAGGACCUUUCCUUCAUUGUGUCGUUUGAAUGAGUAGAAACUCCGAUUGCCCCACCAUAUUACUCUUUGCUUUAGAAAGCAAAAAGUUAGAUCCGAAGAUCCCGAAGAUCUUGAAGAUCCCACUAGGUUCACCUCCAAUCUCUCCAGUUUUGGACAUCUUUCGACAUUAAGUGUUUCAAGAGAGCUCAAAUUGAAAAUGCUCUCCGAAAGACUCCUUAGGCUUUUGCAACUAGACAAAUCUAGGUGUUGAAGAGCCUUUAGACGUCCAAUUGAGGAUGUAAGCUCUUCUAUACUUGUUUCC